GAAGAGCCGCGUUGACGAUCCAUGGUGGAAUGGAUUUCAGGGUCAGAGGCGCUUCGAUGGAGUAUACGCGGGAGGAGGAUGGUGCGGUUUGGAUCUGGAUCCCUGCCCCUUUAAUAGGCAGGUGACCCGCACAACCAGGGGGUAAAAUGUAAAAGACUCCCAGGCUUUUCGCAUUCGUGCGACGCAUGUAAGAGGGCCAUAAUUUGGCAUAGAAGCCAAGAAGCACAGUAUUCGAGGUAAAGUCGGACGCUGUUCGACAGGAACAUGAAAUUUGAAGGGAGAACCCGCCUUGCAACGCCGAAGACUACAAGCACGCUGGACUUAUCGUCAUUGAAGCCUGGUUCGGGGGCUACUGAGGGAGUCCUGGACUAGGGGGUGUCUGGAUAGCCGGACUAUCAAUAUCCGCCGGACUCCCAAACUACGAAGAUAGAAGAUUGAAGACUCCGGCUCGUGUCCGGAAGGUACUUUACUUGGCAUGGAACGCAAGCUUGGCAAUACGGAUAUGUAGAUCUCCUACCAUUGUAACCGACUCUGUGUAACCCUAGCCUCUCCGGUGUCUAUAUAAAUCGGAGGGCUUUAGUCCGUAGGACACAACAUUACAUCUCAACAAUCAUACCAUAGGCUAGCUUCUAGGGUUUAGCCUCCUUGAUCUUGUGGUAGAUCUACUCUCGUACUACCCAUAUCAUCAAUAUUAAUCAAGCAGGACGUAGGGUAUUACCUCCGUCGAGAGGGCCUGAACCUGGGUAAAAACAUUGUGUCCCUCGUCUCCUGUUACCAUCCACCUAGACGCACAGUUCAGGACCCCCUACCCGAGAUCCGCCGGUUUUGACACCGACACAAAGGUUGAGCUAUAGUGGAUCCGAACUGAUGCCAGCUACACUCACUAGAUAAACCCUUAUCACAAAUACUAAGGCUAUAUGCAUGCUAUGCAACAAACACACCAGACUCUAUACUACCGAUUUCUACCCGUUUCUACCGCUCGCGCUGACGUCCUACAGCCAGACUUGCUCUGAUACCGAGCCUGUGGCACCCCGGCUCAAAGAAACUGGAAUGCCCCGUAUUCCAGCCCAGAGAUCAAGGAGAAGUCUCUAGAAUACGACACUGCUUGACAUAGAACAAAUCCGCUCUUAUUACAAGAAUAAAUACAAAGGUCUGAUGUUAGAAAGAAGCACAUCAGCACGGUGACACUACACCUGCGAUACUACACUUGCUCUAUGGUAGCAGCGGAACAACUCGUAGCAGCGGAAAUCUUCUAGCAGCGGAACAACAACGAAGGUGGUGAACUCCACUCCGCAGGGACUCUGGCUGGGACACGAUCUAGCUCACACGAACAGAAACCACGACAAGAAAUCAAGCAAGCACGACAUCACCUGCAAUCUGGCAUGACACGCUAGGUCAGUACAUUGAAUGUACUUGCAAGCUCACAACAACCAAAAACAUCAAGGCAAGACAACAACAUAGCAUUAAGUAAGUUAAUUAAAUUAACAGCUACCAUGACAUAACAGCAACUCCUAAGCAUAAUAUGAAACUAGUACAAUACUGAUAAAUCACCAUCUCCGAUCUGCAUAACCAUACCUCUCUUGGCUAACCGGACAAGCAAUAUGCCAUCUCGAUCACCUCGUGAUCAAAACCAAACUGUAACCAUGAUCCUUACAAUGAUCACAACCUGAACAAUGAAUGGUCCGUGAUCCUUAUGGCGAUCACAACCUGACCAAUGAAUGGCCCGUGAUCCUUACUACGAUCACAACCCGACUAAUAAAUGGCUCGUGAUCCUCACAACGAUCACAACCCGACCAAUAAAUGGAAAACCUGUACUGCUCCAAAUAUCCACAUAUCCAUCACCUAUAAGUCAUUCUGUCAUGUGAGUGUUGAUCGAAUGGUGUACCCUAGUACGAACCCAUGCCCAUGACCAAGGGCGCGGCUAUCGAUAGAUUAAACACACACACACACACACACUCUGCAGAGGUAGCACACUGUACCCACAUCACAAAACCAAUGGCCUCGCACUCCCAUUCGGGUGGACCAACGACGUUCCGACAAAACCGAUCUAUUGCCAUGACACUCUCCCGGCCACUCCGACUCACUCCCCACUGGGCUAAGUCAUGGGUGGCCCCGUGUCUACCUCAAGACACAUCGACCACCAUCGUGGCCCGUCCCACACGGGGACACAGAUCCAAAAACUCAGACAACGGGCACACAAGGCUUAUGUCCGCCUACCUGAUCAGGGUAGCGCGCGCCCAUAACCUUCCCUCAUCAGAGGCACCGGCAAGAGGCACGACAAUAGACCACAUUAGGGCCGUCCCAUACCGACAAAUGUGGUUGCACCGGAAAAGGUCCGGUCGGCGGCACCUGACCAACUUAAUGACGGAAUUUAUUCCCAAACAUAUAACCAUGAUAACUGAUACUCCAAUGUCAACCAUCAAACUAUAAUCCAAGUCAUAGCAAUAUCCAACAAAUAAUCCAAGCGUAAUAUCGUAAUACCAAAAUACUCCGAGGAUAGCAUAACACUACUAUCAUGAUGAAUCCGAAACAAUAAUCCUACUACUCCAAUAACAAGAAUACAGCUAUCCAGCUAAGAUCCACAUGUAACCAUCAUCUCCGAAAAUAAUACUCCAAGCAACAAAACAUCAACUAGCAUCAUGAAAAUAUUCAUACUAACCACUAAUAAUCCAAAGGUAGCAUGAUAUACAAAGUAAUACUCCAAGAAUAUAAUCACAGAUAUCAUCAUGGAAAUGAUCAUAAUACCAGCCACUAAUACUCCAAUGGCAACAUGAUACUCAUCAACUACACACAUAAAUCCUAGUAAUCCAAACAAUAGCAUGGCAUCCACAAGAUCAAAAUAAUACUCUAAGAAAAUGCCAUGCACAGAUCACAAGUAGCUAAAGCAAUAUUUUAAACAAGUUCAAAAUGCAUUAAACCAUGUCACUGCAUUAUAGUGAUGCAAAUGGAGGGUGUGGAUUGCCUGGGGUGGAAGAAAUCACCGGAAGAAAGUGCGAGAAGCUCGCGGAAUGAAUCGCCGGAAAUCUUUCUCUCUCGGAGGGGGCUGAUUAAGGGAAGGAGCAAAAUGGCCAUUUUCAGUAUGCCAAAACAUAAUGAAAGUGACACCAACAGAAAGGGCUCGACGAAACAAAGAAGUGAGCGUUGGAAUCACCUCAUUUGGAGUCACGGUUUAAAAGUUAUGGAGUGUUUUCUGCCAGGGACCCAUCUGUAAUGGAAAUAUUUUCAACCAGGGGCCUGAACAGAAAAACAGAACGCGUAAAAGAGAAACACGCUUUCGGAAAGCGAAGAAGUAGCCUGUGGUUUAUGCCUCCAGUUAUCCACGUCAGCGUACCUGUGUCAACGCGAGGCCGGCGGCUGGGUGGCUGAUAGGGGGGGGGCACUGCAUCUUCUCUCUCCUCCUAGCCUCCUUCUUCCUCCCGCCUGGACGCAUCGGGCCGAGCAGGGGAGCUCACCCCGACGAGGCUCGCCAGUGAUCCCGGCCACCAUACGGGGCGCGCGACCUACCGACGAGCUCAGCAGGAGGAGGCGGAUCCAUUCCGCGAGGAGACGGACGCCGAGGAGGAUUGGAGCAACUAGGGCGUGGACUCCGGCGGAGUUGGCUUCGGGUGGAGCUGGGCUUCGCGGCCAGGGGCUACCAUAGGAGGAGGGAAAGGGCUCGGGCGACUCCAGGGUGCGGAUUGGGGCCUCUGGAGGUGGAAGAAGGAGGGGAGGAGCCCGUGGCUGCUCGGAUUUGAGCGGAGCCCGACGGCGGCCAUGGCGGCGAUGGGAGAGCAGGAGAGCUCCUGGAGCUCGGGGAAGAGCAUGGGCGGGGCUAGAGGAGGUUCAGGAGGCCAGCGGUGAGGUCGAGAGGCCUCGGGGUGGGCUUACAUAGCCGGGGAAGGAGCUGCCUCGCUGUCACCGCCGCAGACGCGUGUCCGGUGCCGCGGACGCCUCCUUGCGCGCAUGGACUCGGGGGAAACGACGGGGAGGGCACAGGGGAGAGCUCUCAUGGGUCAGAGGAGGCCAAAGGAGCACGGGGAAGAUGGCGACGACGACGAAUAGAUCCAAACCGCCAGUGUACGUCCGUGGGCGCGCAGCAGUUUGCGUCGGUGAGGUAGCUGUCGGAGGGGGAGAAGGCUCCAUCGGAACGGCGAUGAUGAGAUGCAGCCACUGGACACUGUCACUGGCUCUAAGACGACGAGAGGGAGCAGUGCCAAAGCACAAACAGUGCUCUGGACACGCCACAGUGCACAGAGCGCAUGCACAGGCAUGCCAGCUGCACGGUCACCACACGACAUGGCACAUUAAAUGCUCUAUAGCACCCAAAAUGUUGUCUAUUGGAUAGUCCUUCCUGGGGAGGUCUCAACUACGGUGGUAACUAGGUUAAACAGGCUUUGGAUAAAAAGUUAGUGAGCUCUGAAGUUUACUGCAGUAAACUUUAUCAUCUCAAUGUAAUCAACAGGGGGCUGCUAGGUGUCAAGUGUUACAUCUAGAGUGUUUAGGCUAGGAAGGACUACUACCUUGGGAAUUUGGGAAGAAAUGGACCAAUAUAAAUCAUAGUUGCUUCACAACUGCAUAUCUAGUCCAGAAAUGAAGAUUAGGAUGGUGCACUCACAUGGAGUGUCAACUUGAGCUGAAAUUGGGCAAGGCUUAGUCAUUUGGUCAUAUCAAGAUGCUUACAAAGUAUCAUACCAUUUGGCAAAGCCAAAAUGGUACUUGCUUCACAAACAUCUCCUCUGGACAGAAACAUGAAAUAAUAUUGGUGGUCAAAUGGAUCAAUGAAAUGAUGCCAAAUUGGGUGGAGAGAAGUUUUAUGGGUAUAAUCAUGAUCUAGUAAUUCAUCAGGAUUUUUGAAGCAAUAUAAAAUGCACCUGCUUCACAACCUAAAAAUAAGGCCAGAAUCAAUGAUUUGCUCCUGUGCACACAUAGAUGAUUGCAUGGGGCUGAAAAUGGGUGAAGGGGUUUAAUAUGAGCACAUUAAGGAGUGUGCAAAAGUUCAACUUAUUUGGAUACACCUAGAUAGUACUUCCUUCACAAAGCCUUCUGUCUGACAAAAACUUUGAAAAUUCACUGAGGAAGAUUGACUAGGCAAAUAAAUUUGAACUUGUGCAUGGGACAACUAUUUGGACAUAUAAACAUGCCCAAAAAGAUUGGGAGCCACUAGGAGAAAUAUAAAUGACACUUCCUUCACAAAGUGCCAUUCAGGGCAGAAUAGAAAAAGGAAUAUUGGGGAAUUAUUUUUGAACUGGCCAAGGCAAUGUUUGGCCAUAUUUGAGCUAUAUAUGACCCAAAUGAAUUAUGAGAAUUAUUUGGAGAUUUUUGGAUGGACAAAAAUAUAGGUUGCUUCACAACCUAGGGCAGAUAGGGUUAUUCCUUUAAUGAAAAAGGAAUUUUCCCUAGAAAAAGAUUUUAGGGUUUGAUCAAGGAGUAAAGUGACAUGAUCUUUGGCAAGGUAUUUUGAGAAUGAUGAUCCACUGGGGAGGAGGAAUGAUGAUGAUUUCCCAGGUGGCAAGGCCACAGAACCACUCCAAAAAGAAAAACAGAGCAAAAACCAAAUAAAUCAAAGGAAAAAGAAAGGGCCAAAAUCCAGGCUGUUACAAAGGUGAGAGUGCGUAUAAUCCAUGGACUCAACAUUAGUCAUAAAGAACUCAUAUACUUAUUGCAAAAAUCUACAAGUCAUCACAAACAAAGUACUACGCGCAUGCUCCUAGGGGGAUAGAUUGGUAGGAAAAGACCAUCGCUCGUCUCCGACCGCCACUCAUAAGGAAGACAAUAAAUAAAUAAAAUUGUGCUCCAACUUCAUCACAAAGCGGUUCACCAUACGUGCAUGCUACGAGAAUCACAAACUUUAGCACAAGCAUUCUUCAAAUUCAUAAUCACCCAACUAGCAUGACUUUAAUGUUACCACCUCCAUAUCUCAAAACAAUUAUCAAGCAUCAAAUUGAUCAUAGCAUCCAAUUCACUUUCUAUGAUAGUUUUUAUUAUACCCAACUUGGAUGCCCAUCAUUCUAAGACCAAAUUUAUAACCAUAGCAAAUACCAUGCUGUUCUAAAAGACUCUCAAAAUAAUAUAAGUGAGGCAUGAGAGACUAAUAAUUUCUAAAAAAUUAAGCCACCGCCGUGCUCUAAAAGAUAUAAGUGAAGCACUAGAGCAAAAACUAUCUAGCUCAAAAGAUAUAAGUGAAGCACAUAGAGUAUUCUAAUAAAUUCCAAUCAAGUGGGCUUCUCACAAAAGCUAUGUACAGCAAGGAUGAUUGUGGAAAACUAAAAAUCAAAGACUAAUAUCAUACAAGACGCUCCAAGCAAAACACAUAUCAUGUGGCGAAUAAAAAUAUAGCUCCAAGUAAAGUUACCGAUAAAGGAAGACGAAAGAGGGGAUGCCUUCCGUGGCAUCCCCAAGCUUAGGCUCUUGGUUGUCCUUGAAUAUUGCCUUGGGGUGUCUUGGGCAUCCCCAAGCUUAGACUCUUGCCACUCUUUAUUCCAUAGUCCAUCGAACCUUUACCCAAAACUUGAAAACUUCACAACACAAAACUCAACAGAAAACUCGUAAGCUGUGUGAGUAUAAGAAAAUAAAAUCACAACUUAGGUACUGUAAUGAACUCAUUCUAAAUUCAUAUUGGUGUAAUAUCUACUGUAUUCCAACUUCUGUAUGGUUCAUACCCUCCGAUACUACUCAUAGAUUCAUCAAAAUAAGCAAACAACACAUAGAAAACAGAAUCUCUCAAAAACAGAACAGUUUGUAGUAAUGUAUAUCAAACGUAUAUUUAUGGAACUCCAAAAAUCCUACAAAAUUAGGAAGUCCUAAGAAAUUUGUGUACCAACCCAUAGCAAAAUGAAUCAGAUCAGAAUCACGUUUGUGUGAAUUACCAAAACUAAUUUACUGGGUGCAAAAGUUUCUGAUUGUCAGCAGGAUCAACACAACUAUCACCGUAAGCUAUCGUAAAGGUCUUACUUGGCACUUUAUUGAAACAAAAGUUAUAAAACAUGAUUACUACAGUAGCAUAAUCAUGUGGACACGCAAUAAUAAUAAGGAUAAAUAUUGGGUUGUCUCCCAACAAGCACUUUUCUUUAAUGCCUUUCUAGCUAGGCAUGAUGAUGACAUUGAUGCUCACAUAAAAGAUAAGAAUUGAAACAUAGAGGGAGCAUCAUGAAGCAUAUGACUAGCACAUUUAAUCCUAACCCACUUCCUAUGCAUAGGGAUUUUGUGAGCAAACAACUUAUGGGAACAAUAAUCAACUAGCAUAGGAAGGCUCAACAAGCAUAACUUCAAGAUUUUCAACACAUAGGGAGGAAACUUGAUAUUAUUGCAAUUCCUACAAUCAUAUGUUCCUCCCUCAUAAUAAUUUUCAGUAUCAUAAUGGAUGAAUUCAACAAUAUAACCAGCAUCUAAAGCAUUCUUUUCAUGAUCUACAAGCAUAUAAAAUUUACUACUCUUCACAUAAGCAAAAUUCUUCUCAUUCGGAAUAGUGGGAGUGUCAUAAGAGACUUGAAUACUAUAGAUUGUUUCCACAGUAAAAGAGUAAUGUUCAGAAAAAGGGUAAUCAUUACCAUGACAAGUUUUAUAAAUAUAAUCAUCACUACUUUUUAUAGCAUAAGUUUCAUCACAAUAAUCAUCAUAAGUAGCAACUUCGUUCUCACCAUAAUCGAUCGAAACCUCUUCCAAGAUAGUGGAAUCAUCACUAAAUAAAGUUGACACACUUCCAAACCUACUUUCAUCAAUAUAAUCAUCAUGGGUAAGAGGCAUGCUAUCAUCAUAACAACUUUGCAUAUCAAAACUUGGGAAACUAAAAAUAUCAUCUUCAUAAAACGUAGCAUCCCCAAGCUUGGGACAAAUAUUAAUUUCAGCAAAUAAAUUCUCAAAUAUUUCAUCCUCAUCAAACAUAGCUUCCCCAAGCCUGGGCCUUUUCAUAUCAUAAGAAUAAUCACUCUCAUCAUUAAUAGUAUGGAUAGCACCAAUAGUAUAGCAAUUAUCAUCAUCACAAUGAGUAGUGGGAGCAACAUCAUUUUGGAGGGAUACCUUUUUACCUUUGUUGCUCCUUGUUUUCUUUUUCUUCUUCACAUUAUGUGUGGGUUCAACCUUGUUCUUUGAGAUCCUUAUUAGUGAGAUUGAUUGAAUAGAAAGCUCCUCCUCGUUACCUGAUUCAUCAUAAGAAAUAAUAGGAGGUAGUGGGAAGUCUCUUCCCUUUCAUUAGUAUUCUCAUCAUCUUCUAUUUGCUAUUCAUCAUAAGGAUUUUCAAUGCAAUUCACCGCACAAUACAUAUAAAUUUCCUCUAGAUCAAACUGAAGAAGGUUAUAACGGGCAAAUUUUGGAAGAAAUUUAGUUAAACUUUUCAUUUCUUCGUAACCCAUAAGCAAACUAAGUUCAUUAUAAUGUGCAAGGGAGAUCAAAUCAUCACAAUUGUGGGACACGAUUCGAUCAUGAAACAAUUUGCAUCGGAUAUGUAAAUGACAACUUUCAUUGCAAAGUUCACAAGUACCGCGAAGGAAAUAUAAUUCUUUAGCACUCACCCUUAGCCUUUAUUGCAACAAUUUAGUUUCUACAUGCUUAUGCCUCUUGCAGUAUCUAUCUUCUCUAUUUGGUGUUGAAGGAAAUAUGCCCUAGAGGCAAUAAUAAAGUUAUUAUUUAUUUCCUCAUAUCAUGAUAAAUGUUUAUUAUUCAUGCUAGAAUUGUAUUAACCGGAAACAUGAUACAUGUGUGAAUACAUAGACAAACAUAUAGUCACUAGUAUGCCUCUACUUGACUAGCUCAUUAAUCAAAGAUGGUCAUGUUUCCUGACCAUAGACAUGUGUUGUCAUUUGAUUAGUGGGAUCGCAUCAUUAGAAGAAUGAUGUGAUUGACAUGACCCAUUCUGUUAGCCUAGCACUUGAUCGUUUAGUAUUCUGCUAUUGCUUUCUUCAUGACUUAUAUAAAGUUCCUGCAACUAUGAGAUUGUGCAACUCCCGUUUACCGGAAGAACACUUUGUGUGCUACCAAAUGUCACAAUGUAACUGGGUGAUUAUAAAGGUGCUCUACAGGUGUUUCCGAAGGUACAUGUUGAGUUGGCAUAAUUCGAGAUUAGGAUUUGUCACUCCGAUUGUCGGAGAGGUAUCUCUGGCCCUCUCUGUAAUACUCAUCACCUAAGCCUUGCAAGCAUGUAACUAAUGAGUUAGUUAUGAGAUGACGUAUUACAGAACGAGUAAAGAGACUUGCCAGUAACGAUAUUGAACUAGGUAUUGGAUACCGACGAUCAAAUCUCGGGCAAGUAACAUACCGAUGACAAAGGGAACAAAGUAUGUUGUUAUGCGGUUUGACCGAUAAAGAUCUUCGUAGAAUAUGUAGGAACCAAUAUGGGCAUCUAGGUCCCGCUAUUGGUUAUUGACCAGAGACAUGUCUCGGUCAUGUCUACAUUGUUCUCGAACCGUAGGGUCCACACGCUUAAGGUUUCGAUGACAGUUAUAUUAUGAAUUUAUGUAUUUUGAUGUACCGAAGGUUGUUCGGAGUCCCGGAUAUGAUCACGGACAUGACGAGGAGUCUCGAAAUGGUCGAGACAUAAAGAUUGAUAUAUUGGACGGAUAUAUUUGGACACCGGAAAGGUUCCAGGAGAGUUUGGGAAUAUGCCGGAGCUCCGGGAGGUUACCGGAACCCCCCGUUAAGUAUAUGGGCCUUAUUGGGCCCAAGUGGAAGGAAGGGAGAAGGAGCAAGGGAGGGGGGCGCCCCCCCCCCCCAAGCCCAAUCCGAAUUGGGGAGGGGGCCGGCCCCCCCUUUCCUUUCUCCUUCCCUCUCUUCCUUCCUACUACUAGUACUCCUUCCUUCCCCCUCCAAGUUGGAUUAGGAAAAGGAGGGGAAACCUACUUGGAGUAGGUUUCCCCCUCCCUAUGGCGCGCCCCCCCUUGGGCCGGCCACCUCCUCCCUCCCUCCUUUAUAUACGGGGGUAGGGGGCACCCUAGACACGCAAGUUGAUCAUUGAGAUCGUUCCUUAGCCGUGUGCGGUGCCCCCCUCCACGAUAUUACACCUCGGUCAUAUUGUAGCGGUGCUUAGGCGAAGCCCUGCGACAGGAGAACAUCAAGAUCAUCACCACGCCGUCGUGCUGACGGAACUCCCCCCUGCGCCUCUGCUGGAUCGGAGAUAGGGGGUGCGUCAUCGAGCUGUACGUGUGUCAAGAACUCGGAGGUGCCGGAGUAAUGGUGCUUGGAUCGGUUGGACCAGGAGGACGUACGACUACUUCCUCUACGUUGCGUCAACGCUUUCGCUUCGGUCUACGAGGGUACGUAGACAACACUCUCCCCUCGUUUCUAUAUCAUCACCAUGAUCUUGCGUGUGCGUAGGAAAUUUUUUGAAAUUACUACGUUCACCAAGAGUGGCAUCCGAGCCCAGGUUUUAUGUGUUGAUGUUAUAUGCACGAGUAGAACACAAGUGAGUUGUGGACGAUAUAAGUCAUACUGCCUACCAGCAUGUCAUACUUUGGUUCAGCGGUAUUGUUGGAUGAAGCGGCCCGGACCGACAUUACGCAUACGCUUACGCGAGACUGGUUUUACCGCCGUGCUUUGCACACAGGUGACUAGCGGGUGUCUGUUUCUCCAACUUUAGUUGAACCGAGUGUGGCUACGCCCAGUCCUUGUGAAGGUUAAAACGGAGUCUAUUUGACAAACUAUCGUUGUGGUUUUGAUGCGUAGGUAAGAACGGUUCUUGCUAAGCCCGUAGCAGCCACGUAAAAUUUGCAACAACAAAGUAGAGGACGUCUAACUUGUUUUUGCAGGGCAUGUUGUGAUGUGAUAUGGUCAAGACGUGAUGCUAUAUUUUAUUGUAUGAGAUGAUCAUGUUUUGUAACCGAAGUUAUCGGCAACUGGCCGGAGCCAUAUGGUUGUCGCUUUAUUGUAUGAAAUGCAAACGCCCUGUAAUUGCUUUACUUUAUCACUAAGCGGUAGCGAUAGUCGUAGAAGCAAUAGAUGGCGUAAACGACAACGAUGCUACGAUGGAGAUCAAGGUGUCGCGCCGGUGACGAUGGUGGUCAUGACGGUGCUUCGAAGAUGGAGAUCACAAGCACAAGAUGAUGAUGGCCAUAUCAUAUCACUUAUAUUGAUUGCAUGUGAUGUUUAUCCUUUAUGCAUCUUAUCUUGCUUUGAUUGACGGUAGCAUUUUAAGAUGAUCUCUCACUAAAAUUAUCAAGAAGUGUUCUCCCUGAGUAUGCACCAUUGCCAAAGUUCGUCGUGCCGAGACACCACGUGAUGAUCGGGUGUGAUAAGCUCUACGUCCAUCUACAACGGGUGCAAGCCAGUUUUGCACAUGCGGAAUACUCAGGUUAUACUUGACGAGCCAGCAUAUGCAGAUAUGGCCUCGGAACACGGAGACCGAAAGGUCGAGUGUGAAUCAUAUAGUAGAUAUGAUCAACAUAGUGAUGUUCACCAUUGAAAACUACUCCAUCUCACGUGAUGAUCGGUCAUGGUUUAGUUGAUUUGGAUCACGUAAUCACUUAGAUGACUAGAGAGAUGUCUGUCUAAGUGGGAGUUCUUAAGUAAUAUGAUUAAUUGAACUUUAAUUUAUCAUGAACUUAGUCCUAGUAGUAUUUUGCAAAUUAUGUUGUAAGAUCAAUAGCUUGCGUUGUUGCUUUCAUAUGUUUAUUUUGAUAUGUUCCUAGAGAAAAUUGUGUUGAAAAAUGUUAGUAGCAAUGAUGCGGAUUUGAUCCGUGAUCUGAGGUUUAUCCUCAUUGCUGCAUAGAAGAAUUAUGUCCUUGAUGCACCGCUAGGUGACAGACCUAUUGCAGGAGCAGAUGCAGACGUUAUGAACGUUUGGCUAGCUCAAUAUGAUGACUACUAGAUAGUUUAGUGCACCAUGCUUAAACGGCUUAGAAUCGGGACUUCAAAGACGUUUUGAACGUCAUGGACCAUAUAAGAUGUUCCAGGAGUUGAAGUUAAUAUUUCAAGCAAAUACCCUAGUUGAGAGAUAUGAAGUCUCCAACAAGUUCUAUAGCUAAAAGAUGGAGGAGAAUCGCUCAACUAGUGAGCAUGUGCUCAGAUUGUCUGGGUACUUCAAUCGCUUGAAUCAAGUGGGAGUUAAUCUUCCAGAUAAGAUAGUGAUUGACAGAAUUCUCUAGUCACCAUCACUUAGUUACUAGAACUUCGUGAUGAACUAUGGUAUGCAAGGGAUGACGAAAAUGAUUCCCGAGCUCUUCGUGAUGUUGAAAUCAAGGAAGGUAGAAAUCAAUAAAAGACCAUCAAGUGUUGAUGAUUGACAAGACCACUAGUUUCAAGAGAAGGGCAAAGGGAAAGAAAGGGAACUUCAAGUGGAAAGACAACCAAGUUGUCACUCCUGCGAAGAAGCCCAAAGCUGGACCAUAGCCUGAAACUGAGUGUUUACACUGCAAAGGAAAUGGUCACUGGAAGCGGAAAUGCCCUGAAUAUUGGGUGGAUAAGAAGGAUGGCAAAGUGAACAAGGGUAUAUUUGAUAUACAGAUUAUUGAUGUGUGCCUUACUAGUGUUUAUAGUAACCCCUGAGUAUUUGAUACUUGCUCGGUUGCUAAGAUUAAUAACUCGAAACAGGAGUUACAGAAUAAACAGAGACUAGUUGAAGGGAAAGUGACGAUGAGUGUUGGAAGUAGUUCCAAGAUUGAUAUGAUCAUCAUUGCACACUCCCUAUACUUUCGGGAUUAGUGUUAAAACCUAAAUAAAUCUUAUUUAGCAUUUGCGUUGAGCAUGAAUAUGAUUUGAUCAUGUUUAUUGCAAUACGGUUAUUCAUUUAAAGUCAGAGAAUAAUUGUUGUUCUGUUUACAUGAAUAAAACCUUCAAUGGUCAUACACCCAAUGAAAAUAGUUUGUUGGAUCUCGAUCGUAGUGAUACACAUAUUCGUAAUAUUGAUGCCAAAAGAUGCAAAGUUAAUAAUGAUAGUGCAACUUAUUUGUGGCACUGCCAUUUGGGUCAUAUCGGUGUAAAGCGCAUGAAGAAACUCCAUAAAGAUGGAUUUUCGGAAUCACUUGGUUAUGAAUCAUUUGAUGCUUGCGAACUGUGCCUUUUGGGCAAGAUGACUAAAACUCCGUUCUUCGGAACAAUGGAACGAGCAACAAACUUGUUGGAAAUAAUACAUACUGAUGUAUGCAGACCAAUGAGUAUUAAGGCUCGUGGCGAGUAUCGUUAUUUUCUGACCUUCACAGAUGAUUUAAGCAGAUAUGGGUAUAUCUACUUGAUGAAACAUAAGUCUGAAAUAGUUGAAAGGUUCAAAGAAUUUCAGAGUGAAGUGGAAAAUCAUCGUAACAAGAAAAUAAAGUUUCUGCGAUCUGAUCGUGGAGGAGAAUAUUUGACUUACGAGUUUGGCCUUCAUAUAAAACAAAUGUGGAAUAGUUUCACAGUUCACGCAACCUGGAACACUACAACAUUAUGGUGUGUCCGAACGUCGUAAUCGUAUUUUAUAAGAUAUGGUGCGAUCUAUGAUGUUUCUUACCGAUUUACCAAUAUCGUUUUGGGAUCAUGCAUUAGAGACAGCUGCAUUCACGUUUAAAAGGGCCCCAUCUAAAUCCGUUGAGAGGACACCGUAUGAACUAUGGUUUAGCAGUAAACCUAAGCUGUCGUUUCUUAAAGUUUGGUGUUGCGAUGCUUAUAUGAAAAAGUUUUUCAACCUGAUAAGCUCGAACCCAAAUCGGAGAAGUGCGUCUUCAUAGAAUACCCAAAGGAAACUGUUGGGUAAUCCUUCUCUCACUGAUCCGAAGGCAAAACAUUCAUUGCUAAAAAUGGAUCCUUUCUAGAGAAGGAGUUUCUCUCGAAAGAAGUGAGUGGGAGGAAAGUAGAACUUGAUGAGGUAACUGUACCUGUUCCCUUAUUGGAAAGUAGUUCAUCACAGAAAUCAGUUCCUGUGACAAAUACACCAAUUAGUGAGGAAGCUAGUGAUAUUGAUCAUGAAACUUCGGAUCAAGUUACUACAAAACCUCGUAGGUCUUCCAGAGUAAGAUCCGCACCAGAGUGGUGUAGUAAUCAUGUUUUGGAAGUCAUGUUACUAGACCAUGAUGAACCUACGAACUAUGAGGAAGCGAUGAUGAGCCCAGAUUCCGCGAAAUGGCUCGAGGCCAUAAAAUCUGAGAUAUGAUCCAUGUAUGAGAACAAAGUAUGGACUUUGAUUGACUUGCUCGAUGAUCGGCAAGCCAUGUUAAAUAAAUGGAUCUUCAAGAGGAAGACGGACACUGAUAGUAGUAUUACUAUCUACCAAGCUCGACUUGUUGCGAAAGGUUUUCAACAAGUUCAAGGUGUUGAAUACGAUGAGAUUUUCUCACUUGUAUCGAUGCUUAACUCUGUCUAAAUCAUGUUAGCAAUUGCCACAUUUUAUGAAAUCUGGCAAAUGGAUGUCAAAACUGCAUUCCUUAAAGGAUUUAUUAAAGAAGAGUUGUAUAUGAUGCAACCAGAAGGUUUUGUCAAUCCUAAAGGUGCUAACAAAAUAUGCAAGCUCCAGCGAUCCAUCUAUGGACUGGUGCAAGCAUCUCGGAGUUGGAAUAUACGCUUUGAUAAGUUGAUCAAAGCAUAUAGUUUUAUAUGGACUUACGAUGAAGCAUGUAUUUACAAUAAAGUGAGUGGGAGCACUACAGCCUUUCUGAUUAGUAUAUGUGAGUGACAUAUUGUUGAUCAGAAAUGAUGUAGAAUUUUUCUGCAAAGCAUAAAGGAGUGUUUUAAAGGAUUUCUUUAAAAGAAAAGACCUCAGUAAAAGCUACAUACAUAUUGAGCAUCAAGAUCUAUUGAGAUAGAUCAAGACGCUUGAUAAGAUUUUCAAUGAGUACAUACCUUGGCAAGAUUUUGAAAUAGUUCAAAAUGGAACAGUCAAAGAAAGAGUUCUUGCAUGUGUUGCAAAGGUAAUUGAGUAAGACUCAAAUCCCGACCACAGCAGAAAAUAGAAAGAAUGAAAAGUCAUUCCCUAUGCCUCAGUCAUAGGUUCUAUAAAGUAUGCUAUGCUAUGUACCAGACCUAUUGUAUACCUUGCUCUAAAUCUGGCAAGGGAGUACGAUAGUGAUCUAGGAGUAGAUCACUGGACAUUGGUCAAGAAUAUCCUUAGUAAGGACUAAGGAGAUGUUUCUCGAUUAUGGAGGUGAUAAAAGAGUUUGUUGUAAAAGUUACAUCAGUGCAAACUUUUACACCGAUCCAGAAGACUCUAAGUCUCAAUCUGGAUAAAUAUUGAAAGUCGGAGCAAUUAGCUAGAAUAGCUCCGUGCAGAGCAUUAUAGACAUAGAAUAUUUGCAAAAUACAUGCGGCUCUGAAUGUGACGGAACCGUUGACUAAGCUUCUCUCACGAGCAAAACAUGAUCAGCACCAAGACUCCAUGGGUGUUAGAAUCAUUACUAUGUAAUCUAGAUUAUUGACUCUAGUGCAAGUGGGAGACUGAAGGAAAUAUGCCCUAGAGGCAAUUAGAAAGUUAUUAUUUAUUUCCUCAUAUCAUGAUAAAUGUUUAUUAUUCAUGCUAGAAUUGUAUUAACCGGAAACAUGAUACAUGUGUGAAUACAUAGACAAACAUAUAGUCACUAGUAUGCCUCUACUUGACUAGCUCAUUAAUCAAAGAUGGUCAUGUUUCCUGACCAUAGACAUGUGUUCUCAUUUGAUUAGUGGGAUCACAUCAUUAGAAGAAUGAUGUGAUUGACAUGACCCAUUCUGUUAGCCUAGCACUAGAUCGUUUAGUAUUCUGCUAUUGCUUUCUUCAUAACUUAUACAAAGUUCCUGCAACUAUGAGAUUGUGCAACUCCCGUUUAUCGGAAGAACACUUUGUGUGCUACCAAACGUCACAACAUAACUGGGUGAUUAUAAAGGUGCUCUACAGGUGUUUCCGAAGGUACAUGUUGAGUUGGCAUAAUUCGAGAUUAGGAUUUGUCACUCCGAUUGUCGGAGAGGUAUCUCUGGGCCCUCUCGGUAAUACUCAUCAGCUAAGCCUUGCAAGCAUGUAACUAAUGAGUUAGUUAUGAGAUGACGUAUUAUAGAAUGAGUAAAGAGACUUGCCAGUAACGAGAUUGAACUAGGUAUUGGAUACCGACGAUCAAAUCUCGGGCAAGUAACAUACCGAUGACAAAGGGAACAAAGUAUGUUGUUAAGCGGUUUGACCGAUAAAGAUCUUCGUAGAAUAUGUAGGAACCAAUAUGAGCAUCCAGGUCCCGCUAUUGGUUAUUGACCAGAGACGUGUCUCGGUCAUGUCUACAUUGUUCUCGAACAGUAGGGUCCACACGCUUAAGGUUUCGAUGACAGUUAUAUUAUGAAUUUAUGUAUUUUGAUGUACCGAAGGUUGUUCGGAGUCCCGGAUAUGAUCACGGACAUGACGAGGAGUCUCGAAAUGGUAGAGACAUAAAGAUUGAUAUAUUGGACGGAUAUAUUUGGACACCGGAAAGGUUCCGGGAGAGUUUGGGAAUAUACCGGAGCUCCGGGAGGUUACCGGAACCCCCGGUAAGUAUAUGGGCCUUAUUGGGCCCAAGUGGAAGGAAGGGAGAAGGAGCAAGGGAGGCGGGCGCACCCCCCCAAGCCCAAUCNNNNNNNNNNNNNNNNNNNNNNNNNNNNNNNNNNNNNNNNNNNNNNNNNNNNNNNNNNNNNNNNNNNNNNNNNNNNNNNNNNNNNNNNNNNNNNNNNNNNNNNNNNNNNNNNNNNNNNNNNNNNNNNNNNNNNNNNNNNNNNNNNNNNNNNNNNNNNNNNNNNNNNNNNNNNNNNNNNNNNNNNNNNNNNNNNNNNNNNNNNNNNNNNNNNNNNNNNNNNNNNNNNNNNNNNNNNNNNNNNNNNNNNNNNNNNNNNNNNNNNNNNNNNNNNNNNNNNNNNNNNNNNNNNNNNNNAUUAGGAAAAGGAGGGGAAACCUACUUGGAGUAGGUUUCCCCCUCCCUAUGGCGCACCCCCCCUUGGGCCGGCCACCUCCUCCCUCCCUCCUUUAUAUACGGGGGUAGGGGGGCACCCUAGACACACAAGUUGAUCAUUGAGAUCGUUCCUUAGCCGUGUGCGGUGCCCCCCUCCACGAUAUUACACCUCGGUCAUAUUGUAGCGGUGCUUAGGCGAAGCCCUGCGACAGGAGAACAUCAAGAACGUCACCACGCCGUCGUGCUGACGGAACUCCCCCCUGCGCCUCUGCUAGAUCGGAGAUAGGGUGUGCGUCAUCGAGCUGUACGUGUGUCAAGAACUCGGAGGUGCCGGAGUAACGGUGCUUGGAUCGGUUGGACCAGGAGGACGUACGACUACUUCCUCUACAUUGCGUCAACGCUUCCGCUUCGAUCUACGAGGGUACGUAGACAACACUCUCCCCUCGUUGCUAUAUCAUCACCAUGAUCUUGCGUGUGCGUAGGAAUUUUUUUGAAAUUACUACGUUCACCAAUAGGUGUAUCCAUGCAAACCCAAUGCUCUCCACAAAAAUCGACAUGCUUAUAAGAGACAUUUUCAUCAUAACUAGUGCAAUCAUCAUUAGUACUAUGGAUAUUCAAGGAUUCACACUAACAACAUUGCAAUCAUGCUCAUCAUCCAAAGAUUUAGUACCAAACAUUUUAAUGCAUUCUUCUUCUAGAAAUUGAGCACAAUUUUCCUUUCCAUCAUACUCACGAAAGAUAAUAAAAAGAUGAAGCGUAUGAGACAAACUCCAAUCCAUUUUUUUGUAGUUUUCUUUUAUAGACUAAAAUAGUGAUAAAACAAGAAACAAAAAGAUUCGAUUGCAAGACCUAAAGAUAUACCUUCAAGCACUCACCUACCCGGCAACGGCGCUAGAAAAGAUCUUGAUGUCUACUACACAACCUUCUUCUUGUAGACGUUGUUGGGCCUCCAAGUGCACAGGUUUGUAGGACAGUAGCAAAUUUCCCUCAAGUGGAUGACCUAAGGUUUAUCAAUCCGUGGGAGGCGUAGGAUGAACAUGGUCUCUCUCAAACAACCCUGCAACCAAAUAAUAAAGAGUCUCUUGUGUCCCCAACACACCCAAUACAAUGGUAAAUUGUAUAGGUGCACUAGUUCGGCGAAGAGAUGGUGAUACAAGUGCAAUAUGGAUGGUAGAUAUAGGUUUCUUUAAUCUGAAAAUAUAAAAACAGGAAGGUAACUAAUGAUAAAAGUGAGCACAAACAAUAUUGCAAUGCUUCAAAACAAGGCCUAAGGUUCAUACUUUCACUAGUGCAUGUUCUCUCAACAAUAAUAACAUAGAUAGAUCAUAUAACAAUCCCUCAACAUACAACAAAGAGUCACUCCAAAGCCACUAAUAGCGGAGAACAAACGAAGAGAUUAUGGUAGGGUACGAAACCACCUCAAAGUUAUCCUUUCUGCUCGAUCUAUUCAAGAGUCCGUAGUAAAAUAACACGAAGCUAUUCUUUCCGUUUGAUCUAUCAUAGAGUUCGUACUAGAAUAACACCUUAAGAAACAAAUCAACCAAAACCCUAAUGUCACCUAGAUACUCCAUUGUCACCUCAAGUAUCCGUGGGCAUGAUUAUACGAUAUGCAUCACACAAUCUCAGAUUCAUCUAUUCAACCAACACAAAGUACUUCAAAGAGUGCCCCAAAGUUUCUACCGGAGAUUCAAGACGAAAACGUGUGCCAACCCCUAUGCAUAGGUUCAUGGGCGGAACCCGCAAGUUGAUCACCAAAACACACAUCAAGUGGAUCACGUGAUAUCCCAUUGUCACCACAGAUAAGCACGACAAGACAUACAUCAAGUGUUCUCAAAUCCGAUAAGAUAACUUCAAAGGGAAAACUCAAUCCAUUACAAGAGAGUAGAUGGGGAGAAACAUCGUAAGAUCCAACUAUAAUUGCAAAGCUCGUGAUACAUCAAGAUCAUAUCACCUCAAGAACACGAGAGAGAGAGAGAGAGAGAGAGAUCAAACAUAUAGCUACUGGUACAUACCCUCAGCCCCGAGGGUGAACUACUCCCUCCUCGUCAUGGAGAGCGCUGGGAUGUCGGUGGGAAAUGACACCUAUGGGAUCACUGGAAUCCCUACUACGGUUGCGGGACGUGGGGAUCGUGAGAAGAGCGGGACUAACAGACGACACAAAGGGGAUUUAACAGGUUCGGGCCGCAAAGAUGCGUAAAACCCUAAGAUCCUGCUUUGGUGGAUGUAUUUAGUGUUCUUGAGCUCUUGAACUAGCUCUGGGUGCUGGUAGGUUUGAAAGAGCCGAAUCCUUCUCCAGUGCGCCAUGGGCCCCCUUUUAUAGGUGAAAGCGGCUGCCAGAGUGGCACACAGGAGGUGGAAAGUGCUACAGCGCUGUGAGCUUAUCGCUGGUAUUACAUGACAAAGUGCAUUUAAUGCGAGGCUUAGGUGUCCGUUCACUUUAUCUGGGACGGGGGCGAGGCCCAUCCCGUCCGUCGCCGUUCCUCCUUGCUUCGACACGCGCCCUGUCCAGCGAUGCAUGCGGUGCCAUGUAGGCAGGCAGGCAGCUGAGGUGGCGCGGUGGUGGAGCCUCCAUGAAGGGCUGCAUGUUGCCACGCACGUGCCUACCCAGCUGGUUGGGUCGGCAGCUGCAUGUGAACGGUGGCGGAGACUUGGCUGGCGUGGGCCUGGCAGUGGCCCUACUGGCGUGCUUGGCGAGGGUUUUGUCGGGCGGCCCGGCAAGGGUCUUGCCGUGGUGCGCUGGCGUCCCCGGCAAGGAUCUUGCUGGGGGUCUUGUGGGUUUCUUCGGUGAUGAUGGUUGCCUCCCCAUCCUCAUUUGAUCUUGACUAUUCUUUGUCUUCACAAAGAUCUGCAUGCCACCAUGGAGCUGCCUCCCGAGCCUUGUCCCAAUGCGCCUGUUUAGCGUUGGUGGGCUCAAAGGUGGCUCACUCAGUUGGUGUGGGCAAGCUGCCCCGGAAAGGGUCUUGCCGGGGCUGCUGAGGCUGCCCAGACAAGGGUCCUUGCCAGGAAACCUGCUUCGUCCAUCCGAUCUUUGUGGCCUUGGUCCUUGUCGUUGCUUUGCUUGUCUUGUGCCUUCGACUUCUCUCUAGCAUCCCUUCCCUGUUAUGUGUGGCCGUGGCGGGUGGCUCUGACUACCCGUGCACAAGUAAAGGGGUCAAAAGCAGAGCCCCUACUUUUGUACACUGACAGGAGCCCCCGGGAUUGGGCCAUACAUAAGCGCAGUACGUUGUUGGGCCAGGCCCAGAACGGUGCGCGGGCAGUUGGGGCAGAUUUUUACCGUGGUAACUGCUCCGUCUGCUGCGCUUCCCCACGACCCGUGUUGAACGCGUGACGUGGGGGUUGUGCGCACGCAUGAUGGAAGCAUGCUGGCGUCAUCCCGUGGCAGACAGUAAAGAGGCAGCUUGCAUGUCUCUUUGAGACCGCAGGGCCGCUGCUCAUUUACUGCCCUCACUUGGGAACCGUCACUCCAUGCGUCCCACUGCGCCUAUCCCUCGCGCCAUGUUCGCUGCAUGCAUGACACAGGGUGAAUGAUAGGCGCGCGGGAUGUGAGAAGUCGUGCACGUGCGUGGGUCGAUUCCCACGCGGCUUCAAUGCAGCGGGGUGGGCGGUCGACGGCCCUGCUUGCUGUCACUUCAACGGGCCGGAUUGGCCGAGAGGGGGUGACCGAGCCUUGCCCAUGCCCCUUUAUAAAGAGGGGAGCGGGAGGAACGAUGCCUCUCAACCCUUCGCCAUCUACCUCUCCCCAUUCCUGCUUUCUCCUUUCUUCUGCCAUGGCGAGGGGGCGUGGCGACGCUUCAUCGGUGGCGGCGAGGGUUUCGGCCAGACAGCGCAUCGCUCCUCCCCAAGAGCUCAUUGUCGGAUUUCAGGUUCCGGCAGACCCUUGAGGUUCGAACACUGGGGUGCGCACGAAGACCUUUCCCCUACCAGCUCACGCGUCGAAGUCUCGCAACGAUCUAGGCUUGAAAGAAGAACACACAAGGGACGCGAGAUUUAUACUGGUUCACGCCACCAUUGUGGUGUAAUACCCUACUCCGGUGUGUGGUGUGGUGGAUUGCCUCAGGGGCUGAUGAUGAAUAGUACAAAGGGAGAACAGCCUCGCGAGGGGCUGAUCUUGAGCUGGUGUGAUGAACUGCUAGGGUGAGUUCAGUCGCCUCUCUCUAGUCGCGUCUUCUUGAGAUAGAUGCUCGAUGCGAUUCCUAGAUGCCUCUACCCUGUGGGUGGCUAGUCCUAUUUAUAGAUGGAGGCCCUGGGCCUCUUCCCAAAUAAUGAGCGAGAAGGGCGCCAACACUUGGCCAUUUUGAAGGGGAACAUCUAGUACACUUAUCCUCACUAAAGUUGUGUCAGGACCCCGACUCAAUGCCACAUUGAUCUAGCAUGUAACACCUCAUAUCACUUUGCGGCCUCACGCACGGUAUCCCCACGGCUGUCGCCUUACCUUUGCCCGGGACCGUUUGUGCCUUUUGGCACACGUAUAUGAUAGUGUCGCUAGCAUCCAUAUGAUAAGGAGCCUGGGCUGACAUGGCUAGUCGUAGACCCAAAGUGGCACAAACUUACAAGGACAGGCAUCCAUGACCUAGCAUCGAACGUGUCGGUCAUCAGCGAGUGGAUCCAGGCUGUAGCACUGGGCUAGCAGGACUCCGGUGAACCGGGCUGUAGCGGGCUAACAGGACUCCGGUAUUCAUCGCGUGACAUUUCCCGGAAGGGACAGACACAGGAACGAAGAAGGACACAUGCCGGCCAGCCUAAGUGUUCCGGAGCAGUAGCAAGCUACCAUGGCUUAGUGGAAGCACUAGGAGACAUUUCCCGGUAAGAGAGGCUACUAAGGAUAAACAACUAGCCAGUCAGAUCCCACACAUACCAAGCAUUUCAAUAACAUACACACAAUAUGCUCAAUAUGUGCAAAUACAACAUGGCAUCACAACAUGACUCUACAACUCAAGUAUUUAUUCAAUAGGCUCCAAGGAGCGAGAUAUUACAAACAUGGGUCUCAUGACCCAACAUUCAGAGCAUACAAGUCAAAGCACAAGCAGAAGCUUAACAUGUCUGAGUACAGACAACUACAAAUGAAAAAGGCUGAGAAGCCUGACUAUCUACCAGAUCCCACCGAGGGCACAAGAUCGUAGCUGAGGUAACAAGCUAAACGUUGAAGUCCACGCGGAACUACUAGCGAGACUGAAGUCUCCCUGCAAAUACGUAAAAUAGGCAAACGUGAGUACAAAUGUACCCAGCAAGACUUACAUCAGAACUAACUACAUAUGCAUCAUUAUCAACAAAGGGGGUGGUGGAGUUUAACUGCAGCAAGCCAGCUUUGACUCGGUGGCUAACCUGAACUACGACUGCAAGUAACUCUUUUGAGGUGGCGCACACGAGUCCACAUAUUCAGCAUAUCAAUACACCACUAUGUAUCCGCUCCCGUCUCCCUACGAGAACGCCAUCCAUAGCACUCACACUUAUCUUGCGCAUUUUAGAGUAUCCACUUUCACUUGUCUAUGAACUGUACAGGCAACCCAGAAGUCCUUUACUGCGGACACAGCUAUUCGAAUAGAUCAUAUUAACCCUGCAGGGGUGUACUUCUUCACACAUGCUCUCGCCACUUACCGCCAUGUACACGUCAUGUGUCUCGGCAACCUUCAAGCGGAAGCCUGGCGAGGGUGUCGUCCACGACCUGACUAACCACACAAGUCUCUAGUCCAGGUUUAUCGCCUAUUCGGGUUCCAUCCGCAAGGAGAUCCGGCCGGGGUGUCGCUCACGGCCCCAAACGAUGUGAGCAGGGUUCCCAAGCCCACCUCGACGGGUGGAUCUACGCUUGGUACACCGUGCCAUGGUGCCUAGUCUGUCCCAAGCCCACCUAUACCGGGUACCACUUGGUAGACUACUAACACUACCUACAAGCACCAGAAACUAGUUGCGACUCCUGGACAGGGAUCAAGUUGGUUAAUAAGUCGAGAGAGUCAAUUAAGGAUCCCAAUGUGUGGUAGUAGCUGUUCAUGGAUCACAAACACAGAACUCAGUUCCUGAGGACGGUUUCAAUGAGACAACCCACCAUGUACUCCUACAUGGCCUCUCACCGCUACCUUUACCAAAUCGUGUUCACACACUUAGCUCACACAUAGUAAGACAUGUUCACACACCUCUGAUUCAUCCCCGAUGAAUCAGACCUGACUCAACUCUAAGCAGUAGCAGGCAUGACAAACAGGCAUGAAUGAGUAGGCACAACAGGGCUCAAGCAACUCCUACUCAUGCUAGUGGGUUUAAUCUAUUUACUGUGGCAAUGACACGUCAUGCAGAGGAUAAAGGGGUUCAGCUACCGCAGCAAGUAACAGAUGAAUCGUUGUUGUCCUAAUGCAGUAAAAGAGAGCAGGAGCAAGAGAGUAGGAUUGUAUCGGAAUGAACAAGGGGGUUUUGCUUGCCUGGCACUUCUGAAGAUAAUAUAGAUCUUCAUUGGUGUCAUCGAACUCAUCGUCGGAACCACGUCUAUCGAGAGGGGACAAAUACUGGCAACACAGAAGGGAACACAAUCAAUGCAAUGCACAAUAUGAUGCAUGAUCAUGACAUGGCAAAAUGAGUGUGUUGGGCUAAUGCACCUAUAAUAAGAUGGGUUUGAGUUAGUUUGAACCCAAAGUUUAAGUUCAAAUUGAAACUAUGACUUAAUAAAGUGCAUUAUCAUGUUUUGAUAUAAAUAGCAGGUUUAAGUUGCUUAAACAUGCAUGAAAACCAGUGCAGAUGGAUAGAUUGGAUUUGUCUGAUCAUUUUUCAUAUAUAACUUAUUUCAUUUGGAGUUACAGAUUAAUUUCUAUGAAUUUUAGAAGUUUAGGCAAUUUUAUGGAUUUGCUGAAUAAAAAUAAAUACAGAAAAAGAUUAACUACGUCAGCAUGACGUCGGGGUGACGUCAUCAGGUCAAAGGCGCCAGGCAAGGUUAAACCUGAUGGCUGGGGCCCACAUGUCAGUGUAACAGCUAACUAACAGGGUUAGUUAGUGUUACGUUAGCACUAACCUAGGUUAAUUAGGGCCUGGGCCAACUGGUUAGUGACUAAACUAACUGUCAGGGUUAAUUAGCACUAAUCUAAGUCUAACUAAAGGUUAACGGAGACGGGCCCGCACAUCAGUGACCCUGGGGGGUCAAACCCCAGGUCAAACGAGUCAAACCCCGCCGGUCAAAGCGGUCAACACGCUGGCGUUUAGCCACCGGCGAGGCCAGAUGCGGCGGCGGGCUUCGGAUUUGUCCUCCGUCGACCAAAUCGACGGCGGAGAUGCGCUACACGUAGCUGGGGAGCUACCGCAUCCACUGGUGCGAGUGCUUGGACACGGGGACGCCGGAAACGACGCCGGCGAGCUCGACAACGGCGGCCAGAGUUCGGCUGUGCACGGGGCCGCGGCUGCAGCGAGCAAACCCGCGGACUAUAGCGCGGGCGAGGCACUAUGCGGUGCGGCGGACGUGAUUGGCACAUUGACGCGACCAAAUGGUCACUGGAGCAACGCCGGCGACAAGCUCUUGCGGCGGAGCAUCUCGGCUCCGGUGGAGGAGGCGGUUAGAGGGCUCAAACGACACAAAGAAGAGGAUGAGACGGCGUGGAAGCUCACGGCGGUUCGGGCGAGGCGGUCGGCGAGCUCGGGGAGGGGCUAGUGAUGAUGGGAGGUCGCCGGCGAUCUCGGUGGCCAGAGGGAGAAGAAGGCGAUGCAGGCGGCGAUGCAGGGCGGACGAGCUCGCGUGACUCGUCGAGGAGGAAGAGGUGGUCGUGGGAGAUCUUCUGGAGGCGGAGAGAGGUUCAGGGGGAGGCGGUGGCUACGGUGAACGGCGUUGGUGGCGAUGAGCCCCGCUCGGUGGGGAAGAGAGAGGGAUCCAGGGGGAAGUGAGGGUGAGGGAGAGAGCGAGGAGGGUCCAGGAGGGUGUGUGGCAUCCUCAGGGCGACGGGGAGACACACAGAGAGGCAGGAGGUGGCCUGGGCGCGUGGGCGCGCGCGUCGGCCACACGCGUAUUCGUCCUCCUGGCAGGGGAGGAAGACGACAGGGAGGAGAGGGAUGGGCUGGGCCAGCACAGGUGAGGCCCAGGUGGGCUUGGUGGGCGCCAGGUAAGUGCCCAGGUGAGUCUCUCUCUCUCUCUUAUUUUAGUUUUUCUAUUUCUGUUAUUUUGUUUUGGUUUAGUUUGGAAACUAAACCAUUUUAAAAUUUUAUGUAAAUUUUUAUGUGAGCUCAGAGAGAUAGUCCAAGGUCACAUGCAAACUUACAAAAUAUUUGAACAUUAUUUCUUAUAUAGCAGAAAUAAUUCCAACCCAAAUAUAUUAUUGAUUUAAAUCAAAGACCCAAAAUAAAUUAUUUCUGUGACUCUGAAAAUAUUGGUUUGAAUUUUACCUCACACCAAUAUUUUCAUAGAAUAACAGGAACAUUUUCUUGGACUCAUUUGAUGAGAUUUAACUGUUGGUUAUUUUUAGAGGUUUUCUGAGGCUUUUGAAAAUUCCUCAAUUCAAGUUUCAUUUGAAUUUAAACAUGAUGCUCACAUGGAAGGGCUAGCCUAGUGCAUACCAGAACUAGGUAUGUGACAGCUCACCCCUACUAAACAAGAAUCUCGUCCCGAGAUUCAAGCGUAGGGUAAGAUGAAGGGGGAUCGCAAACUAACAUAAUCUUCACAAUCCAGGUGGCACUUCAAAGAACGUUGACUCGAUUACCAUCAUUGUCUCGAUGUCUUGCCCCGAGAACUCCAACUAACAUGACAAUGAAAGGGAAAGGAAAACUCUAGAGGGAUCGAUCUUAUUAAAGGUCGAACAACUUAGGAUCAACUCAGGGAAUGAGACAUAGCAACAUCUCUCAAGCCGAGACACAAAGCACACAUCUAGAGGGAUGGAGUGGAACAGGUGACGAGGAUUCACUAGAUAGACAACAAUUCCACACUUAAGAAGAUGGUAACCAAUUGUCAGUGUAGCAAGGAGUUGAGUUGCCAUGAUACCAUAACGGGGCACCUUAGGGAAGGUGACUUGCAGAAUUAUCCCUUAAGUGGCAAAAAGAAUUACCUUUGAUUCAAUGAUCAUUGAAACUCUUUAUACCAGCUUAAGGCAAACCACAAUCGAUCAUUUGGAGGAGUUCGGUAGAAUGACAUGCUCGGACUAGUAUGGAUGAUGUGGAUUACCUUGUUGAAGACAACACAAGGGGUGAUUUUGCUUGCGCGUGCUCUCAAGAACUUCAGCAUUUCCAUAUUGAUCAAGGUUUUACCAAUAUCCGUGUCAAGGAUCCUGGGAACACAACGUACUACCAUGAUGAAUACCGGUGGAGGAUGCAGAUGCAAAGGAAAGAUAACACUUUCUCAGAUUUCACCUUAGCGAGGCCAUGGAAACAAAAUCUGGAUGAUUGACCGAGAGACAUUUAGCACUCCACUUCUAAUGUUCUCCUUGAUGUGAUAGCAUAAUCCAUUCAUAAAUAUGGUUUGACAUCUAGAACAUAAAGUAAAAGGUCGGACUUUGGGAACACAAGAGUCCAUAAGGAAUAACUACUGAAGUAAACCCUAUGAGAUCCUUAUGGGGAGGUGGCCAACUUCCUCAAUCAAGAUACUACAAUAACAGGUCUUCCGGCUAGGUGUGUUGGCCACAACAUCCACUUUACAGGUUUAGAGAGACCAAUAUUAUAGUUCUUGGAAAAUGCUCCAACCAUUAUAUCUGCCUGAGGUUCAGAUCUGGUUGGCGUCAGGAUAUUCUAGACUCAUCAAGUCUAGGAAGGAAAAUGAAAGUCUGCAACACAAAUCGACGAGACGAUGUUGCGAGAUUCUCGGGGAAUGAACUGCGACAGCAAGCUCCAAAACAUGAGCUGGUUCUGCUACAACAUGUGAACACGUUGUCCGAGACAAGCAUGACCACAUAGUAGUCCUAUAAUAAAACACUACCGAGUUCAGGUUGGGAACCAUCAUCGAGGAUUUCGAAGUCUUUACGCAAGUCCAUGGAUUAGAUCCCAAGCAUAGACUUCUUUUCCUUGAACAAGUCAAUCGGUGGCUUGGUGUGCUAGGGAAUACAUAUGGAGUGGAGGUAAUUAAUCUACCAAACCAUAGAAUACAUUCACACAUGCAUAAUUGAUUUGGGAUGGUACCAGAGGAAACAAAAACAAUCUUUCUCGAACUCACGGCGGCAACUUGCACCAAAUGCACAUGAAUUCGAGGAAGUCACUUCUUCCAUCCAAGCAUAAGCUUCAUGAACGAAACACGAAGGCGUUGCUUUCAAAGUUUCCAACACUAGCCUGAUGUUCAACACGAAUCAUGGUGGAGACAAAAUGCCGCUGAUGGGCUCAACAAGAACUCAUCGGAAUUUCCAUAUCACUGGACUUCCACCAUUAUGUGAACAAUGUGAUAGUAUUGGUCAGACCCAAAGAUGUAAUGGUGUAUGCUCAAGGAAUCAACCACGAGUAAGACAACAUUAUGAAUAUCGUUGGUUCUAACUUGAUUUGAUGAUAGCCCAUACUCAAAUCAAAGAUGGGGUAAGACAAUAGGUCCAACAACUGAUCACAAGGACCAAUUGAUGAAGAUAUCAUCUUUCUUCAACACACACACACACACAAAAAGAUAUCCCUUAACAUGAUCUAGAUCAGACAAGCUUUUAUCUUCCAACUCUCCAAGUUGUUGUUUAGCUUGACCAACUAGCUCAGAGGUAUCCCACACAGAUUCUUGGAGAAGGGGUGGUUUACAAGAAACCAUCUUGAUCUCGAACUCAACAUAGCGGUCAGGUGACGAUCUGGUGAUACUUCUGAGAAGAUAUUUGGAAAAUCAUGAACCACCGAUAUGUUACUAAGCUCGAGAACAAUCUUGCUUUUCAGGGCAAGACGAUAUGAUCAACAGAGCGAGGGAUUGAUGCAAUCCUAACUCAUUGAUCAGAGGGUGCACCGGAAAUAAGGACUAGGUAGCACGAUCAAUCUUAGAAUGAUGAUUCCAUAACCAACACACUAAGAAUGAGAUUUCCUUCCAUUAACCACUAAGCAACAUGGUUGCUAGGGGUAUUGAUUUCACACAUCAUAGUUCACAUGUCGGCAUUCCGGUUGCAACAACACGGGAGACGAGAAAUCAAUAAUGAGAGUGAGAAGUAUCACUAUAUCAAGAGUUCAUAGGAUGGUGUGCAAUUCCCAUGACAUUCCUGAUGUAAAUAUGGUAAUACUUCAAGGUAGAAUAGACCAGAAGCUGGAUUGUAUUUUGAUCUGCGAGGUACAACUACUUUGACCCAAUGCUGGAUGUGGAUGAGGUACUGGAGUUUGUUUCUCCUAGUCAUUCCGGGAUAGAAUGGCUUGACGGACCACAACAUUAAUAGGCAUCGAUGAAUGAAUGCAUGCAUACUCUUGACUAUCAACUGAUAGACAAAGGUCAGAAUACAACUAAAGAGAGGGACAACUCAAAGGAACAUAUAUCUUUCUGAGUUGUGGAUGCAUAGAUUAGUAUGUCAAGCCAAGUUCAACAUAUUUCUUCCGAACAAUCCAUGCAGAGAGGUAGGACUGGCAGAGUCACAACAUAGAAUGGAGAACUCAUCAAGAGCCCUCUAGUUGUGAUCUUUUGGUUCAAAAGAACUCCUGCCAAGAAUGGUUCAUGGUAUUUGGAAGAACGAUAUACCACGGACCUCGAGGACUAUCGCAAAGGUUACUAAUAUCCUAAAGGAACUAGCAACACUAUCAACACGAGGUAAGUAGGGUGAAUCUCGGGUUCAAAACCCAAGGAGUAGAAUACCUACUACUAAAUGGCAUCACGGGAUGCUUUCGAGAAUGAUGGCCAUAAUCAUCACACUAGAACACGGAACAUGGCUAGAUUACUAGGUGAUACUCUAGACACCUAAGGUCAUAAUAAUAGCUCCAACAUAAAUGCCGAGGCAAUAGAGUACCUCAACUUAGCAAUUAGUGUGAUUAACCUGGCCUAAAAGGACAUCAAAACCAGAGGGAAAGGAUUUUGCAAAUGCAUCAGACUCUUUAGAAACCUGGGAUGACUCGGACAGCAUAACGGCUGUAAAUGCUCAAAAGAAUUUAGACAUGCUACAAAAAUGGUGGCAUCGCCACUCAGAAACACAAUAUCAAGGUUUCGAGAUCAACAAUUAACAUACGGAAGUAGUAGGAACUUAACUGAGGCUUGAAACCAACAAUCCUAUAAGUCUACGGAUUAGUAACACGUGAUCCUGAUAGAAAGAAGAGAAGGCCUAGUUCUUAACCCCGUAGAGAAGAAGAGGGACAUAAGGUAAAGGAGUAAAAAGAGCCUUACGUUCCAUACCACAAUCAAUUCCCUUAUACAACUAAAGAAUUUCUAGACUCAACUUCGACCAGUUUGGCUUGGUAAUCCUACAGGCAGUCAAGCUCUGAUACCAAAGCUGUCAGGACCCCGACUCAAUGCCACAUUGAUCUAGCAUGUAACACCUCAUAUCACUUUGCGGCCUCACGCUCGGUAUCCCCACGGGUGUCGCCUUAACGUUGCCCGGGACCGUUUGCGCCUUUUGGCACAUGUAUAUGAUAGUGUCGCUACCAUCCAUAUAAUAAGGAGCCCGGGCUGACAUGGCUAGUCAUAAACCCAAAGUGGCACAAACUUACAGGGACAGGCAUCCAUGACCCAACAUCGAACGUGUCGGUCAUCAGCGAGUGGAUCCAGGCUGUAGCACUGGGCUAGCAGGACUCCGGUGAACCGGGCUGUAGCGGGCUAACAGGACUCCGGUAUUCAUCGCGUGACAUUUCCCGGAAGGGAUAGACACAGGAACGAAGAAGGACACAUGCCGGCCAGCCUAAGUGUUCCGAAGCAGUAGCAAGCUACCAUGGCUCAGUGGAAGCACUAGGAGACAUUUCCCGGUAAGAGCGGCUACUAAGGAUAAACAACUAGAUAGUCAGAUCCCACACAUACCAAGCAUUUCAAUAACAUACACACAAUAUGCUCAAUAUGUGCAAAUACAACAUGGCAUCACAACAUGACUCUACAACUCAAGUAUUUAUUCAAUAGGCUCCGAGGAACGAGAUAUUACAAACAUGGGUCUCAUGACCCAACAUUCAGAGCAUACAAGUCAAAGCACAAGCAGAAGCUUAACAUGUCUGAGUACAGACAACUACAGAUGAAAAAGGCUGAGAAGCCUGACUAUCUACCAGAUCCCGCCGAGGGCACAAGAUCGUAGCUGAGGUAACAAGCUAAAUGUCGAAGUCCACGCAGAACUACUAGCGAGACUGAAGUCUCUGUACAAAAACGUAAAAUAGGCAAAGUGAGUACAAAUGUACCCAUCAAGACUUACAUCAGAACUAACUACAUAUGCAUCAUUAUCAACAAAGGGGGUGGUGGAGUUUAACUGCAGCAAGCCAGCUUUGACUCGGUGGCUAACCUGAACUACGACUGCAAGUAACUCUUUUGAGGUGGCGCACACGAGUCCACAUAUUCAGCAUAUCAAUACACCACUAUGGAUCCGCUCCCGUCUCCCUACGAGAACGCCAUCCAUAGCACUCACACUUAUCUUUCGCAUUUUAGUGUAUCCACUUUCACUUGUCUAUGAACUGUACAGGCAACCCAGAAGUCCUUUACCGCGGACAUGGCUAUUCGAAUAGAUCAUAUUAACCCUGUAGGGGUGUACUUCUUCACACACGCUCUCGCCAUUUACCGCCAUGUACACGUCAUGUAUCUCGACAACCUUCAAGCGGAAGCCUGGCGAGGGUGUCAGCCACGACCUGACUAACCACACAAGUCUCUAGUCCAGGUUUAUCGCCUAUUCGGGUUCCAUCCGCAAGGAGAUCCGGCCGGGGUGUCGCUCACGGCCCCAAACGAUGUGAGCAGGGUUCCCAAGCCCACCUCGACGGGUGGAUCUACGCUUGGUACACCGUGCCACGAUGCCUAGUCUGUCCCAAGCCCACCUGUACCGGGUACCACUUGGUAGACUACUAACACUACCUACCAACACCAGAAACUAGUUGCGACUCCUGGACAGAGAUCAAGUUGGUUAAUAAGUCGAGAGAGUCAAUUAAGGAUCCCAAUGUGUGGUAGUAGUUGUUCAUGGAUCACAAACACAGAACUCAGUUCCUGAGGACGGUUUCAAUGAGACAACCCACCAUGUACUCCUACAUGACCUCUCACCGCUACCUUCACCAAAUCGUGUUCACACACUUAGCUCACACAUAGUAGGACAUGUUCACACACCUCUGAUUCAUCCCUGAUGAAUCAGACCUGACUCAACUCUAAGCAGUAGCAGGCAUGACAAACAAGCACGAAUGAGUAGGCACAACAGGGCUCAAACAACUCCUACUCAUGCUAGUGGGUUUUAUCUAUUUACUGUGGCAAUGACAGGUCAUGCAGAGGAUAAAGGGGUUCAGCUACCGCAGCAAGUAACAGAUGAAUCGUUGUUGUCCUAAUGCAGUAAAAGGGAGCAGGAGCGAGAGAGUAGGAUUGUAUCGGAAUGAACAAGGGGGUUUUGCUUGCCUGGCACUUCUGAAGAUAAUAUAGAUCUUCAUUGGUGUCAUCGAACUCAUCGUCGGAACCACGUCUAUCGAGAGGGGCUCAAAUACCGGCAACACAGAAGGGAACACAAUCAAUGCAAUGCACAAUAUGAUGCAUGAUCAUGACAUGGCAAAAUGAGUGUGUUGGGCUAAUGCAACUAUAAUCAGAUGGGUUUGAGUUAGUUUGAACCCAAAGUUUAAGUUCAAAUUGAAACUAUGACUUAAUAAAGUGCAUUAUCAUGUUUUGAUAUAAAAAGCAGGUUUAAGUUGCUCAAACAUGCAUGAAACCAGUGCAGAUGGAUAGAUUGGAUUUUUCCGAUCAUUUUUCAUAUAUAACUUAUUUCAUUUGGAGUUACAGAUUAAUUUCUAUGAAUUUUGGAAGUUUAGGCAAUUUUCUGGAUUUGCUGAAUAAAAAUAAAUACAGAAAAAGAUUAACUACGUCAGCAUGACGUCGGGGUGACGUCAUCAGGUCAAAGGCGCCAGCCAAGGUUAAACCUGACGGCUGGGGCCCACAUGUCAGUGUAACAGCUAACUAACAUGGUUAGUUAGUGUUACGUUAGCACUAACCUAGGUUAAUUAGGGCCUGGGCCCACUGGUUAGUGACUAAACUAACUGUCAGGGUUAAUUAGCACUAAUCUAAAUCUAACUAAAGGUUAACAGAGACGGGCCCGCACGUCAGUGACCGUGGGGGGUCAAACGAGUCAAACCCCGCCGGUCAAAGUGGUCAACACGCCGGUGUUUAGCCGCCAGCGAGGCCAGAUGCGGCGGUGGGCUUCGGAUUUGGUCCUCCGUCGACCAAAUCGACGGCGGAGAUGCGCUACGCGUAGCUGGGGAGCUACCGCAUCCACUGGUGCGAGUGCUUGGACACGGGGACGCCGAAAACGACACCGGCGAGCUCGACAGCGGCGGCCGGAGUUCGGCUGUGCACGGGGCCGCGGCUGCGGCGAGCAAACGCGCGGACUAAAGCGCGGGCGAGGCACUACGCAGUGUGGCGGACGUGAUUGGCACAUUGACACGACCAAAUGGUCACCAGAGCAACGCCGGCGACAAGCUCUUGUGGCGGAGCAUCUCGGCUCUGGUGGAGGAGGCGGUUACAGGGCGCAAACGACGCAAAGAAGAGGGGGAGACGGCGUAGAAGCUCAUGGCGGUUCGGGCGAGGCGGUCGGCGAGCUCGGGGAGGGGCUGGUGAUGACGGGAGGUCGCCGGCGAUCUCGGUGGCCGGAGGGAGAAGAAGGCGACGCAGGCAGCGAUGCAGGGCGGACGAGCUCGCGUGACUCGUCGAGGAGGAAGAGGUGAUCGUGGGAGAUCUUCUGGAGGCGGAGAGAGGUUCAGGGGGAGGCGGUGGCUACGGUGAACGGCGUCGGUGGCGACGAGCCCCGCUCGAUGGGGAAGAGAGAGGGAUCCAGGGGGAAGUGAGGGUGAGGGAGAGAGCGAGGAGGGUCCAGGAGGGUGCGUGGCAUCCUCAGGGCGACGGGGAGACAGGCAGAGAGGCAGGAGGUGGCCUGGGCGCGUGGGCGCGCGCAUCGGCCACACGCGCAUUCGUCCUCCUGGCAGGGGAGGAAGACGACAGGGAGGAGAGGGAUGGGCUGGGCCAGCACAGGUGAGGCCCAGGUGGGCUUGGUGGGCGCCAGGUAAGUGCCCAAGUGAGUCUCUCUCUCUCUUAUUUUAGUUUUUCUAUUUCUGUUAUUUUGGUUUGGUUGAGUUUGGAAACUAAACCAUUUUAAAACUUUAUGUAAAUUUUUAUGUGAGCUCAGAGAGCUAGUCCAAGGUCACAUGCAAACUUACAAAAUAUUUGAACAUUAUUUCUUAUAUAGCAGAAAUAAUUCCAACCCAAAUAUAUUAUUGAUUUAAAUCAAAGACCCAAAAUAAAUUAUUUCCGUGACUAUGAAAAUAUUGGUUUGAAUUUUACCUCACGCCAAUAUUUUCACAGAAUAACAGGAACAUUUUCUUGGACUCAUUUGAUGAGAUUUAAAUGUUGGUUAUUUUUAGAGGUUUUCUGAGGCUUUUGAAAAUUCCUCAAUUCAAGUUUCAUUUGAAUUUAAACAUGAUGCUCACAUGGAAGGGCUAGCCUAGUGCGUACCAGAACUAGGGAUGUGACAAGUUGGUCUUCGGCUGCCAAAGGCUCUGACGAUGACGGUGUCCUGGGCUCCACUGACCUCCAUCCUGCUGUUCUACUGGUCUGGGUCUUGUUGCACCGAAAUGGUAACCUUUGCCUGAUGCCUCGGUCUGUGCUUGCCCCCUUUGCACCGAAAGGGAAACAAGGACACUAUGCAGGACGGCGCCCGCCUAGUCUCGAUCGUCGUGGCUUGCGUCACGGGCUCCUUGGGAGGUACCCUGCCUUGAUCUCCCCGCCUCCUCGCGAGCCUGCCGGAGGAGGCUGCUCCUGAGGAAGCUUCCUGUCGUCCGCCCCGUGAGGCUUGGCCCCUUGCAAGGGUCUUGAGCUUGAGCUGAUAAAGGUGGGUUGUGCUGGGCCCCCAUUUGAGCCAUGCCGCAGGCCACAGGCAGGCAAGUCUGGGGACCCCCGUUCCCAGAACGCCGACAGUAGCCCCUGGGCCCAAGGCGCACCCGAAUUUGGCUUAGUAGAGAAGCAAAGGGGCAAGUGCGAAGCGCCACGGGCCCCAACAGCCUGCGGCCUUGGGCGCUGCGUGGCGAUUGAUUGGACGUGGGCGUCUCCGCUUCCCCACGACGCCUCGGCAACCGCCCUUCGGACAAAAAGAGGUGCCCGGGCCAGACUUACCUGCUCUGUUGUCGCCUGCCUUGCUCUAGAUCACCUUUCUCGCUCUUCUCCUUCCUGCUUCCGAAAUCCUCUAGAUCUGCCUCAAUCCUUCCCAUCUGGCAAGCCAUGGCGCCUCGCAAGACCCCGACCGAGGCCUGGUACUCGCCGGCUCUGGAUCCCCCGAAUGUGUCAGAGAAGAAUCUUGCCCUCAUGCGCCUGAGGACGGUGGCACAGGGCAACGCGGGAGCGACUGUGUUCAAGGCCGGCUCCGACCAUCCUGAAGGCAAGGGGAGCACCUUCUACCCGCUUUUUGUGAGCGCCAUCAUUGCUGGUCUGGUGCCCCCUUUUUCCGAGUUCUUCCUUGAUGUUCUUCGCGUGUACAACUUGCAAGCUCUGCACCUCCACCCCAACUCUGUUCUUCUCCUGGCGAUUUUCGCCUACUAUUGUGAGGCUCACGUUGGGGUAAAGCCCUGAGUGGCCUUGCUGCGCCAUUACUUUUACCUCUGGGUUUCUCGCGGUCCCAUCUCCGCAUGCGCGAGUUUUAUCGCAUACUCCGGCUCCAACGCCAUCUCGAAGCCCGGGAAGAGGAUCGAGGGCUUCCGGAGCAAGUGGGUCAUGGUGGGUGUCGGGCGCCUCCACCCCCGACUGGUGCUGCCCAUGGGGCAGCCCAAGGCCGUCGAUGCGUGUUCUCGAGCGGAGCUUGUUGACCUGCACGCGAGGGCGGUGUUGAAGAGGAUGGACGCGGACCUGAGGCCAAGCAACCUGGGGGCGGCAAAGCUGACCAGGGCCACGCUCCUGAGGGAGUUCCUGGAGCACCGGGUGGCUCCACUCCGGGAGCACUCGCUCCCAUUGUGGAGGCUUGGGGAAGCAGAUGUAACGCCCCGGAUUCGACGCCAGUUGUCUGCCAGUUAUUCGCCAUCUUUGCCAUGUCUUUUGCUUGCGUGUUGCACUUUGCCAUGUCAUCAUCUGCAUUUCAUAUCAUGUCAUCAUGUGCAUCUCAUGUUGCAUACAUGUUCGUCUCAUGCAUCCGAGCCUUUUCCCUGUUGUCCGUUUUGCAAUCCGGCGCUCCUAUGUCAUCCGGCGUCCCUUCUUCUCUCCUUUUGUGAGCGGGUGUUAAACUUUCUCGGAAUGGCCCAAGGUUUGCCAAGCGGCCUUGGUAUAGCACCGGUAGACCGCCUGUCAAGUUUCGUGCCAUUUGGAGGUCGUUUGAUACUCCGACGGUUAACCGGGUAACCAUAAAGCCCUCUUUGAGUUGCAGCCCAACACCCUUUCCAAAGUGGCCCAAAACCCAGCAAACUCCCCUCCAUGCUCUCGGUCGUUCGAUCUCGAUCGCGUGGCCGAAAACCACACCUCAUUUGGACUCUCCUAGCUCCCUCUACCUAUAAAUAUGUGCCCCUCCCCGAUUUUUCGCGCAGUCCAACCCUAGCGUCUUCCUCUUCGCGCCGCCGGACACGUCCGUCCGCGCCGGACGUGUCCGCCGGACACGUCGCUCCGACCAAUCCCGUGACGCCACGUCAGCCCGCCGCCGCCCUCGUCCAACCGGGCGCCGCCNNNNNNNNNNNNNNNNNNNNNNNNNNNNNNNNNNNNNNNNNNNNNNNNNNNNNNNNNNNNNNNNNNNNNNNNNNNNNNNNNNNNNNNNNNNNNNNNNNNNNNNNNNNNNNNNNNNNNNNNNNNNNNNNNNNNNNNNNNNNNNNNNNNNNNNNNNNNNNNNNNNNNNNNNNNNNNNNNNNNNNNNNNNNNNNNNNNNNNNNNNNNNNNNNNNNNNNNNNNNNNNNNNNNNNNNNNNNNNNNNNNNNNNNNNNNNNNNNNNNNNNNNNNNNNNNNNNNNNNNNNNNNNNNNNNNNNNNNNNNNNNNNNNNNNNNNNNNNNNNNNNNNNNNNNNNNNNNNNNNNNNNNNNNNNNNNNNNNNNNNNNNNNNNNNNNNNNNNNNNNNNNNNNNNNNNNNNNNNNNNNNNNNNNNNNNNNNNNNNNNNNNNNNNNNNNNNNNNNNNNNNNNNNNNNNNNNNNNNNNNNNNNNNNNNNNNNNNNNNNNNNNNNNNNNNNNNNNNNNNNNNNNNNNNNNNNNNNNNNNNNNNNNNNNNNNNNNNNNNNNNNNNNNNNNNNNNNNNNNNNNNNNNNNNNNNNNNNNNNNNNNNNNNNNNNNNNNNNNNNNNNNNNNNNNNNNNNAGCCCCUCCGGCGCGCCCCGCCCGUCGCCCCGGCCAGAUCCGGCCACGGGAGGGCCGGAUCCAGCCUCCUCCGCCCUCUCCCUCGACUCCGGCCGCUCUCCGGCGACGAACUCCGGCGAGAUCCCGGCGCCGUGGAUAUUUUCCCCGAGGUCCAAAUCCACUAAGUCCCCGUUUCCUGACAUUUUCAUGCCAUGUUCAUCGCAUCACAUCUCUGCAUCCGUAGCUCCGUUUCGUGCGUACAAUAUGUCAAAUUGUUCGCCUCGAUGAGUACUUCAUUUCAUUCCAUUGCAUCAUUUUCAUUUGAGCUCAUCUUGAUGCCCGAUAUGCUGUUGGAAGAGUGCAUGUUAAUGUUAAUCUGCUGAAACUGUUAUAACUUGCUCAUUUGUCAUUUUUGCCAUGAUUGAUGUGUGCAUCCUAUGAGGUUGAUGUCUACAUGUGUUUUGAUCUAUGCCAUGCCAUCUUUCCAGGGGUGUAUGCCAUGUAUUUUUGUGAUCAAUGUGGUGACUAGCACAAGCAUGCAAACUAGGCUUCGUGAUAUUGCUGAUUUUAGUCCCUGUUCUGCUAUUAUUUUGAUGCCAUGUAAACUUGAUGCUACAGAGCGAUCCAUGCAUAUUUAUAGAUACUUCAGUAAGGGUGUUUUGAACAUACGGUUAUUGUCUAUCAAUUAAUGCCCUUUUUUGCAAUUAUGGAGUAGCCUAGCAUGUCAUUUUGGUGCUCUACGUUUGCUUCAAAAUGUUUCCUGGCAGAUUGUUUACAUGUUAUUCAAUAUGGCCAAGCUUGCUAUAGUUCAUCCUUGUAUGCUAUGGACUUGUUAUUUCCUUGGUUUGUUACACAAACAUGCCUUCUUGAUUAUGCUAUUCUUAUCUUGUCAUGCAAUGACUUGUGGUGAGUGAAUCGAGCUUGUUAAGUAGUGUACAUGAUGUUGCUGUUUUGCUAGACAGAUUCUGUAAUUUUGUGAUGCCAUGUUAACAUGUUGUUACUAAUCAUUCUAUGCAUAAUCUGGAGAUGUUCUAUAGAUAUGUUUUGAUCUACAUGUCAUGCUCUAUCCAUUCAUGCCCUUAGUUGCAAUUAUAGCCUGCUGGGACAUGUUUUAAUCUUGCUCUAAAGUUGCUUGAAAAUGUUGCUAUCAGCCUGUUAACAUUAAGUUCCAUGUUUCCAUGAUUGUUUGCUAGUGAUCCAUGCACCCUAUGACCUUGAUAUUGCCAUUCUUAGCUUCAUAAUCAUGUCUUCUUACUAUUGGUUGCCUUUCCAUGCCAUGUAUUGCUCUGUGGUGAGUGGUUCAAGCUCACGAACAUGCCUAGUUAUUGUUGUUCCUGCCAUGUAUGAAUCUGUAAUAUAACUUGCCAUGUUUACAUGGGUGCCAUCAUAUUUUCUGUGCCUUUUUGGCUCAUGGUCAGUAAGGGACUUUUGAUCUAUGCAAUUAGUAUAUUCAUGCCAUGGCUUUGUUUGCCAUGAUAUGUUCCUGUAAAAUGUUGUUUGAUAGCUCUAAACAUUGCAACCUGAUGUUAUUUCUGCCAAGUCUGAAACUGUUAUAAUUUGCAAUCUUCCCAUGUCUUUUCGAGCAUGUUCUAGAUGUUUCUGGAGAUAGCUCAGUGUUCAUGUUUUGUUAUGCUUUACCUGUACAUCAUGCCCAUGCCUUUUGUUAUUAUGUUGGGGUGCUGUAGCAUAUUGUUUUCGUGCUUGCAAUAUGCCUAGUUGCUGUUUUGGACAGAUUGUUGUUAUGACUUGUAUAGUGUGCAUGUGUUGAACCGUUGCUCCGUUUUGAGUGUGCUCUAUAUGAAACUUGCUUGAUUUUGCAUGUAGUUUCAUAUCAUCAUGUUGCAUCCUUGUUUUGAGGUGUUUUCUUGAUGUUUGGGUGCAUUUUGCAUCAAUGCCAUGUUUAACUUGUUUUGCUCAUAUCUUCUAGGCCGUAGCUCCGAAUCUUAUGAACUUUAUAUGUAACUUGACUAGAAUUUCAUGUAGAUCAUCUUGGUGCAUCUUAACUUGCUGUUUAACAACUUGAACAUAAGGUUUAUUCAGUUCUGGACCAAUUUCGAAAUUUGCAUAUGAGGACUUACCGGAAUUGUUAUAUGUUGUUUCCGGCCUCAUUUAAACUUGCCUUGAUGUGUUGUUCUUGUUUGCAUCAUCUCUUGCCAUGAGUAGGCUCAUCUAGCUUUCUCAUGCAUCAUGCAUGUUGUGCAUCAUGUCUUGUCUAUGUGUGGUGUGUUUACUAUGUUGUGUGCUUCUUCUUGUUAGUUCAUAUUUCGUUGCGAUCGUGAGGAUUCGUUCGUCUACGAUUGGUUCGGCUUCAUCCGUUCGUCUUCUUCAUGGACUCGUUCUUCUUCCUAGCGGGAUUUCAGGAAAGAUGACAGCUACCCUGGAUCUCACUACUAUCAUUGCUAUGCUAGUUGCUUCGUUCUAUCGCUAUGCUGCGCUACCUAUUACCUGUUUAUCAAGCCAUCCCAUAUUGCCAUGAACCUCUAACCUUUGACACCUUUCCUAUGCAAACCGUUGUUUGGCUAUGUUACCGCUUUUGCUCAGCCCCUCUUAUAGCGUUGGUAGUUGCAGGUGAAGUUGAAGAUUUCUCCAUGGUGGACAGGAUUUUGGUUGGGAUAUCACAAUAUCUCUUAUAUUAUUAAUGCAUCUAUAUAUUUGGUAAAGGGUGGAAGGCUCGGCCUUAUGCCUGGUGUUUUGUUCCACUCUUGCCGCCCUAGUUUCCGUCAUACCGGUGUUAUGUUCUCGGAUUUUGCGUUCCUAACGCGGUCGGCUAAUUUAUGGGACCCCCCUGAUAGUUCGCUUUGAAUAAAACUUGUCCAGCAAGGCCCAACCUUGGUUUUACCAUUUGCCUCACCACCACCUACUUUUUCCCUUGGGAGUCGCUCUCUCGAGGGUCAUCUUUAUUUUAGCCCCCCCGGGCCAGUGCUUGUCUAAGUGCUGGUUCGUACCGAGUAGACUGCGGGGCCCCCUCGGGGCAAGUCGAGGUCUGGUUUUACUCGUAGGAUGUCUCAUCCGGUGUUGCCCUGAGAACGAGAUAUGUGCAGCUCCUAUCGGGAUUGUCGGCGUAUCGGGCGGCUUUGCUGGUCUUGUUUUACCAUUGUCGAAAUGUCUUGUAAACCGGGAUUCCGAGACUGAUCGGGUCUUCCUGGGAGAAGGUCUAUUCCUUCAUUGAUCACGAGAGCUUGUCAUGGGCUAAGUUGGGACACCCCUGCAGGGUUUAAACUUUCGAGAGCCAUGCCCGCGGUUAUGUGGCAGAUGUGAAUUUGUUAAUGUCCGGUUGUAGAUAACUUGACACCAGAUCCGAAUUAAAAUGCAUCAAUCGCGUGUGUAGCCGUGAUGGUCUCUUCUCGGCGGAGUCCGGGAAGUGAACACGGUUUCCGGGUUAUGUUUGACGUAAGUAGGUGUUCAGGAUCACCUCUUGAUCAUUGCUAGCAUCACGACCAUUCCUUUGCCUCUCUUCUCGCUCUUAUUUGCGUAUGUUAGCCACCAUACUUUCUUAGUCGCUGCUGCAACCUCACCACUUUACCCCUUCCUUUCCCAUUAAGCUUUGCUAGUCUUGUUACCCACGGUAAUGGGAUUGCUGAGUCCUCGUGGCUCACAGAUUACUACACCAACAGUUGCAGGUACAGGUUAUGCGAUGAUCAUGACGUGAGAGCGAUGCUUGCUUAUUUGGAGUUCUUCUGUUUCUUCUUCGAUCAGGGGAUAGGUUCCAGGUCAGCAGACUGGGCUAGCAGGGUGGAUGUCGUUUGAGCUUCUGUUUGUGUUUCAUCCGUAGUCGGAUGUUGAUCUUAUGUGAUGUAUUUGUCACAUCCCUAGUUCUGGCCUGACCUAUGCUAGCUUCCAUGUGUGCAUCAUGUUUAAAUCAUAGUGGUUUAAAUUCAAAUGAAAUUUGAAUUGAGGAAUUUUCAAAAGCCUCAGAAAACCUCUAAAAAUAACCAACAUUUAAAUCCCAUCAAGUGAGUCCAAGAAAAUGUUCCUGCUAUUCCGUAAAAAUAUUGGCAUGAGGUAAAGUGCAAACCAAUAUUUUUGGAGUGACUGAAACAUUUAUUUUGGGCCUUUGAGUUAAUCCAAUAACUAUUUGCAUUGGAUAUAUAUAUUAUAUAUAAUUAAUACAUGUCCAAUAAUUCUGGAACAUUUUAUGUGGUUUGGUAUAUUUUAGUUCUAGCCACAUAAUUAUUUUCAGGAUUUUAUAAGAUGGUUUAGUAUUUUUACUAAACCAAAACAAAACAGAACAAAAUAGAAAACAAUAAAUAAAAGCAGAGAGAGAGAACUUACCUCAGCUUACCUGGCGCCUACCAAGCCCACCUGGGCCUCCCCUGGCCGGCCCAGCUGGCAGCCCAGCCACCAGCCCAGCCCACUAGCCUCCCCCCUGUCGUCUUCCACGCGACAGUAGGACGCAGGGCGUGUGGCCGCCGUGCGCGCACACGCGCCUCGUCCACCUCCUGCUUUCCGCUCCCCCUCGACGCCCUGGCCUUCUCUGGUGGUGCCACGCACCUCCCUGCCUCUCUCCCUCACACUCCUUCGCUCCUUCCCCUCCUCUGUUUCUCCCUCCCGCGAACAGCCGAGCGAGUUCGUCGCCGCCGUUCACCAUAGCCGCGGCCACCGCCUCCCCCUCGACCCCUCGCCGUGCCUGCGAGCUCCGUCUCGACGUCCCCGACCCCCUCGACGACCCACGAGGCCCCGGACGCGCUGCAACGCCGCCACCGAUGCUUUUCCACUCCUCGGCUGCCGGAGAUCGAUCUCGCCGCCCCGCUCAGCUCCGGCCUUCCCCGAGCUCGCCGUCUGCACCUUUGCAACCGCCGUAAGCCUCUCCCUCGAACCCCCCUCUCUGUUGUCCCAUUUUCACGCCGUAGCUCCUAGUUCACUGGCGGACGAGAGCAUCUCGCCGCCGGCCAUGGCAUAGCCGUCGCCACAGCCGCGCAAGCUCGCAACCGAGCGCGCCACCGUGCUCAGCAUGUUCUCAGGAGUCGACCGCGACCACCCGCGGCUCCUGCCGUUCCCUGCAUCGCCUAACCCGUCGUGCGCCGAACUCCAGCCGCCGCAAAGCUCGACGUCGCCGUCGUUUCGGACCACCCUAGCUGCUGCUUCUUACACUGUUUGAUGCGCGAGAUCUCCAGCUAUGCGUAGAGCUCCUCCGCCGCUCUUUUGGUCGCCGGAACAACGUUUCCGAAGCCCUCCGCCGUCUCCUCCGCCGGCGACGAGCCGAGGGUCAACUCCGGCGAGUUUGACCCGGGUUUGACCGCGCUUUGACCCGCUCUGGCUCACUGACGUGUGGGCCAGGCACUGUUCAUUUAGGUGUUAGAUUAGUUAUCACUAAUUAAUUUAGUUAAUUAAUUAAGCCAUUGACAUGUGGGCCCAUGCCCCACUGACCCUUUAGUUAGGAUUAAAUUAGCACUAACACUCCCUGUUAAUUAGCCUAGUCACUGACCAGUGGGUCCCAACAUCAGGUUUGACCUGCAACAGCGUCUGUUGACCUGCUGACGUCAUAGUGACGCUAUGCUGACGCAAUAAGUAUUUUCUGGAUUUAUUCUUAUACAGGAAAUUCCAGAAAAUUGUGCUAACUUCUAAAAUUCAUAGAAAUUCAACCGUAGCUCCAAAUGAAACAAGUUAUAUAUGAAAAAUGAUCAGAAAAAUACAAUCUAUCCAUCUGCACUGGUUUCAUGCAUGUUUAAGCAACUUAACCUUGCUGUUCAUCUCAAAACAUGAUAAUGCACUUUAUGAAUUCAUAGUUUGAGUUUGAAUUUGAAUCUUUGGUUCGAAUAAGCUCAAACCUUUCUGUUCUUAGCUGCAUUAGCCCAAAUCACAGCAUAUUGCCAUGUCAUAGCAUGCAUCAUAUUGUCGCAUUGCAUUGAUUGUGUUCUUGUGUGUUUGCCGGUAACUGUUCUCUCUCGGUAGACGAUGUUUCGACGAUGAGUUCGAUGACACUGAUGAAGAGAUAUACUAUCUUCAGAAGUCCCAGGCAAGCAAAACCCCCUUGUUCAUUCCGAUACAAUCCUACUCUCUCGCUCCUGCUCUCUUUUACUGCAUUAGGACAACAACGAUUCAUCAGUUACUUGCUGCGGUAGCUGAACCCCUUUAUCCUUUGCAUGACCUGUCAUUCCACAGUAAAUAGAUGAAACCCACUAGCAUAAGUAGGAGUUGUUUGAGCCUUGUUGUGCCUACUCAUACAUGCUUGUUUGUCAUGCCUGCUACUGCUUAGAGUUGAGUCGGGUCUGAUUCAUCGAGGAUGAAUCAGAGGUGCGUGAACAUGUCCUACUGUGUGUGAGCUAAGUGUGUGAACACGAUUUGGUAAAGGUAGCGGUGAGAGGCCAUGUAGGAGUACAUGGUGGGUUUUCUCAUUGCAGCCGUCCUCAGGAACUGAGUUCUGUGUUUGUGAUCCAUGAUUCAGCUACUACCACGCAUUGGGCCCGAAACCAAUGGACCCUCUCGGCUUCUUAAUCACCCUUGUCCUCUGUCCAGGAGUUGCAAGUAGUUUCUGGUGCUUGUAGUAUGCUGGAGGCUGUGCGGAGCACUGACCGUAGGGGUGGGCUGUGAUGCGGUAGGCACGUGGCACGGUGUACCGGGCGCCCGUUUGGUGUCUCGGGAACCCUGCUCACAUUGUUUGGGGCUGUGAGCGAAACUUCGGCCGGAUCUCCUCAUGGAUGGAACCCGAAUAGGCGAUAAACCUGGACUAGGGACUUGAGUGUUUAGGUAGGUCGUGGCCGACACCCACGUUGGGCUUCCGCUUGAAGGUUGCCGAGUACAUGUCGUGUAAACGGCGAUAAGUGGUGAGAGCGUGUGUGAAGAAGUACACCCCUGCAGGGUUAACAUCAUCUAUUCGAAUAGCCGUGUCCGCGGAAAAGGACUUCUGGGUUGCCUGUACAGUUCAUAGACAAGUGGAAGUGGAUACUCUAAAAUACGCAAGAUAAGCGUGAGUGCUAUGGAUGGCGUUCUCGUAGGCAGACGGAGCGGAUCCAUAGUGGUGUAUUGAUAUGGUGAAUAUGUGGACUCGUGUGCGCCACCUCAAAAGAGUUACUUGCAGUCGUAGUUUAGGAUAGCCACCGAGUCAAAGCUGGCUUGCUGCUGUUAAACCCCACCAUCCCCUUUAUUGAUAAUGAUGCAUAUGUAGUUAGUUCUGAUGUAAGUCUUGCUGGGUACAUUUGUACUCACGUUUGCCUAUUUUAUGUUUUUGCAGAGAGACUUCAGUCUCACUAGUAGUUCCACGUGGACUUCGACGUUUAGCUUGUUACCUCAGCUACGAUCUUGUGCCCUCGGCAGGAUCUGGUAGAUAGUCAGGCGUCUAAGCCUUUUUCAUUUGUAGUUGUCUGUACUCAGACAUGUUAGCUUCCGCUUGUGCUUUGACUUGUAUGCUCUGAAUGUUGGGUCAUGAGACCUAUGUUUGUAAUAUCUCGCUCCUCGGAGCCUAAUGAAUAAAUACUCGAGUCGUAGAGUCAUGUUGUGAUGCCAUGUUGUAUUUGCACAUAUCGAGCAUAUUGUGUGUAUGUUAUUGAAAUGCUUGGUAUGUGUGGGAUCUGACUAUCUACACUACUAGGGAAAAGCCUAUUCACAGAAUCUUAGCAGCAGCGAGGGUUAAAAACCCUCGCUACUGCUACUUACUAGCAGCGCAGGUUUUUAAACCUCGCUACUACUAAGUUGAUAGCAGCAGCGCGGGUUUGUAACCCUCGCUACUACUAAGUGGUCUCUGCCGUGCCACCCCGGGACAUGCCAUAGUAGUAGCGAGGGUUAUAAAACUGCGCUACUACUUUGUGAAUAGCUGUAGCGCAGGUCAUCUGCCCACGUUACUAGUAUAUUCCCACACCACUCACCCCCGGUCCACCCCCAUCAACCGUCCCACUCCACCCACCACUGUUUGUCUAAAAAAACGCCCAACCCUGGAUCGAUCCCCUCCUCUCUUCUCCUGAUUCACCCCUCGUCUCCCUCCCAUCCCACGCCGCCGCCGCCGUCCACCAAAUCUCCUCCCCUCCCACCUCCUCCUACUCCAGAAGCCUCUCCCGGCCCGCGGCUCCGGCUCCACGCGGGGAGGGCUCGGCGGGGGCUGCUCUGAUUCGCCGGGCGCGCUCCGGCGAGGAAUGCUCUACCUCAAGCUGCCGGCCGGGGAUUUAGGGUUCGGCGGGAGCGGGCGCGGUGGCGGUCCCGUUGCGCGCGGAGUCGGGGUCUGAGGCGGCGGGCACACAAGCAAGCAAGCGGGCGGGGAGGAGAGGUGACGGCGGUGCGCAGCGCCGGCCAGCAGCACAAAACAAGCCGGGAGCGACGAUGGGUGCGGCGGCGGGGAGCGGCGGUGGCGGCGUGGUGAAGCACCUCGUCAUCGUGCAGUUCAAGGAGGACGUGACGCCGGAGCGGCUGCAAGGGCUCAUCAGCGGCUACUCCGGCCUCGUCGACAAGGUCCCCUCCAUGAAGGCCUUCCACUGGUACGGUAGCCGACCUCAACGCCGCCAACCCCCUGUCGAUUCUCGCACCUUCCUGCCUCUGCCGCCUUUCGGGUGAGCUAUCGCUGUAGCUGCUCGGGUCGCGCCCUACAGGUGCUCGACGAAAUGCCUGCCUGGGCUGUGAUUCUUCCCUAUGCGGCCGCUGGCUUGGAAGCCAUGUGAUCGUUUGAAAAUGACGGAUUCAAGUAGUAAACCAGCUAGUGUUUUUCUUGGAUCCAACAGGGGAACUAGUGUAGUCAAACGAACAAGUAAAGCUGAUCCAGCCAAUGCAAACUACUGAAGCAUCUGACCUCAUGUUACAAAUAUCUUGACAGGGUAUCCUGAACAUUUAGCCUCAUGUGGUUUGAUUUAUGAUGUUUUUGUUGGUGAUAUUGAGUUGACAUGGAAAUAAUUUAUUCAUUCGCAACAAGAAUGAAUCAAGGCUUCUUGUGUUACUAGUGUCCGGCCAGAACUAGUAAGUUGUGAUCAACGUGGCCGUAUAAUUAGAUUAGGAAAAAUACUAACUUGAGUCCGGCUAGGGAUCUGUGGCAGCAGCUCAUAGAUUAGAAUUAGAUUUGAUAAUUGGAGAUGGAUUCCUGAACCAAUUUGCAAAUUCGUUGGUGAUUUCAGUGCUUAUACUUAUUUGGUUUUGGUGCCUGGUCGGACCUUCUCUAUGUUAGUUCCUUUGCUUAGCCAAAUUAGUUAGGGAUAUAGCCCAUCCAUGAUGUUGCGAGGUGUUGAUUGCCUUCUAGGAAACAUCUAGAGCGUUGGGUAUCUCUGGCUGUAAACUGAAUCUGGCUCAGUUAAAAACUGCACUGUCAAAUCUGGACAGCCAGCUUCUAGGUGAAAAAUGAGUUAGUAAUUCUCAGAAUUUCGAGUUGCCUCUAUAUGAAAUUUGUAAAGCAAGUUCCAAGCUUUCCGUAGAGUAUUUAUUUGAGUCGUUUGGAUGUAUGGUUUGAGAGCAGCCAUCGUUUUAGUUUGUUGUCCUGAAAGUUAGUAUCCUGAGCGCAUUGUUUUCGUAUGCCAGUUUACGGCCUUGUAGAGGCUGUUUUAAAAAAAGUUUGCACCUUAUAAAGUGGUAUCUGCUUAAUAUUAAGAUCAUUUAUCAGUUCUGUAUCUAUAAUAUUACAAGUAAGAAUGGAUAUUGGCUAUCAAGAGUCUCAACUUUUAUCUCAUUUACUGAAUGCAGACGCAGCAUCUUCACUUCUUUCCUUGCACAUUCCUGUUAAGGAAGCAAAGGUAACCCUGCUAUCCUGGUAUAUACAGAUAGAAUAAAAAUACAAUACAAUAUUUGACUACCAAUGGAUCACGAUGUUUUCCUACUUAUUCUGCUUGAAGGGAUGGUGUUGAUAGUGUUGCAACCAGUGCUGCUGUUUUAUUUUGUUGAGACUACCAAUGAUGCUGCAGUCAAUUAAUUACAACUCACACUUGUUGAGGGGGACUGCAACUUAGUUCAGUGUCGAUGUUCAUUGCGAGUUUAGUAGUACCAUAUGAGGAGGUGAAAUAAUGUUCUUAUAGUUCACAGCAAGUGGUCUGAUGGGCCGUUUGUUUGUCCUUGUUGGUCUGCUUUCGUUUUGGAAAAUCAUCCUAUAAGAUUUGUGUUGUCCUAUCGAGCAAUUGAUCUGAUGGGUUGUGAGCUUUUUAGCUGUCCAGCAUCACCCUAUGGCAGAUAAUCAUUUCUAUUAUGUGUUAAUGCUUUCCUUUUAAACUACUUCAAAAAAACAAAGAAAUUGGAUUCUUUUAGCCGUAUUAUCCUUUGAACAUCUAUAUGAAAUGAUCUAAGUUUAAGUAUAUUUAGUUUUUAAGAAAACUAAAGGCAAUUAAUGUGAAAAUUAGAUAUGUCCUAUUACCUGGCAAUAUAUAGUUUUGUAGCUAUUACAUAGGCGAUCUCUUGUUAAUAGAAAUCACUCACUUUUUUGUUUUCGUAUAUUUAUUCCCGUAGCUACUAUACAUCACAGCAUGCAAGGAAAUAUAUGUCAUCUGAAAUUUAAUUUAAUUUGUUCUUUGCUCUUUACAGAAAUCUUGGAUUCAUAAAUGGGAGAAGCACAUAAGGGAGAAGAAGAUGAUUGCAAGGAUGGAGAGGGAGCAAAUCAUUUGGAGGGAUAGAAUGCCACUGUUUGGUGUUUUUAUGCAUUUUUGUUUGCUUUCAACUAUGUUUGCACUAGCUGGGAAUAAGUGACUAGGCAAUAAGUGUGGAUGUAUGGAUAUGCUCUAAUGCUCCUGGUUACUAUAAAUCUUCAAUUUGGAAUGAUGUGUAAUGAUGUUGGUUUAUUACAAAUCUGGGCUUGUUUUAGUUGUUAGAAUUGUAUGCAUAAAAUGGAAUUGAUGGAUUUUAUUUUUUUUAAUUCCUAAUUAGUUAGUAGUAGCGUGGGGGUGAAAUCGAGCACUACUAGUAUUUAGGAUACUAGUAGCGUGUGGUACUACAGACGCGCUACUACUAUUUCGUUAGUAGUAGCGCGGGUGACAUCCGCGCUACUAGUAAAAUGUUAGUAGUAGCGCGGGUUUACCCCGCGCUACUACUAACUAUUAGCUGUAGCGCGAUACUAGUAGCGCGGGUACCCGCGCUGCUAGUAGCCAUUUUACCCGCGCUGCUAGUAGCCUUUUUCCUAGUAGUGCUAGUUGUUUAUCUUUAGUAGCCUCUCUUACCGGGAAAUGUCUCCUAGUGUUUCCACUGAGCCUGGUAGCUUGCUACUGCUCCGGAACGCUUAGGCUGGCCGGCAUGUGUCCUUCUUCGUUCCUGUGUCUGUCCCUUCGGGGAAAUGUCACGCCUUGAGUACCGCAGUCCUGCUAGCCCAGUGCUACAGCCCGGAACUCACUCGCUGAUGACCGACACGUUCGAUGCUGGGUCAUGGAUGCCUGUCCCUGUAAGUCUAUGCCACUUCGGGUUUACGACUAGCCAUGUCAGCCCGGGCUCCUUAUCAUAUGGAUGCUAGCGACACAAUCAUAUACGUGUGCCAAAAGGCGCAAACGGUCCUGGGCAAAAGUAAGGCGACACCCGUGGGAAUACCGUGCGUGAGGCCGCAAAGUGAUAUGAGGUGUUACAGGCUAGAUCGAUGUGACAUUGAGUCGGGGUCCUGACAGUAUUAUUGUAUUCAUGUGGCAUUGUACGCCUUUUGUAUGUAUCCCCAUCUAUUAUGUAAUGUUGAUGUAAUGAUAUCCACCUUGCAAAAGCGUUCCAAUAUGCGGGUCUAUCCUUGGUGGGACCAUCGAGUUCCUUUUGGAUAGGGUCGCAUAUUGGGCGUGACAAGUUGGUAAUCAGAGCCUCGACCGACCCUAGGAGCCCCCCUUGAUUGAUCGUGUAGUUUGGCCGUUGUUGAGUCUAGAAGAAAACUGUUUUCGGAGUCUAGUUAUAUCGGAGAGUAGGAAUUCUUUUUACUCCUCAGCCCCUUCGUCGCUCUGGUGAGGAAUCUUGACGUAGGUGUUUUGAACUACUCCUCUUCCCCUUCAAAUUUUCUUUAGGUUCACGCAGUUGGUUUUUCGUUUGUUGGUUCUCAGCUUCUUUUCAUCCAGUGCAUUUCUCGUCAAGUUGACUCGAGCCUCUUCAUCUUUGUCAAGUUCAAUCCUUAGUUGUUUUCUUUUCCCACCCGCCCACCCUUCUUAUUCUCGAAUCCGGAGUCCGUAAUCGAGUAUCCAUCAUACUCGUGCGAAGCCUUUGCAUUCUCUCCUCAAUGAUUUCAACUGGUGUUUUCUUUUCAAGAUAUUCAUUGGUUCUCCCUUCCAGUUGCCUGUGUUUUUCCCGCCCUCCCACCCUUUUUCGUCCCGGAGCCUGAGUCUCUUUCGACCAUCAAUUUCAUUCGUGUGGAGUCUCUUCAUUCUUCCCUCAAUUAUUUCAUCCGAUGAACUCUCGUCUCGCUCGACAUUCUUCAUCUAUUUUUUCUUUUCCGGUGGAUUCAAUUCAAUUUUUCGGUAGUGAUUAUAUUCUUUCCCUCGGCUCAAGUGUUUUCCUCGCUCGUUCGCCUCUCGCCAGUUUAUCCUUCCGGAGUGCUCAAGACAUCUCAGGAGAUUCAUCUGUAUUCGAAUUAAUUCAAGUUUGUCACCUCAUUCAAAUAUUUCAAUUGUUCCGGUGCAUCAUCUAUCUGUUCAACAUCCCUUUCCAACGGUGUUUUCUUCAGUGGGCCCUAACCCACAGGUCUUUUCCCAGGAUCUUACCUGACUCUUCUAAUUAUUCCAGAGACAUUCCUAAUUCUUUUCAAGUGGGAUGUAAGAAUGGAUUUCAUCAGUCACAUGCCUUAUCCAAUAUCGUUUUCAAAUUCUUUUCAUUGUUGGCUCAACCUCUGCGCUUUUCAUUCUCCCGGAGUAUCUCAGUAAUUUUGGUGGUGUUUCUCGUCAUCAUUUGAAGAUUGAAGAAGAGUUUUUCCUCUAAAUCUUGCCCGUUCUCUCGAAGUUUCGUGGUUCUAGUUUCAUGUUACCCUCUCAUUUUGUUCCGUUUGUCAGUUAUUCUUUAUUACCCAUCCGGAGUAUUUCAAGAGUUGUUUUCCAUUUCUUUUCACCGGAGUAUUUCCCGGUGAUUCUUUCUCUUUCAUCAGUCAUUUUGAAUUCUUACGGUGGUUCAUUCAGAUUCUUUUUCCUUUGUCAUCAUUUAAAUCCAUUCGUUCUUUUCUAUCCUACCGGUGGUUCAUGAAGACCUUCUCAAGUUUGCGAUAUGUCACUUCUCAAUUCUUUUUCAAGAAGGAUAAGUAGUAUGCAAAAUCCAUUGCUUCUCAUCAAUUUAAUUUGAUGAAGGAUAAGCAUACAAUAAAUCUUAUUCUUAUUUCAUCCAAGCGAUUAAUCCCUUCUUUCGGAGUUUGUUCUUGGUGAAUAAAUUCUAGUUCCAAGUGUUUUCAUCUUUUCUUUUCCGGAGUUCAAAUUUCCUCGGCCAUCUCGUCGGAACCUCCAUCUGAAUCAUCGCAAGGUUUUAAUCUUAUUCUUUCAUCCUUCAUUCUAUCUCAUCAUCCUUUAUUUUACCGGAGUACUUCAUGGAGAUUCUUCAUGAUUUAAUUCAUUCUUCAAGAGUUCAUCAAGUACCAUUCCAUCCUCUCAAGUUCGUUCUAAUCCUCCCAUUUUCAGCCGGAGUGCUGCCUAAAUCCUUUCAGACUUAUUCGUUUCUUUUCUCAUUCUAACCACUCCGGUUAGAACGAGUGAUGUCAUAGUCUAUCUGAUUCCGUGAGCUUUUCGAUUCUCGUCAUCCUCGUUGUUUCCUCUCUUCUUCUCGAGUGAUCUCGAUUCUUUGCUUCUUCCCUUGAGUUCUUGUUUCACCUCAUCCCUUUUCCCUUCCGUCUCGGUCCUAAGAUCUCGGGACGAGACCUCUUGUUAGUGGAGGAGUGUUGUAAUGCCCCGGAUUCGAUGCGCCAGUUGUCUGCCAGUUAUUCGCCGUCUUUGCCAUGUCUUUUGCUUGCGUGUUGCACUUUGCCAUGUCAUCAUCUGCAUUUCAUAUCAUGUCAUCAUGUGCAUCUCAUGUUGCAUACAUGUUCGUCUCAUGCAUCUGAGCCUUUUCCCCGUUGUCCGUUUUGCAAUCCGGCGCUCCUAUGUCAUCCGGCGUCCCCUUCUUCUCUCCUUUUGUGAGCGGGUGUUAAACUUUCUCGGAAUGGCCCGAGGUUUGCCAAGCGGCCUUGAUAUAGCACCGGUAGACCGCCUGUCAAGUUUCGUGCCAUUUGGAGGUCGUUUGAUACUCCGACGAUUAACCGGGUAACCAUAAAGCCCUCUUUGAGUUGCAGCCCAACACCCUUUCCAAAGUGGCCCAAAACCCAGCAAACUCCCCUCCACGCUCUCGGUCGUUCGAUCACGAUCGCGUGGCCGAAAACCGCACCUCAUUUGGACUCUCCUAGCUCCCUCUACCUAUAAAUAUGUGCCCCUCCCCGAUUUUUCGCGCAGUCCAACCCUAGCGUCAUCCUCCUCGCGCCGCCGGACACGUCCGUCCGCGCCGGACGUGUCCGCCGGACACGUCGUUCCGACCAAUCCCGUGACGCCACGUCAGCCCGCCGCCGCCCUCGUCCNNNNNNNNNNNNNNNNNNNNNNNNNNNNNNNNNNNNNNNNNNNNNNNNNNNNNNNNNNNNNNNNNNNNNNNNNNNNNNNNNNNNNNNNNNNNNNNNNNNNNNNNNNNNNNNNNNNNNNNNNNNNNNNNNNNNNNNNNNNNNNNNNNNNNNNNNNNNNNNNNNNNNNNNNNNNNNNNNNNNNNNNNNNNNNNNNNNNNNNNNNNNNNNNNNNNNNNNNNNNNNNNNNNNNNNNNNNNNNNNNNNNNNNNNNNNNNNNNNNNNNNNNNNNNNNNNNNNNNNNNNNNNNNNNNNNNNNNNNNNNNNNNNNNNNNNNNNNNNNNNNNNNNNNNNNNNNNNNNNNNNNNNNNNNNNNNNNNNNNNNNNNNNNNNNNNNNNNNNNNNNNNNNNNNNNNNNNNNNNNNNNNNNNNNNNNNNNNNNNNNNNNNNNNNNNNNNNNNNNNNNNNNNNNNNNNNNNNNNNNNNNNNNNNNNNNNNNNNNNNNNNNNNNNNNNNNNNNNNNNNNNNNNNNNNNNNNNNNNNNNNNNNNNNNNNNNNNNNNNNNNNNNNNNNNNNNNNNNNNNNNNNNNNNNNNNNNNNNNNNNNNNNNNNNNNNNNNNNNNNNNNNNNNNNNNNNNNNNNNNNNNNNNNNNNNNNNNNNNCCGGCCCGGCUCCCUCCGGUCUCCCCGACCCCGGCCGCCGCCGGCCACGGGAGCGCGCUGCCGCGCCGCCCCAAGCCCCUCCGGCGCACCCCGCCCGUUGCCCCGACCAGAUCCGGCCACGGGAGGGCCGGAUCCAGCCUCCUCCGGCUUCUUCCUCGACUCCGGCCGCUCUCCGGCGACGAACUCCGGUGAGAUCCCGACGCCGUGGAUAUUUUCCCCGAGGUCCAAAUCCACUAAGUCCCCGUUUCCUGACAUUUUGAUGCCAUGUUCAUCGCAUCACAUCUCUGCAUCCGUAGCUCUGUUUCGUGCGUAUAAUAUGUCAAAUUGUUCGCCUCGAUGAGUACUUCAUUUCAUUCCAUUGCAUCAUUUUCAUUUGAGCUCAUCUUGAUGCCCGAUAUGCUGUUGGAAGAGUGCAUGUUAAUGUUAAUCUGUUGAAGCUGUUAUAACUUGCUUAUUUGUCAUUUUUGCCAUGAUUGAUGUGUGCAUCCUAUGAGGUUGAUGUCUACAUGUGUUUUGAUCUAUGCCAUGCCAUCUUUCCAGGGGUGUAUGCCAUGCAUUUUUGUGAUCAAUGUGGUGACUAGCACAAGCAUGCAAACUAGGCUUCAUGAUAUUGCUGAUUUUAGUCCCUGUUCUGCUAUUAUUUUGAUGCCAUGUAAACUUGAUGCUACAGAGCGAUCCAUGCAUAUUUAUAGAUACUUCAGUAAGGGUGUUUUGAACAUAUGGUUAUUGUCUAUCAAUUCAUGCCCUUUUUUGCAAUUAUGGAGUAGCCUAGCAUGUCAUUUUGGUGCUCUACGUUUGCUUCAAAAUGUUUCCUGGCAGAUUGUUUACAUGUUAUUCAAUAUGGCCAAGCUUGCUAUAGUUCAUCCUUGUAUGCUAUGGACUUGUUAUUGCCUUGGUUUGUUACACAAACAUGCCUUCUUGAUGAUGCUAUGCUUAUCUUGUCAUGAAAUGACUUGUGGUGAGUGAAUCGAGCUUGUUAAGUAGUGUACAUGAUGUUGCUGUUUUGCUAGACAGAUUCUGUAAUUUUGUGAUGCCAUGUUAACAUGUUUCUACUAAUCAUUCUAUGCAUAAUCUGGAGAUGUUCUAUAGAUAUGUUUUGAUCUACAUGUCAUGCUCUAUCCAUUCAUGCCCUUAGUUGCAAUUAUAGCCUGCUGGGACAUGGUUUAAUCUUGCUCUAAAGUUGCUUGAAAAUGUUGCUAUCAGCCUGUUAACAUUAAGUUCCAUGUUUUCAUGAUUGUUUGGUAGUGAUCCAUGCACCCUAUGACCUUGUUAUUGCCAUGAUUAGCUUCAUAAUCAUGUCUUCUUACUGUUGGUUGCCUUCCCAUGCCAUGUAUUGCUCUGUGGUGAGUGGUUCAAGCUCACGAACAUGCCUACUUAUUGUUGUUCCUGCCAUGUAUGAAUCUGUAAUAUAACUUGCCAUGUUUACAUGGGUGCCAUCAUAUUUUCUGUGCCCUUUUGGCUGAUGGUCAGUAAGGGACUUUUGAUCUAUGCAAUUAGUAGAUUCAUGCCGUGCCUUCGUUUGCCAUGAUAUGUUCCUGUAACAUGUCGUUUGAUAGCUCUAAACAUUGCAACCUGAUGUUAUUUCUGCCAAGUGUGAAACUGUUAUAAUUUGCAAUCUUCCCAUGUCUUUGUGAGCAUGUUCUAGAUGUUUCUAGAGAUAGCUCAGUGUUCAUGUUUUGUUAUGCUUUACCUGUAAAUCAUGCCCAUGCAUUUUGUUAUUAUGUUGGGGUGCUGUAGCAUAUUGUUUUGAUGCUUGCAAUAUGCCUAGUUGCUAUUUUGGACAGAUUGUUGUUAUGACUUGUAUAGUGUGCAUGUGUUGAAUCGUUGCUCCGUUUUGAGUGUGCUCUAUAUGAAACUUGCUUGAUUUUGCAUGUAGUUUCAUAUCAUCAUGUUGCAUCCUUGUUUUGAGGUGUUUUCUUGAUGUUUGGGUGCAUUUUGCAUCAAUGCCAUGUUUAACUUGUUUUGCUCAUAUCUUCUAGGCCGUAGCUCUGAAUCUUAUGAACUUUAUAUGUAACUUGACUAGAAUUUUAUGUAGAUCAUCUUGGUGCAUCUUAACUUGCUGUUUAACAACUUGAACGUAAGGUUUAUUCAGUUCUAGACCAAUUUCGAAAUUUGCAUAUGAGGACUUACCGGAAUUGUUAUAUGUUGUUUUCGGCCUCAUUUAAACUUGCCUUGAUGUGUUGUUCUUGUUUGCAUCAUCUCUUGCCAUGAGUAGGCUCAUCUAGCUUUCUCAUGCAUCAUGCUUGUUGUGCAACAUGUCUUGUCUAUGUGUGGUGUGUUUACUAUGUUUUGUGCUGCUUCUUGUUAGUUCAUGUUUCGUUGCGAUCGUGAGGAUUCGUUCGUCUACGAUUGGUUCGGCUUCAUCCGUUCGUCUUCUUCAUGGACUCGUUCUUCUUCCUAGCGGGAUUUCAGGCAAGAUGACCGCUACCCUGGAUCUCACUACUAUCAUUGCUAUGCUAGUUGCUUCGUUCUAUCGCUAUGCUGCGCUACCUAUUGCCUGUUUAUCAAGCCAUCCCAUAUUGCCAUGAACCUCUAACCUUUGACACCUUUCCUAUGCAAACCAUUGUUUGGCUAUGUUACCGCUUUUGCUCAGCCCCUCUUAUAGCAUUGCUAGUUGCAGGUGAAGUUGAAGAUUUCUCCAUGGUGGACAGGAUUUUGGUUGGGAUAUCACAAUAUCUCUUAUAUUAUUAAUGCAUCUAUAUUUUUGGUAAAGGGUGGAAGGCUCGGCCUUAUGCCUGGUGUCUUGUUCCACUCUUGCCGCCCUAGUUUCCGUCAUACCGGUGUUAUGUUCCCGGAUUUUGCGUUGCUAACGCGGUCGGGUGAUUUAUGGGACCCCCCUGACAGUUCGCUUUGAAUAAAACUUGUCCAGCAAGGCCCAACCUUGGUUUUACCAUUUGCCUCACCACCACCUACUUUUUCCCUUGGGAGUCGCUCUCUCGAGGGUCAUCUUUAUUUUAGCCCCCCCCCCCCCGGGCCAGUGCUUGUCUAAGUGCUGGUUCGAACCGAGUAGACUGCGGGGCCCCCUCGGGGCAACUCGAGGUCUGGUUUUACUCGUAGGUUGUCUCAUCCGGUGUUGCCCUGAGAACGAGAUAUGUGCAGCUCCUAUCGGGAUUGUCGGCGCAUCGGGCGGCUUUGCCGGUCUUGUUUUACCAUUGUCGAAAUGUCUUGUAAACCGGGAUUCCGAGACUGAUCGGGUCUUCCUGGGAGAAGGUCUAUUCCUUAGUUGAUCGCGAGAGCUUGUCAUGGGCUAAGUUGGGACACCCCUGCAGGGUUUAAACUUUCGAGAGCCGUGCCCGCGGUUAUGUGGCAGAUGGGAAUUUGUUAAUGUCUGGUUGUAGAUAACUUGACACCAGAUCCGAAUUAAAACGCAUCAAUCGCGUGUGUAGCCGUGAUGGUCUCUUCUCGGCGGAGUCCGGGAAGUGAACACAGUUUCCGGGUUAUGUUUGACGUAAGUAGGUGUUCAGGAUCACCUCUUGAUCAUUGCUAGCUUCACGACCGUUCCUUUGCCUCUCUUCUUGCUCUUAUUUGCGUAUGUUAGCCACCAUACUUGCUUAGUAGCUGCUGCAACCUCACCACUUUACCCCUUCCUUUCCCAUUAAGCUUUGCUAGUCUUUUUACCCAUGGUAAUGGGAUUGCUGAGUCCUCGUGGCUCACAGAUUACUACACCAACAGUUGCAGGUACAGGUUAUGCGAUGAUCAUGACGUGAGAGCGAUGCUUGCUUAUUUGGAGUUCUUCUGUUUCUUCUUCGAUCAGGGGAUAGGUUCCAGGUCGGCACCUUGGCUAGCAGGGUGGAUGUCGUUUGAGCUUCUGUUUGUGUUUCAUCCGUAGUCGGAUGUUGAUCUUAUGUGAUGUAUUGUUGUAUUCAUGUGGCAUUGUAUGCCUUUUGUAUGUAUCCCCAUCUAUUAUGUAAUGUUGAUGUAACGAUAUCCACCUUGCAAAAGCGUUCCAAUAUGCGUGUCUAUCCUUGGUGGGACCAUCGAGUUCCUUUUGGAUAGGGUCGCAAAUUGGGCGUGACAGCGGACGCUACCCUUCGCUUGAGCUCUGCCGCCCUGGCCGACGAAGAUCUGGUCGCCGCCCACCACUCCUUUGUUGGGGGAGACGUGGCGAGGCCGGACGGUGCUCCCGUCCCCCUGUUUCUUCACAGCUAUUGGGAGCAGGUGGUGAACGCCAUGCCCACCUUCAACGGUGAGGGGCUGGUGCUCGCAGUGGCUCCCGACGAUCUGGCGGCGUUGCCGAUGGUGAAUGUGUCCUCCAGCGACUCCGGCGGGAGUGAGGAGGAAGAAGAGGAGGAGGAAGAAGAGUCUGACUUCGAGGUGACUGGAGGGGAGUCGGAGGAGGCCUUUCCCCGGCGCAGGUCCCGUGCCCUCCGUUCCAUGCCAGACGACGACGAGGCCAGCGCCAGGCGAGGAGGGUAGGAUUCUCCCUGGUCCCGAGGAAGGACAGGUCGGGGCUGGUGCUCCCGGGAUCCGCUCUAGCUCCGGGGCGGUCUGAGGCCAGCUCCGGCCCUCUCGGCGCGUCCUCUGCUUCCGUGCCUCCCAAUGCUGAUCCCAGCUGCAGGCUCUCGGGCUUCAAGUUUGGCCGGAGGCUACUCGAGCCCGCGAACAAUGACCAGUAAGUGCUCGACACGCGCUUUGCUUUGUUUCUGCUGCCGAGACUUGACAUCUGCACUCUUUUGCCCAAGCUUCUGCGACCCCGCUUGAGGCGAGUUCGUCUGCCGAGGAUGUGCCUCUGUCUGCGGGGAAAAGAGGCAUUGAGGCCCGAGCCUUCCCUGUCUGGUCACCCUCGCGAGCCCAGCAGGGAUACUCUGGCGAGGAGUCAGCCCCCGUGGCCCCGCUGACCCUGGAGGUUCCUGGGCUUGACGCUGCCGCUGAGACGCCCAAGGCCCGGGAGGCUCCUUCCUCCCAACCCGUGAUCACCUUUUCGUCCUCUCCGCCUGCUCCACCGGCUCCCAUCUCUUCUGAUUCCUCGGCGGUCUUGGACCAGGCCGCCAAUGAACUGAGUCGGCUGCGGGAGGAUCUCCAGAGACAGGACCCCCACCUGGUGGUCGGGCGCCUGGAGCUAGCUUCUGGUUGGGCCCGCUCUGCCGCCUCUGUCCAAGCGGCGCUGAGCCAGGCUGCGUCUGCCUCUGACGAGGAGAAGCAAGCCGCUCGCCAGGCCAAGGCCGCUCACGAUGCUGCCAAGGGUGACGCUGCGGAUGCUCGAGGCCGCUGCAAGGCGCUGGAGGUCGAGUUACAAGACCUGCCUGAUGCGCUCGCAAAGGAGGUCCGCAUCCGCCAGGAGAAGGAGGAGGGGAUGAACGCUCGGGGGGCUGCCGUCAAGGACCGGGACGCCGAGCUUGAUGACCAUCGUGGCCGGUUGGAGACGCUGGAGCAGGCGCUGAAGGUGGAGUGGACCGAGCUAGACCGCAAGGCGAAGGUCCUGGCCGAGGAUUGAGUGGCCUUCGCCAAGCUGGAGGAGAAGGCUCGCACUGUGCUGAAGACGCUCUAUGAGGGCGGCUUAGAGGAGCCGUUGGCUGGCGAAGAGGACGGCCCUGCCGAGCUGCUUCCCUUCCUGGUCCGCGCGCUUGAAGAUGCCGCGGACGGCCUUGGCCCUAGGGUCGAGGCCGAGGCGCGUGCCCUGCCGUUUACAGCGCUGACGCACGUGUUCAGCCAUGUCUACCGUCGCCACCCCAACGUCGACCUCGACAGCCUAAUGGAACCCGUGAGCGGCGACCUUGCCGCCGCAGCUGCUGAGGCCAUGAAGGGCCGAGCCGAGGCUUUGCUGGGAUGGUUCCGUGCCUUCAGCACCUUGCCUAGAUGCGACGCCACUAGUUCCGCGGCUUCAGGAGGCGGAGCCGCCCAGCGUGACUCCACCACAGGCGGCGGCGCCACUAGAACGUGAUCCCUUUGCGGUUUUUGUCCUGUUUUAAUUCCUGCAACAUGCACCAUGCCUCGUGGAGGCGUUUAAACUUGUGUUUGGUGUUGUGAAACACUCUAUGGCUUGUAAUAUUUGCUUUUGAAUUCCCUAGAAUUUGCAUUUUUCCUGUCCUAUUUGCUUGUGUUCUACGUCGGAAACCAGGACGAGACUAAUGACUGAGAGGCUACGUGGCAAGUUAGGCUCCUGAGUCGCGAUGCUCAGGAGUCCCCCUUGACGCGCAAACAGCAAGUAGGGAAGGGAUGCGUAGGAGUGGAUUUUUCGUUCUACGUCGGUAGGGCCCGGCCCGCGCGCACACCUGAGCCGCUGUUAGCCCCGACCGGAAACCAAGACGGGACUAAGGAGUGAGGGGCUACGUGUCCAGUUAGGCUCCUGAGUCGCGAUGCUCAGGAGUCCCCCUUGACGUGCAAACGAGUCUUCAUACCUUGGCUCCGCUCGGGGAGAGGAGCGCAACGACCAGGUCCGAGGGACCUGGCUGGGUGGCGUGCGUUCGGGCGUAGCCCGGACGCAACCCCCAUGUCCAGCCCCCUCGCGCGGCACUCCUGAGGGGAGGCGUUGCGAUGGUGCCAGACACUAAGCUCUGGGCUCCCUGAGGUUCAUACGGCCGUGGGCCACCCUCAGUUGUUUAUCACCAGUGCGUAGCAUAGCACUUCCAUAUGUGUACGGCAGUGUCGUUAGCCAGCGGGGAGCAUGGUGCUUCCACUGGUACGUGGGAGGGGGCUCCCCUCCGGGAGGAGCCCCCGGGGUGUGUACAGCCCCGCCCUAACACGUGGCCGGCACGGUAGGGCUUGGAGAGGUGUAUCUGGGCACCCGUGAGCCGGCGCGGGACUCACGAGGCCCUACCUCGAGGCGGGUUGCGCCUGGCUCUGGGCCUUUAUCAAUGGAGUGUUCCUGCAGGGUGGUUAGAAUGCAAAUGCUCUACGUCCUUAGGUCCCGGCCCUCGAGUGAGCUCAGCCGCCGCUGGUAUGACAGGUCGCCAUGGCGCCUCGCAAGACCCCGACUGAGGCCUGUUACUCGCCGGCUCUGGAUCCCCCGAAUGUGUCGGAGAAGAAUCUCGCCCUCAUGCGCCUGAGGACGGUGGCGCAGGGAAACGAGGGAGCGACUGUGUUCAAGGCCGGCUCCGACCAUCCUGAAGGCAAGGCGAGCACCUUCUACCCGCUUUUUGUGAGCGCCAUCAUUGUGUUGGGGAACGUAGUAAUUUCAAAAAAAUUCCUACGCACACGCAAGAUCAUGGUGAUGACAUAGCAACGAGAGGGGAGAGUGUUGUCCAUGUACCCUCGUAGACCGUAAGCGGAAGCGUUAUGACAACGCGGUUGAUGUAGUCGUGCGUCUUCACGAUCGACCGAUCCAAGCACCGAACGUAUGGCACCUCCGAGUUCAGCACACGUUCUGCUCGAUGACGAUCCCCGAGCUCCGAUCCAGCAAAGCUUCGGGGAUGAGUUCCGUCAGCACGACGGCGUGGUGACGAUGAUUGUCGGUGUCAAAACCGGCGGAUCUCGGGUAGGGGGUCCCGAACUGUGCGUCUAGGCGGAUGGUAACAGGAAGCAAGGGUCACGAUGUUUUACCCAGGUUCGGGCCCUCUCGAUGGAGGUAAAACCCUACGUCCUGCUUGAUUAGUAUUGAUGAUAUGGGUAGUACAAGAGUGGAUCUACCACGAGAUCAAGGAGGCUAAACCCUAAAGCUAGCCUAUGGUAUGAUUGUUGUAAUGUAUGUUGUGUCCUACGGACUAAAGCCCUCUGGUUUAUAUAGACACCGGAGAAGGCUAGGGUUACAUAGAGUCGGUUACAAUGGUAGGAGAUAUACAUAUCCGUAUCGCCAAGCUUGCCUUCCACGCCAAGGAAAGUCCCAUCCGGACAUGGGACGGAGUCUUCAAUCUUGUAUCUUCGUAGUCUUGGAGUCCGGCGGACGAUGAUAGUCCGGCUGUCCGGACACCCCCUAGUCCAGGACUCCCUCAGUAGCCCCUGAACCAGGCUUCAAUGACGAUAAGUCCGGCGCGCAUAAUGUUAGGCAUUGCAAGGCGGGUUCCUCCCUUGAAUAAUCCAGAGAAGAUCAUGAACACCAGGAUAGUGUCCGGCUCUGCAAAAUAAAUUCCACAUUCCACCGUAGAGAGAAUAAAAUGCACACCAGUCCAAUCUGCUGACGUGUUAUGCGGCAUGACAUCACACCGCUACCAAGCCUUUAUUUGAAUCAUUUUUUAUUAUACCACCUCAACACGUUUAGCGAAGCAGUUUCCUUGGCACGUCCUGUCGAAGCAGAGAUCGUGUUCCCCUUAUUCCGGGAUUCUCAUCAAUACGAACGUGGGUAACCCAACCGCGCCAUUGAUGGUGGCGCUUGGGAGAUAAGCGAGUUUUACCAGGCUGGUGGGGGACGCAUAGUCUCCGUCCUCCUAUAUAUAUAAGGGAUAAGGAUUUACCUUCUCACCUACGCCUUCUCCUUUGCUUAUCCAUCUCCGCGCACUCAAGCUCCAACACGCAAGCUCGCGCAUCUCGCCUUGACCUUCUCCGAUCAUGUCCGGAGCGGGAGGCAAAUGGUUGGCAUCCACCGUUAAGGAGGAGCACAUCACCAAGCUGUGCAGCGCCGGAUACCUUUCCGGCGACAUCGCGCAUCGGCUGCCCGACGAGGGGCAGCUCAUCCCCACCCCCGGGCCCCAUGAGUGGGUUGUUUUCCUCCCCCACUUCCUCCGCGGACUGGGCUUUCCACUCCACCCAUUCGUCUGGGGGCUCAUGUUUUACUACGGCCUGGAUUUCCACGAUCUGGCGCCGAACUUCAUCCUCAACAUCUCGGCGUUUAUCGUCGUGUGCGAGGCCUUCCUCUGCAUCCGGCCCCACUUCAGCCUGUGGCUCAAGACCUUCAACGUCAAGCCGAAGGUUGUGAAGGGCACGCAAGCGGAAUGCGGAGGCGCCAUGUUGGGCAAAUUGCCCAACGUCCUUUGGCUCGAAGGGGCCUUCAUGGACUCUGUUAAGGGGUGGCAAUCGGGGUGGUUCUACAUCACCGAGCCGCGCGAACCCAUGUGGGCGGCGGCCCCCGAGUUUAGAUCUGGUAUUCCCACGUAGCUCACCUCCUGGAAAGAGAAGGGCUUGUUGUGGGGCAAUCCGAAGGAGCUGACGGGACUCCGAGCCUGUAUCCAGAAGCUGGUGAACCAUCAGCUCAGGCUCGUCGACGUGGUCCAAGUCAUGCUCAUCCGCCGGAUUCUCCCAUGCCAAGAACGGGCAUUCAAUCUGUGGGAGUUCAAUCCGAAACAGCACCGGGCGCUAAGCGGGCUCUUCCACACGACGUACGAAGGCGCCUGGAGGGUGCUGUUUAAGGGCGCCGAAGCCCCCGCAUCCGCGACGGAAGAUCGCGGAUUUUUCUCGCAGCAUCCAGCUGACGAGGUAAGUGAUUCAACCCCUUUACGGGACACUUGUGGUGAAUAGAUCGAUUCUAAGAGGGUUUCAAUCUCUCUUUUCCUUUGGCAGGAAUGGAUGGAGAAGGCCGAGCAGCUCAUCUGUCCGGCUCCCAUGCCAGAAGACCCAGUGGACGCCCGUCUAGCGGGGCUGCUGGUUCCGGCACCGCACGUGGUGCCGGAGAAGAAGGCCAAGAAGGUGGCCACGGGGACUCGAAAGAGUUCCCGUAAUCAGGUGUCCGACGACGAGGCGGAAUCCUCCCCCGAAGACGAGGAGGAGGAAGAAGACUCUCUCCCAGAGGAGGGAGAGAAGAAGAGGAAGGCUUCCCCGAUAGGGGAGGCCGAAGGGUCCAAGAGGGGAAGCACUAUUCCCCCGGACAGCUCUGCCAACAUCGACAUUGGCGAGGAGGAGUGGCCUUCAAGGACCAGGCCUCCGGCGAGAUCGUAAGUAUCCGGAUCCCUGAUAUACAAUUUCUUUUGUGUCACAUAGUGUCCUACUAAUGCCGCAUACUGUCCGCAGUCCGGCCGAUGAUGAUCUCCCCGCUUCAUCGAGCGGGUCGUUGGCCCCAUCGGAUGUGGAUUUCACUUCCGACUUCCUCUACCCCCGCGCCGACGAGGACGCCGAGGUGGGAUCCCAGAGAGGGACCCAUCAGGAGGAGGCUCCGGAGGCGCCACCAGGCAGCCUCUCGGACUUUGCGCCGGACUCUACAUCGGAACCUGCAAUGGUUCCGGAGUCCGACAGGCGGCCCCUUCGAAAGAAGGGCAAGGCCGUGACGCCGGCGGCCUCCGUCCAGCCGGAGGCGCCGGACAAGUUGCUGGAGGCACUCAAAGGUGCUUCCAUCGAGGAAGAACACCACACUAUCAUGAGUGCGGUGAUUUAGAAGGUUCAGCUUGCCAAGAGCGGGCUGACCGAAGCCUGCAAUAGCCUUCUAACAGGCUUUGAGGUAAGAAGUUAUAAUUAUGUAAUGUAAUACCGCACAGACAGUAGCCCCUGAUGCUCAGUUCGGUGUUCGGAAAGAAGAGCCGGACUGAGGAUCUAAAAAGAUAUGCGCAGGGUUGCUUAAAAUAUGUCAAUAUGGGUUUGCAGGCUGCGCUGCUGACCUCUGCCGCAUUGACUGCGAAGGUCGAUGCGUUGAAGCAGGAUCUCGAGCGGUCCAAGCAAGAGCUCGGCCAUGCCAAGAAGUGGCUCGAGGACAAAGAAGGUGAGUAACACCACUUUGAAUAGUUACCUUACAUAAAAGGAUUUAGGUUGCAAUAAAAUUAACAAGGAUAAUAUGAGUAUUGCAGGGGCCACGAACGAGGUGGCAGCCCUGAAGGAGGCUGUGUUCGCAGCCAAACGCAGUGCGGCCGCGGAACGGGCAGAACGGGAAAAGCAGGAGGCACAGGUGGCGGAAGUAUGGCAAGAGCUCCGGGCUCUCAUGGAGAAGCAUGAGAGCUUGGGGCGUGACUCCAAGACUCGAGAGUCCGAGCUUGCCUCGGCUCUCGAAAGUGCCAAGUCCGCCAAGUCCGAGGCUCGUAAGGCCCUUCAGGAGGUUGAAGAUUUAAAGAAGAUAGCGGCGGGUAAGGCAUUUUUCAUGCAAAGCAAGCAUGUUAAUGUAAACUACCUGACACUUACCCGCAUUCGGAGCUCUCCAGGGGCGUUUGCAGAUCUGCCGCGCAGUGUGUCCGAUGCUGCCGCCUUCUACCGUGGCGAGGAGGGGAGCUCAACGGAGAAGGUCUUCUGGUCUCAGUACGCUGAGGCCAGCCAUCCGGUGCCCCCGAGCGACCAGUUGAAGCCGCUGGUCGAACUCCACAAGGUAGCUGAGGAGGCCAUGAAGGGCCUUAUAGUCCGGCUGUGGCCUGGACAGGCCAUGCCUGGGAGCUACUUCGGCCUCGUGCGGCGGCUGGUGGAUGCGUGUCCCUGGGUGGAGGUCAUCAAGCGCUCCGCCUGUAUUGAAGGUGCUCGUCGGGCCCUUGCCCGCACAAAGGUGCAUUGGGGCAGGUUGGAUGCGGAGAAGCUUCUCACGGACCCACCGCCACCGGGCAAGGAGUAUCGCACGCCCGAAAUGUAUUAUAAAACUGUCCUGAAGGGAGCCCGCGAUAUUGCGGAUGAGUGCCCCAGAGAUGUAAUUUUUGAGUGAACUUGCUAUGUAUUAUCCUGUGCGCUGAAAACUUUGUUCAUAUGCGCCUUAAGCAACGCUGGUUUAAUUUAAAAUAUUACCUUCUGUGCGGCCGUUUAUAAAAUCUGAGAGAUGGCAAGUCGUUGGCUUCAGCCCCCGAGCCGCGAGUGCUGGGGUGUUCGGGAUAAACUUGAGCACUCUUGUUCCCAUUUUUGGGUCCAUCUAGGGAGGCGCUCAACACAAUGAACAAGGCACCGGACUUAUAAUGCUUGAACACUCUCACUUAUCCAUAGAAUUCUAUAAUUUUAAAUUUCGGCGAAGCCCCUGGUAUUCAGAAGACCAAAUCCGGGGCGCUAUCCACGCCUUCGUCGGACAUUAUCCGGAACUUCGCUCGAAGCGGCGCGAGUCUUUAAGGACCCGAAAAGACCUCUCGAACAGCGACCAGUCUCUCGCCUUAUCAUGUCGGUCAGUUUUAGCUUUCUCCACUGAGGCGCUCGCCCGGCUCAAUCGGGGCGCAAUCGUAGUGGUUCUCCCAGUGCCACCUUAGCCGACAGAACGGAACAUAAGGCACCAAAAUGUGGGAGCCGGGCAAACCCAGCUAUUGACCCAAGACAUGAUUCGGAGCCGAUUCAUAUAAUGCUAUAAGUUCGGGGUGCCACACUUAUGAAAGUGUUCGGACUUAUCACACCAUAAUGUGGGGAACAUAAGCCCCUGGUGUAUUAGGCCGUACCAAAAUAUACGGGUGCAAGAUGUCAUGUGAUGAACAUAUAUAUAUAUAUAUAUAUAUAUAUAUAUAUAUAUAAAGUAAUGUAAUUGUAGUCAAAAAGUGCUACAUUAUUUUUUAAAGGAAGUCUGCAAUGAGUGCGGACUGAUACAAAUAGUGCGGUAAGCAAGGGAUUUGGACUAAUUAAACAUGUCCCCCUCCAGGGGUGAGCUGCGGACUUGGUGUAUAUAAUCGAAUUUAAUGCUCGUAAUUGAGACCACCUUAGUGUUCGUCGCAGCCUUCUUUCUUCCCUGGCUGUUGCAUCAUGAGUUCGGCUGGUUCACCGCCGGACAGGGCCUCUGGUUAACGGAGUCCUGUGUAUACAAAGAAGGAAAAUAAUAAUAAUAAAAAAAGGGGGCACGCUUGCGAGCCCCUGGUGUGGUCGAGCUGCACUCUGGGUCCAUUGUGAUCGUGCCCCUUCCCCUGCGCCCAUGGUAUCUCCAAGGCGUAAUGAUGUACGCGGAGGGUUGUUCUUGCAAUCAUGCGAGGGCGGGGGUCAGGGCCGCAUUGCGACGCGGGCUCUGAUCGUGCCAGGUGGUCUUGGUUGGUAUUGCUUCGGGCACGUUUUGCUAUAUCCGGCCAUUUAACGGCCGGACUCGAAAAUUGCCUUAAAAGGCUGCUCUGUACUUCUGCCGCGAGAGCCGCUGUAUGUUCCUCCGUUCGGAGGGAGCGUUCCGUAUUUCCAUUGACCGUGAUGACUCCAUGAGGGCCUGGCAUCUUGAGCUUGAGGUAUGCAUAAUGCGGCACCGCGUUGAACUUUGCAAACGCGGUUCGUCCGAGCAGAGCGUGAUAGCCGCUGCGAAAUGGGACUAUAUCGAAGAUUAACUCCUCGCUCCGGAAAUUAUCCGGGGAUCCGAAGACCACUUCUAGUGUGACUGAGCCUGUACAAUUGGCUUCCACACCUGGUAUGACACCUUUAAAGGUUGUCUUUGUAGGUUUAAUCCUUGAAGGGUCUAUGCCCAUCUUGCGCACUGUAUCCUGAUAAAGCAGGUUCAGGCUACUGCCGCCGUCCAUCCGGACUCUCGUGAGGUGAAAUCCAUCGACGAUUGGGUCUAAAACAAAUGCGGCGAAUCCGCCAUGGCGUAUGCUGGUCGGAUGGUCUCUUCGAUCGAAAGUGAUCGGACAAGAGGACCAUGGAUUGAACUUCGGGGCGACUGGCUGCAUCGCAUAGACGUCCCUUAGUGCACGCUACCGCUCCCUCUUGGGUAUGUGGGUUGCGUAAAUCAUGUUCACCAUCCGUACUUGUGGGGGGAAACCCUUCUGUCCUCUAUUGUUCGGCAGUCGGGUCUCUUCCUCGUCGUCGCUGUUUAGCCCCUUGUCAUUGUUUUCGGCAAUUAACUUGCCUGCCUGCGUGAACACCGAGCAAUCUCUGUUGGUGUGAUUAGCUGGCUUUUCAGGGGUGCCAUGUAUCUGGCAUAAGCGGUCGAGUAUUCGGUCCAAAUUGGACGGACCCGGAGUGGUUCUUUUGAAUGGAUUCUUCUGUUGACCGGGUUUAGAGCCUCGGAAUCCGGCGUUUACUGCCGUAUCCUCCUUGUCGUCGUCAUUAAUGCGGCGUUUAUUUUUACUUCGACGUGACCUGCCAUUGUUGUCCUUAGUAUCCGGACUGCCAGAAUUUUUACUGAGGUUGUUGCUGCGAGCUAGCCAGCUAUCCUCUCCCGCGCAAAAGCGGGUCAUUAAUGAUGUGAGGGCUGCCAUGGAUUUCGGCUUUUCCUGUCCCAGGUGCCGGGCUAGCCACUCGUCGUGGAUGUUAUGUUUGAAGGCUGCAAGGGCCUCUGCAUCCAGACAAUCGACGAUUUGGUUUUUCUUUGUCAAGAACCGUGUCCAGAAUUGUCUGGCAGAUUCGUCUGGCUGCUGAAUUAUGUGGCUGAGGUCAUUAGGUGCCCUGGAAGUUAUCGAGGAAUGCGGCUUCCAGGUCUUCCCAACACCCAAUUGACUCUGCGGGCAAGCUGUUAAGCCAAUGCCGAGCUGGUCCUUUAAGCUUGAGUGGGAGAUACUUGAUGGCAUGGAGAUCGUCGCCGCGGGCCAUAUGGAUGUGAAGAAGAUAAUCUUCGAUCCAAACCGCGGGGUCUGUUGUGCCAUCGUAGGAUUCGAUGUUUACGGGUUUAAACCCUUCAGGGAUUUGAUGAUCCAUUACUUCGUCAGUGAAGCAUAGCGGGUGUGCGGCGCCUCUGUAUUGAGCGAUAUCACGACGCAGCUCGAGAGAGCGUUGUCUGCUGUGUUUGGCCCGGCCAGGGAUAUUGUAUCCGGUGCGACGGUAUUCGUCGUGGCUCGUGGGGCGCCCUCAUGAUCCGUAGAUGGAUCUGGAUUGCCUUGCUUUGUCCUCCAAUACGUCUCGCAAGUCCGGCGCAUUCCCUUUUGGCUUCGUACUUUUGGAGCGAUGCCGGGGUACGGUCUUGGUUGAGGGCCUGGAUGCCUCUCUGUCGCGACCACGCGGUGGUCGGUCUGCCGUAUCGUGCGCUGGUGAUGAAGGUAUGUACGCUUCCUCCUCUAGUCGGGGGAGCAACUUGCGUCUUGGGUAGCUUUUGGAGGGGCGUUCAAGUUUAUACUCUUCGGCCGCGAGGACCUCGGUCCAUCGAUCGGCCAGCAGGUCCUGAUCAGCUUGAAGAUGUUGCUGCUUUUUCUUUAGGCUAUUUUCCGUGGCGAUAAGCCUGGGCUUGAACCGCUCUUGUUCGACGGGAUCCUCGGGCACGACGAAUUCGUCAUCGUUGAGGCUUGCCUCGUCUUCGGAGGGAGGCAUAUAGUUAUAAUCCUCGACCACUUCGUCUGCCACCCUCUCAUGAGGGCUUGCUUCUGCAUCCUCCUGCGCUGAGUCUUGCUGGAGGGGAUUAUCUUCGGCACUCUCUGGGGUAUUAUUAUCUCCUGUGCCGGAAUCUCCAUUCUUGCUGUGGCGGGAUUUAGAGCGGCGCCGCUGACGCCGGCGCUUGGGCUGCUUCUUUAAAGAAUCUGCCUCCGCUGCUUCUUCGCCGUCCCCGUCUUUUGGGGUGUCCACCAUGUAUAUGUCGUAUGACGAGGUGGUCUUCCAGUGCCCUGUAGGCGCUGGUUCCUGUUCGUCUCCGGCAUCGUCGUCCAUAGCGUCGAUGUCUUCGGAGUCAUAGUCUAGCAUGUCGGUUAGAUCGUCGACAGUGGCUACAAAGUGGGUGGUGGGUGGGCUCUGAAUUUCCUCUUUGUCCGUAUCCCAACCAUCCUGGCCAUAAUCCGGCCAGGACUCUCCGGAUAGCGAGAGAUGCUUUAGCGAAUUUAGGAUGUCGCCAAAGGGCGAGUGUUGGAAGAUGUCCGUGGUGGUGAAUUCCAUAACCGGCACCCAAUCAGAUUCGAUUGGCAGGGGCGCGGGAGGUCCGGGGUCCGGCAAGGAGUCCGGCACCUCGGAGUCACGAGCUUCGCGAGGGACAAGGGUAGUGUUCGGCUCCAUCGCCCUGGAAGUUGGAGCCCCCGAGGCGGUGUCCAACCACCGGUCCUCGAUCUGGGCGAUCGGCUCCGGUCUAAGGGCCAGAGCGGAUUGUUGUGCGGCCACCAAGGCACUGUUCGGUGACAGAGCUAGAUCAUGCCCAUCGUAACAGUGCGGCACGCUUGGCUAUGGCUCGAGCCCGUCGAAGAUCAAGUCCCCGCGGAUGUCGGCCGUGAAGUUUAGGCUUCCGAAUCUGACUUGACGGCCAUGGGCAUAGCUUUCGAUCUGCUCCAGAUGGCCAAGCGAAUUAGCCCAUAGUGCGAAGCCGCCGAAUACGAAGAUCUGUCCGGGGAGAAAAGUCUCACCCUGGACAGCGUCAUUGGUUGAAGAUGCCAUCGAACCUAUCGGUGACGACAUAGAGGAACUCUCAAUGAAAGCACCAAUGUCGGUGUCAAAACCGGCGGAUCUCGGGUAGGGGGUCCCGAACUGUGCGUCUAGGCGGAUGGUAAUAGGAGGCAAGGGACACGAUGUUUUACCCAGGUUCGGGCCCUCUCGAUGGAGGUAAAACCCUACGUCCUGCUUGAUUAAUAUUGAUGAUAUGGGUAGUACAAGAGUGGAUCUACCACGAGAUCAAGGAGGCUAAACCCUAAAGCUAGCCUAUGGUAUGAUUGUUGUAAUGUAUGUUGUGUCCUACGGACUAAAGCCCUCCGGUUUAUAUAGACACCGGAGAAGGCUAGGGUUACACAGAGUCGGUUACAAUGGUAGGAGAUCUACGUAUCCAUAUCGCCAAGCUUGCCUUCCACGCCAAGGAAAGUCCCAUCCGGACAUGGGACGGAGUCUUCAAUCUUGUAUCUUCGUAGUCUUGGAGUCCGCCGGACGAUGAUAGUCCGGCUGUCCGGACACCCCCUAGUCCAGGACUCCCUCAAUGAUGAUGCUCUACCGGCGCAGGGCUUCGCCUAAACUCCGCGACGAUAUGAGUGGAGGGGGGCACCGCACACGGCUAAGGACUGAUCCGUAGAUCAACUUGUGUGUACUAGGGUGCCCCCCGCCCCCGUAUAUAAAGGAGCAAGGGGGGAGGCCGGCCGGCCCUAGAGGGCGCGCCAGGAGGAGGAGUCCUCUUCCUAGUAGGAGUAGGACUCCCCCUUUCCUACUCCUAAUAGGAGGGGGAAAGGAAGGGGGAAGGGGAGAAGGAAAGAGGGGGCGCCGCCCCCAUCCUAGUCCAAUUCAGUCAAGAGGGGGAGGGGCGCGCGGCCCACCCUGGCCGCCCCUCUCUCUCUCCACUAAGGCCCAUAAGGCCCAUUACUUCUCCCGGGGGGAGGAGGGGUUCCGGUAACCCUCCGGCACUCCGGUUAUCUCCGAAAACAUCCGGAACACUUCCGGUGUCCGAGUAUAGUCGUCCAAUAUAUCAAUCUUUAUGUCUCGACCAUUUCGAGACUCCUCGUCAUGUCCGUGAUCACAUCCGGGACUCUGAACAAACUUCGGUACAUCAAAACUUAUAAACUCAUAAUAAAUCUGUCAUCAUAACAUUAAGCGUGCGGAACCUACAGGUUCGAGAACUAUGUAGACAUGACCUAGAACUAUUCUCGGUCAAUAACCAAUAGCGGAACCUGGAUGCCCAUAUUGGUUCCUACAUAUUCUACGAAGCUCUUUAUCGGUCAAACCGCAUAACAACAUACCUUGUUCCCUUUGUCGUCGGUAUGUUACUUGCCUGAGAUUCGAUCGUCGGUAUCCAAUACCUAGUUCAAUCUCGUUACCGGCAAGUCUCUUUACUUGUUACGUAAUGCAUCAUUCCGUAACUAACUCAUUAGCUACAUUGCUUGCAAGGCUUAUAGUGAUUUGCAUUACCGAGAGGGCCCAGAGAUACCCUCUCCAACAAUGGGAGUGACGAAACCUAAUCUCGAAAUACGCCAACUCAACAUGUACCUUUGGAGACACCUUUAGUACUCCUUUAUAAUCACCCAUUUAAGUUGUGACGUUUGGUAGCACCCAAAGUGUUCCUCCGGUAGACGGGAGUUGCAUAAUCUCAUAGUUACAGGAACAUGUAUAAGUCAUGAAGAAAGCAAUAGCAACAUACUAAACGAUCAAGUGCUAGGCUAACGGAAUGGGUCAUGUCAAUCACAUCAUUCUCCUAAUGAUGUGAUCCCAUUAAACAAAUGACAACACAUGUCUAUGGUUAGGAAACAUAAUCAUCUUUGAUUAAUAAGCUAGUCAAGUAGAGGCAUACUAGUGACGUUGUGUUUGUCUAUGUAUUCACACAUGUAUUAUGUUUUCGGUUAAUACAAUUCUAGCAUGAAUGAUAAACAUUUAUCAUGAUAUGAGGAAAUAAAUAAUAACUUUAUUAUUGCCUCUAGGGCAUAUUUCCUUCAGUCUCCCACUUGCACUAGAGUCAAUAAUCUAGAUUACAUAGUAAUGAUUCUAACACCCAUGGAGUCUUGGUGCUGAUCAUGUCUUGCUCGUGAGAGAGGCUUAGUCAAUGGGUCUGCAACAUUCAGAUCCGUAUGUAUCUUGCAAAUCUCUAUGUCUCCCACUUGGACUUGGUCCCGAAUGGAAUUGAAGCGUCUCUUGAUGUGCUUGGUCCUCUUGCGAAAUCUGGAUUCCUUUGCCAAGGCAAUUGCACCAGUAUUGUCACAGAAGAUCUUCAUUGGUCCCGAUGCACUAGAUAUGACACCUAGAUCGGAAAUGAACUCCUUCAUCCAGACUCCUUCAUUUUCUGCUUCCGAAGCAGCUAUGUACUCCGGUUCACAUGUAAAUCCCGCCACGACGCUUUGUUUAGAACUGUACCAACUUACAGCUCCACCGUUUAAUAAAAAAACGUAUCCGGUUUGUGAUUUAGAAUCGUCCGGAUCAGUGUCAAAGCUUGCAUCGACGUAACCAUUUAUGACUAGCUCUUUGUCACCUCCAUAUACGAGAAACAUAUCCUUAGUCCUUUUCAGGUAUUUCAGGAUGUUCUUGACCGCUGUCCAGUGAUCCACUCCUGGAUUACUUUGGUACCUUCCUGCCAAGAUUAUUUCUAAGCAUACGUCAGGUCUGGUACAUAGCAUUGCAUACAUGAUAGAGCCUAUGGCUGAAGCAUAGGGAACAUCUUUCAUUUUCUCUCUAUCUUCUGCUGUGGUCGGGGAUUGAGUUUGACUCAACAUCUCACCUUGUAGAACGGGCAAGAACCCUUUCUUUGCCUGAUCCAUUUUGAACUUUUUCAAAAUUUUAUCAAGGUAUGUGCUUUGUGAAAGUCCUAUUAAGUGUCUUGAUCUAUCUCUAUAAAUAUUGAUGCCCAAUAUGUAAGCAGCUUCACUGAGGUCUUUCAUUGAAAAACUUUUAUUCAAGUAUCCCUUUAUGCUAUCCAUAAAUUCUAUAUCAUUUCCAAUUAAUAAUAUGUCAUCUACAUAUAAUAUCAGAAAUGCUACAGAGCGCCCACUCACUUUCUUAUAAAUACAGGCUUCUCCAAAAGUCUGUAUAAAACCAUAUGCUUUGAUCACACUAUCAAAGCGUUUAUUCCAACUCCGAGAUGCUUGCACCAGUCCAUAAAUGGAUCGCUGGAGCUUGCACACUUUGUUAGCACCUUUUGGAUCAACAAAACCUUCUGGUUGCAUCAUAUACAACUCUUCUUCUAGAAAUCCAUUCAAGAAUGCAGUUUUGACAUCCAUUGGCCAAAUUUCAUAAUCAUGAAAUGCAGCAAUAGCUAACAUGCAUCUCUACGGGUGAGAAAGUCUCAUCGUAGUCAACCCCUUGAACUUGUCGAUAAACCUUUCGCAACAAGUCGAGCUUUAUAGACAGUUACAUUACCAUCAGCGUCAGUCUUCUUCUUAAAGAUCCAUUUAUUCUCAAUGGCUUGCCGAUCAUCGGGCAAGUCAACCAAAGUCCAUACUUUGUUCUCAUACAUGGAUCCCAUCUCAGAUUUCAUGGCCUCUAGCCAUUUUGCGGAAUCUGGGCUCAUCAUCGCUUCCUCAUAGUUCGUAGGUUCAUCAUGGUCAAGCAACAUGACUUCCAGAAUAGGAUUACCGUACCACUCUGGUGCGGAUCUUACUCUCGUAGACCAACGAGGUUCAGUAGAAACUUGAUUUUAAAGUUUCAUGAUCAAUAUCAUUAGCUUCCUCACUGAUUGGUGUAGUUGUCACAGGAACCGGUUCUUGUGAUGAACUACUUUCCAAUAAGGGAGCAGGUACAGUUACCUCAUCAAGUUCUACUUUCCUCCCACUCCCUUCUUUCGAGAGAAACUCCUUCUCUAGAAAGGAUCCAAUUUUAGCAACGAAAAUCUUGCCCUCAGAUCUGUGAUAGAAGGUGUACCCAAUAGUCUCUUUUGGGUAUCCUAUGAAGACACAUUUCUCCGAUUUGGGUUCGAGCUUAUCUGGUUGAAGUUUCUUCACAUAAGCAUCGCAGCCCCAAACUUUAAGAAACGAUAACUUUGGUUUCGUGCCAAACCACAGUUCAUAAGGCGUCGUCUCAACGGAUUUUGAUGGUGCCCUAUUCAAUGUGAAUGCGGCCAUCUCUAAAGCAUAACCCAAAAACGAUAGUGGUAAAUCAGUAAGAGACAUCAUAGAUCGCACCAUAUCUAGUAAAGUACGAUUAGAACGUUCGGACACACCAUUUUGUUGUGGUGUUCCGGGUGGCGUGAGUUGUGAAACUAUUCCGCAUUGUUUCAAGUGUAGACCAAACUCGUAACUCAAAUAUUCUCCGCUACGAUCAGAUCGUAGAAAUUUAGUUUUCUUGUUACGAUGAUUUUCCACUUCACUCUAAAAUUCUUUGAACUUUUCAAAUGUUUCAGACUUGUGUUUCAUUAAGUAGAUAUACCCAUAUCUACUCAAAUCAUCUGUGAAGGUGAGAAAAUAACGAUACCCGCCGCAAGCCUCAACAUUCAUUGGACCACAAACAUCAGUAUGUAUGAUUUCCAACAAAUCAAUUGCUCGCUCCAUAUUUCCGAAGAAUGGUGUUUUAGUCACCUUGCCCAUGAGGCACGGUUCGCAAGUACCAAGUGAUUCAUAAUCAAGUGAUUCCAAAAGCCCAUCAGUAUGGAGUUUCUUCAUGCGCUUUACACCGAUAUGACCUAAAUGGCAGUGCCACAAAUAAGUUGCACUAUCGUUAUCAACUCUGCAUCUUUUGGUUUCAACACUAUGAAUAUGUGUAUCACUACUAUCGAGAUUCAAUAAAAGUACACCACUCUUCAAGGGUGCAUGACCAUAAAAGAUAUUACUCAUAUAAAUAGAACAACCAUUAUUCUCUGACUUAAAUGAAUAACCGUCUCGCAUCAAACAAGAUCCAGAUAUAAUGUUCAUGCUCAACGCUGGCACCAAAUAACAAUUAUUUAGGUCUAAAACUAAUCCCGAUGGUAGAUGUAGAGGUAGCGUGCCGACCACGAUCACAUCGACUUUGGAACCAUUUCCCACGCGCAUCAUCACCUCGUCCUUAGCCAAUCUUCGCUUAAUCCGUAGUCCCUGUUUCGAGUUGCAAAUAUUAGCAACAGAACCAGUAUCAAAUACCCAGGUACUCCUGCGAGCAUUAGUAAGGUACACAUCAAUAACAUGGAUAUCACAUAUACCUUUGUUCACUUUGCCAUCCUUCUUAUCCGCCAAAUACUUGGGGCAGUUCCGCCUCCAGUGUCCUGUCUGCUUGCAGUAGAAGCACUCAGUUUCAGGCUUAGGUCUAGACUUGGGUUUCUUCUCUUGAGCAGCAACUUGUUUGCUGUUCUUCUUGAAGUUCCCCUUCUUCUUCCCUUUGCCCUUUUUCUUGAAACUGGUGGUCUUGUUAACCAUCAACACUUGAUGCUCCUUCUUGAUUUCUACCUCCGCGGUUUUUAGCAUUGCGAAGAGCUCAGGAAUAGUCUUGUCCAUCCCUUGCAUAUUAUAGUUCAUCACGAAGCUCUUGUAGCUUGGUGGCAGUGAUUGAAGAAUUCUAUCAAUGACACUAUCAUCAGGAAGAUUAACUCCCAGUUGAAUCAAGUGAUUAUUAUACCCAGACAUUUUGAGUAUGUGUUCACUGACAGAACUAUUCUCCUCCAUCUUGCAGCUAUAGAACCUAUUGGAGACUUCAUAUCUCUCAAUCCGGGCAUUUGCUUGAAAUAUUAACUUCAACUCCUGGAACAUCUCAUAUGCUCCAUGACAUUCAAAACGUCGUUGAAGACCCGGUUCUAAGCCGUAAAGCAUGGCACACUGAACUAUCGAGUAGUCAACAGCUUUGCUCUGCCAGAUGUUCUUAACGUCGUCAGUUGCAUCAGCAGCAGGCCUGGCACCCAGCGGUGCUUCCAGGACGUAAUUCUUCUGUGCAGCAAUGAGAAUAAUCCUCAGGUUACGGACCCAGUCCAUGUAAUUGCUACCAUCAUCUUUCAACUUUGCUUUCUCAAGGAACGCAUUAAAAUUCAAUGGAACAAUAGCACUAGCCAUCUAUCUACAACAAACAUAGACAAGCAAAAUACUAUCAGGUACUAAGUUCAUGAUAAAUUUAAGUUCAAUUAAUCAUAUUACUUAAGAACUCCCACUUAGACAGACAUCUCUCUAGUCAUCUAAGUGAUUACGUGAUCCAAAUCAACUAAACCAUGUCCGAUCAUCAUGUGAGAUGGAGUAGUUUCAAUGGUGAACAUCACUAUGUUGAUCAUAUCUACUAUAUGAUUCACGUUCGACUUUUCGGUCUCCGUGUUCCAAGGCCAUAUCUGUAUAUGCUAGGCUCGUCAAGUUUAACCUAAGUAUUCUGCGUGUGCAACUGUUUUGCACCCGUUGUAUUUGAACGUAGAGCCUAUCACACCCGAUCAUCACGUGGUGUCUCAGCACGAAGAACUUUCGCAACGGUGCAUACUCAGGGAGAACACUUCUUGAUAAUUAGUGAGAGAUCAUCUUAAAAUGCUACCGUCAAUUAAAGCAAUAUCAGAUGCGUAAAGGAUAAACAUCACAUGCAGUCAAUAUAAGUGAUAUGAUAUGGCCAUCAUCAUCUUGUGCUUGUGAUCUCCAUCUUCGAAGCACCGUCAUGAUCACCAUCGUCACUGGCGGGACACCUUGAUCUCCAUCGUAGCAUCGUUGUCGUUUACGCCAUCUAUUGCUUCUACGACUAUCGCUACCGCUUAGUGAUAAAGUAAAUCAAUUACAGGGCGUUUGCAUUUCAUACAAUAAAGCGACAACCAUAUGGCUCCUGCCAGUUGCCGAUAACUUCGGUUACAAAACAUGAUCAUCUCAUACAAUAAAAUAUAGCAUCACGUCUUGACCAUAUCACAUCACAACAUGCCGUGCAAAAACAAGUAGACGUCCUCUACUUUGUUGUUGCAAAUUUUACGUGGCUGCUACGGGCUUUAGCAAGAACCGUUCUUACCUACGCAUCAAAACCACAACGAUAGUUUGUCAAGUUAGUGUUGUUUUAACCUUCGCAAGGACCGGGCGUACCCACACUCGAUUCAGCUAAAGUGAGAGAGACAGACACCCGCCAGCCACCUUUAAGCACGAGUGCUCGUAACUGUGAAACCAGUCUCGCGUAAGCGCACGCGUAAUGUCGGUCCGGGCCGCUUCAUCUCACAAUACCGCCGAACCAAAGUAUGACAUGCUGGUAAGCAAUAUGACUUGUAUCGCCCACAACUCACUUGUGUUCUACUCGUGCAUAUGACAUCUACGCAUAAAACCUGGCUCGGAUGCCACUGUUGGGGAACGAAGUAAUUUCAAAAAAUUUCCUACGCACAUGCAAGAUCAUGGUGAUGACAUAGCAAUGAGAGGGGAGAGUGUUAUCCACGUACCCUCGUAGACCGUAAGCGGAAGCGUUAUGACAACGCGGUUGAUGUAGUCGUACGUCUUCAUGAUCGACCGAUCCAAGCACCGAACAUACGGCACCUCCGAGUUAAGCACACGUUCUGCUCGAUGACGAUCCCCGGGCUCCGAUCCACCAAAGCUUUGGGGAUGAGUUCCGUCAGCACGACGGCGUGGUGACGAUGAUGAUGCUCUACCGGCGCAGGGCUUCGCCUAAACUCCACGACGAUAUGACCGAGGUGGAAUAUGGUGGAGGGGGGCACUGCACACGGCUAAGGAACGAUCCUUAGAUCAACUUGUGUGUACUAGGGUGCCCCCCCGCCGCCGUAUAUAAAGGAGCAAGGGGGAGGCCGGCCGGGCCUAGAGGGCGCGCCAGGAGGAGGAGUCCUCCUCCUAGUAGGAGUAGGACUCCCCCUUUCCUACUCCUACUAGGAGGGGGAAAGGAAGGGGGAAGGGGAGAAGGAAAGAGGGGGCGCCGCCCCCCUCCUAGUCCAAUUUGGACCAAAGGGGGAGGGGGCACGCGGCCCACCCUGGCCGCCCCUCUCUCUCUCCACCAAGGCCCAUAAGGCCCAUUACUUCUCCCGGGGGGUGGGUUCCGGUAACCCUCCGGCACUCCGGUUUUCUCCGAAAACAUCCGGAACACUUCCGGUGUCCGAAUAUAGUCGUACAAUAUAUCAAUAUUUAUGUCUCAACCAUUUCGAGACUCUUCGUCAUGUCCGUGAUCACAUCCGGGACUCCGAACAAAGCUCGGUACAUCAAAACUUAUAAACUCAUAAUAAAACUGUCAUGGUAACGUUAAGCAUGCGGACCCUACGGGUUCGAGAACUAUGUAGACAUGACCUAGAACUAUUCUCGGUCAAUAACCAAUAGCGGAACCUGGAUGCCCAUAUUGGUUCCUACCUAUUCUACGAAGAUCUUUAUCGGUCAAACCGCAUAACAACAUACGUUGUUCCCUUUGUCAUCGGUAUGUUACUUGCCCGAGAUUCGAUCGUCUGUAUCCAGUACCUAGUUCAAUCUCGUUACCGGCAAGUCUCUUUACUCGUUACGUAAUGCAUCAUUCCAUAACUAACUCAUUAGCUACAUUGCUUGCAAGGCUUAUAGUGAUGUGCAUUACCGAGAGGGCCAAGAGAUACCCUCUCCAACAAUCGGAGUGACAAAACCUAAUCUCGAAAUACGCCAACUCAACAUGUACCUUUGGAGACACCUGUAGUACUCCUUUAUAAUCACCCAGUUAGGUUGUGACGUUUGGUAGCACCCAAAGUGUUCCUCUGGUAGACGGGAGUUGCAUAAUCUCAUAGUUACAGGAACAUGUAUAAGUCAUGAAGAAAGCAAUAGCAAUAUACUAAACGAUCAAGUGCUAGGCUAACGGAAUGGGUCAUGUCAAUCACAUCAUUCUCUUAAUGAUGUGAUCCCAUUAAUCAAAUGACAACACAUGUCUAUGGUUAGGGAAAAUACCAUCUUUGAUUAAUAAGCUAGUCAAGUAGAGGCAUACUAGUGACGUUGUGUUUAUCUAUGUAUUCACACAUGUAUUAUGUCUCUGGUUAAUACAAUUCUAGCAAUAAUAAUAAACAUUUAUCAUGGUAUGAGGAAAUAAAUAAUAACUUUAUUAUUGCCUCUAGGGCAUAUUUCCUUCACAUUGCUGGUCUAGUGCCCCCUUUAUCCGAGUUCUUCCUUGUUGUUCUUCGCGUGUACAACUUGCAAGCUCAGCACCUCCACCCCAACUCUAUUCUUCUCCUGGCAAUUUUCGCCUACUAUUGUGAGGCUCACAUUGGGGUAAAGCCCUGAGUGGCCUUGCUGCGCCAUUACUUUUACCUCCGGGUUUCUCGCGGUCCCAUCUCCGCAUGUGCGAGUUUUAUCGCAUACUCCGGCUCCAACGCCAUCUUGAAGCCCGGGAAGAGGAUCGAGGGCUUCCGGAGCAAGUGGGUCAUGGUGGGUGUCGGGCGCCUCCACCCCCGACUGGUGCUGCCCACGGGGCAGCCCAAGACCGUUGAUGCAUAGUCUCGCGCGGAGCUUGUCGACCCGCGCACGAGGGUGGUGCUGAAGAGGAUGGACGCGGACCUGAGGCCAAGCAACCUGGGGGUGGCGAAGCUGACCGGGGACACGCUCCUGAGGGAGUUCCUGGAGCACCGGGUGGCUCCACUCCAGGAGCACUCGCUCCCAUUGUGGAGGCUUGGGGAAGUGGACACUGCCCUUCGCUUGAGCUCUGCAGCCCUUGCCGACGAAGAUCUAGUCGCGGCCCUCCACUCCUUGUUCGGUGGAGACGUGGCGAGGCCGGACGGUGCUCCCGUCUCCCUGUUUCUUUGCGGCUAUUGGGAGCAGGUGGUGAACGCCAUGCCCACCUUCAACGGUGAGGGGCUGGUGCCCGCAGUGGCUCCCGAGGAUCUGGCGGCGUUGCCGAUGGUGAAUGUGUCCUCCAGCGACUCCAGCGGGAGUGAGGAGGAAGAAGAGGAGGAGGAAGAAGAGUCUGACUCCGAGGCGACUGUAGGGGAGUCGGAGGAGUCCUUUCCCCGGCGCUGGUCCCGUGCCCUCCGCUCCAUGCCGGACGACGAUGAGGCCAGCGCCAGGCGGGAAGGAGAGGAUUCUGCCCUGGUCCCGAUGAAGGACAGGUCUGGGCUGGUUCUCUCAGGAUCCGCUCUGUCUCCGGGGCGGUCUGAGGCCAGCUCCAGCCCUCCCGACGCGUCCUCGCUUCCGUGCCUCCCAAGGCUGAUCCCAGCUGCAGGCUCUCGGGCUUCAAGUUUGGCCGGAGGCUGCUCGAGCCGGUGAACGAUGACCAGUAAGUGCUCGAUCCGCGCUUUGCUUUGUUUCUGCUGCUGAGACUUGACGUCUGCACUCUUUUGGCCAGACCGGCACCUGCAGCAAAGAAAUUGAAAGGGGCUUCUGCGACCCCGCUUGAGGCGAGUUCGUCUGCCGAGGCUGUGCCUCCGUCUGCGGGGAAAAGAGGCAUUGAGGCCCGUGCCUCCCCUGCCCGGUCGUCCUCACGAGCCCAGCAGGGACACUUUAGCGAGGAGUCAGCCCCCGUCGCCCCGCUGACCCUAUAGGUGCCUGGGCUUGAUGCUGCCGCCGAGAUGCCCAAAGCCCGGGAGGCUCCUUCCUCCCAACCCGUGAUCACCUUUCCGUCCUCUCCGCCUGCUCCACCGGCUCCCGUCUCUUCUGAUUCCUCGGCCGUCUUGGACCAGACCGCCAAUGAACUGAGCCGGCUGCGGGAGGUUCUCCAGAGCGCGGACCCCCGCCUGGUGGUCGGGCGCCUGGAGCUAGCUUCUAGUUGGGCCUUCUCUGCCGCCUCUGUCCAAGCGGUGCUGAGCCAGGCUGCGUCUGCCUCUGACGAGGAGAAUCAAGCCGCCCGCCAGGCCAAGGCCACUCGCGAUGCUACCAAGGGUGACGCUGCGGAUGCCCGAGGCCGCUGCAAGGCGCUGGAGGUCGAGUUACAAGACCUGCGUGACGCGCUCGCAAAGGAGGUCCGCAUCCGCCAGCAGAAGGAGGAGGGGAUGAAGGCUCGGGGGGCUGCCGUCAAGGACCGGGACGCCGAGCUUGAUGACCGUCGUGGCCGGUUGGAGACGCUGGAGCAGGCGCUAAAGGUGGAGAGGACCGAGCUAGACCGCAAGGCGAAGGUCCUGGCCGAGGAUUGAGUAGCCUUCGCCAAGAUGGAGGAGAAGGCUCGCACUGCGCUGAAGACGCUCUAUGAGGGUGGCUUAGAGGAGCCGUUGGCUGGCGAAGAGGACGGCCCUGCCGAGCUUCUUCCCUUCCUGGUCCGCGCACUUGAAGAUGCCGCGGACGGCUUGGCCCUACGGUCGAGGCCGAGGCGCGUGCCCUGCCGUCUACAGCGCUGACGCGCGUCUUCAGCCAUGUCUACCUUCACAACCCCAAUGUCGACCUUGAUAGCCUGAUGGGACCCGUGAGCGGCGACCUUGCCACCGCAGCUGCUGAGGCCGUGAAGGGCUGAGCCAAGGCUUUCCUGGGAAGGUUCCGUGCCUUCAGCACCUUGCCUAGACGCAACGCCAACAGUUCCACGGCUUCAGGAGGCGGAGCUUCCCAGCGUGACUCCACCACAUGGGGCGGCUCCACUGGAAACUUAUCCCUUUGCGGCUUCUGUCCUGUUUUAAUUCCUGCAACAUGCACCAUGCCUCGUGGAGACGUUUAAACUUGUGUUUGGUGUUGUGAAACACUCUAUGGCUUGUAAUAUUUUCUUUUGAAUUACCUAGAAUUUGCAUUUCCCCCUCCUAUUUGCUUGUGUUCUACGUCGGCAGGGCCCGGCCCCGCGCAUACCUUAGCCGCUGUUAGCCCCGACCGGAAACCAGGACGGGACUAAGGAGUGAGGGGCUACGUGAGCAGUUAGGCUCCUGAGUCGCGAUGCUCAGGAGUCCCCCUUGACGUGCAAACGAGUCUUCAUACCUUGGCUCCGCUCGGGGAAAGGCGCGUGAUGACCAGGUCCGAGGGACCUGGCUGGGUGGCGUGCGUUCGGGUGUAGCCCGGGCGCAGCCCCCGUGUCCAUCCCCCUCGCGCAGCACUCCCGAGGGGAGGCGUUGUGAUGGUGCUAGACACUAAGCUCUGGGCUCCCUGAGGUUGAUACGGCCGUGGGCCGCCCUCAGUUGUUUAUCACCAGCGCGGAGCAUAGCGCUUCCGUAUGUGUACGGGCAUAGCCGCUCCUCGGCAGUGUCGUCAGCCAGCGCGGAGCAUGGUGCUUCUACUGGUACGUGGGAAGGGGUUCCCCUCCGGGAGGAGCCCCCGGGGCGUGUACAGCCCCGCCCUAACACGUGACUGGCACGGUAGGGCUAGGAGAGGUGUAUCUGGGCACCCGUGAUCCAGCACGGAACUCACGAGGCCCUACCACGAGGCAAGUUGCGCCUGGCUCUGGGCCUUUAUCAAUGGAGUGUUCCUGCAGGGUGGUUAGAAUGCAAAUGCUCUACGUCCUCAGGUCCCGGCCCUCGAGCGAGCUCAGCCGCCGCUGGUAUGAUAGGUCGCAAUGCCGUGGGUCAAGGCCAGGGGGUGAGGGCUGGAGAGCCAGUAAGAGCCCAUGAGUCGCGAUGCCCAGGUGCCCCCCUUUUAACGUGCAAGCGCUUUGCAUGCGAGCGGAGAGGUCCACGAUAAGCAGCAAAUGAUAACCAUGGGGACCAGGUUAAGCUCAGAGCAGCAAAUUCAUUUAGAUAGAUGCAGAAAAAGCAAAUGCCACUGGGUUAGGCCCGAGCAGCUUGGGGAUAAUGCAGCCCGAGGGGCGCCCCCAACAAGGUAGGUAAAGGGCAUAAGCAAAACGGAUACACACCGCAGGGACGGACCCAAGCGACCUGGGAAUGAUGCAGCCCUAUGGGCGCUCCCAGCUGAAAAUGGAACUUGGAAAGAUGUCACCUGAUACCGUUGGGGAUGAAGUGUCGGAGUAGCUGACGACGCGUGGUGAAGAAGCCACCCCUCACGAGCCUUCGGAACCCUGAGCCUCGGGAGGCUCUGGGGGUCCGGGCGGCUCCUCAAGGUCCAUCUCCAUCUCCGCCAGGAACGAACGGUGCCUGGCCACCUGAGCCUCCAAGAUGCUCCUCUUCAUGCGCUGGUGGGCAGCAGCCGUGUUUGGUAGGCCGAAAGGCAUGCGAACGUAGCUGUGAGGUGGUCGCUCGCAACGCCCCACGCGUGAAGGCCAGAGGCGCUCCUGAGACGCGGCUCGGUUGAGCCCUAGUACGUCGAUGUAUACACGUAGCCCACCAUCCUCGCCGGGAUGUGGGGCUACGGUGGGUAGGCGGCGGCUGUCGCGCAUGACCCUUGACUCAUGUAGCUCCUGAAUGUUCCUCGCGAUGAACUCCUAAGGGUUUGGCCCUCCUUGCCUCAUACCUUCCUGAGGGAAACGUGCCUUGAAGCACGCCUCCAAGUGGUGCCCGAGCACCUCCCUCGUGAACUUGGCAAGGUCGGUGGCCCUCCAGGAGAGAGCCCCCGAGCCCUGCCCGAGGAGGGCACUGGGCGCGCCUUCUUAUGGGACAGAGGGUGGCGCCCCUUGAACGGGCGCGGAUCCUGACGCAAUGCCUCCGGAGGUGCCUGCCUCGUGAGUGUUUGGGCCAGGUGAAGCCUUCUUCUUCCUGGGGAUCGCCUCUAGGAGCCUCCUUCUCCUAUGAUCUGGGUCUUCGAGUGCCGCGGCCUGGAAGGCACGCUCAAGAGAACACAUUGCAUCCCUUUUCUUAGAAGGCAUUGUGAUGAUUCCACCACUUCCUGGCAUCUUGAGGACAUUGUAGCCAUGGUGAGUUACUGCCAUGAACUUGGCCAGAGCUGGGUACCCGAGGAUGGCAUUGUAUGGCAGACGAAUGUGAGCAACGUCGAAGUGAAUGAGCUUGGUGCGGUAGUUGUUGCGCUGCCCAAAGGUGACAGGAAGGCAAACUUUCCCUAUCGGAACAGUGGAACCAUCAGUGACUCCUGAGAAAGGCUUGGUCGGCUGAAGCUGAUCGUAUGGCACUUGGAGAUUGUUGAAUGUCUCAACGGACAGGACGUUGAGUCUAGCUCCACCAUCGAUGAGGGUCCUGGUGACUUGCACAUUGCUGAUGACUAGGGAACAAAGCAUCGGGAGGACUCCGGUCGUUGCUGCGCACUUGAGUUGAUCCGCUGAGCUGAACGUGAUAGCGCAUGCUGACCACCUGAGAGGGCAUGUGGCCUCAAUCUUGGGGAGGAUUGCAUUCACCUCGCGAGCAAACUGCUUGAAGAUGCGCUGAGAGGCUGGGGCAUGAGCGCCGCCCAGGAUGCAAGCGAUUGUGCGAGGCUCCUGGAAGCCCCCAGCCCCCUCGUCCUGGUGAUGGUCUUCAUUCCUCGUUGGCGGUGGUGGCAGAGGAGGGAGGCCUGCAUUGCCUUGAGGGUGGUCCUCACGAGGCUGAUCCCUCCAACCUCCCUUGCGAGGCUGGUCCUGCCAGCGGUCCUCGCGAGGUCGGUCACGCCACCCUUGGCGACGGCCACGGUCUUCCGAUCGUCCACCUCUUCCUCCUCCUCGGCCAUAGCCCCGGUCGUUGCGGUCGGGACGUCGGCCGAUACGCUCAUCUCACACGGCCCUGAGCUCUUGACAUUCGUUGGUGUUGUGGGUGUGGAGGUCAUGGUACACGCAGUACCGGCUGCCCUUGGAUGACUCAGGCUGAUCCCUGCCUCGCUUGGUGUCUGGCUCCGCUGCGAGCACGGCAGCCCCCUUGCUUUUCACGUCCUUGACCUUGGGCUUCUUCUCUUCUGGGUCGGCAGCCGGAAGCUCAAGGAGGGAGAGGCGCUCUUCCUCAGCCCUGGCGCACUUGGUUGCCAAGUUGAACAGCUCCAGUGAUGUGCACAGGUCUUCAUGGAUUGCUAGCUCCUCUUUCAUCUUGAUGCCACGCACGCCAUCGGAGAAGGCUGAGAUGAUGGCCUCCUCAGUCACCUUGGGGAUCUUGAGGCAGGCAUUGUUGAAGCACUGGAUGUACUUCUGCAGGGUCUUUCCUGGCUGUUGCUUGAUGCGGCGCAGGUCACUCAUGGCCGGGGGCCGGUCGCGUGUGCCUUGGAAGUUGGCGAUGAAGCAGGUGUGCAUCUCGUCCCAGGAGGAGAUCGUGCCAGGAGCCAGGUUCAGGAGCCAGGUGUGGGCACCGUCCUUGAGCACCAUGGGAAACUAGUUCACCAUGACCUUUUCGUCCCCGUUGGCAGCUUUGAUGCCCAGCUCGUAGAGCUAGAGGAACUCCAAGGGGUCUUCCGUGCCGUCGUAGCGAGGAGGUAGGUCCGGCUUGAACUUUCCGGGCCAUGCGACGCUACGCAACUCGGGGGUGAAGGCACGGCAGCCUGCAGGGGCCACCGGAGCUCACUGCUGAUGCGGGGCUUGCUCCUGGGGAUUGCCACGCACCGCUGCCUAGAGCAGCGCGAGGUCUUGAUGUGGCAGUGCAGGGACGUGGUCACGGUGCUCUGGUGCUGGGAGCACACGAGCACCUUCUUGGGGACGAGGGAUUUUCUGGCAGCUCCUUUCUUGUCGCGCAGCCGGAAGCGGUGGGUCUCGUCCUGGGGCCACGCGCCUUGGAGCCAGGGCGCCUUCUUGGGGAGGAGGUGGUGGAGGCACCUCCUGCUCCUCACCUCCUGCGCAGGAUGGAGGGCGAGGCAGCGAGAGGGAUGGCAUGGGAGAGCCCCAUGCGGUGCUGACAAGCUUGAUGAUGCAGGCGAGCCAGUCCUCGUAGAGGUCGUCGACGGGACAGUAGUGCAGGAGCUCGCGCGCCAGGAGCAGCGCGGCAUGCGCGUCCGUGGGGCCGCGAUGGACGUGGGACGAUGAACUGGCUGGAGUCAGCGACGGGGUAGUGGUGCGGCCAUCGCGCCGCACUGAAGGAUGCAGGGACGAGGCCUGCUGCUUGUUCCCCCUAGGCCGGUGGCGGCAUUGGCGGCAGGCGACGGGGAACGAUGGGGGCGAUCGCCGACGGGCGCCGUCUGGGCGACGCGGGUGGCGAGAGCAGCCCGACGCUCGGCGCGAGCUCGACGAGCGUCAGCCAUGGACACGGUGGGAGAUCACAUGCGACUAGAGGAAGAAAGAUUCCGGCGCACCCCCUACCUGGUGCGCCAAAUGUCGGAUUUCGGGUACCGGCAGAUCCUUGAGUUUCGAACACUGGGGUGCGCAUGAAGAUCUUUCCUGUACCAGCUCACACGUCGAAGUCUCGGAAGGAUCUAGGCUAGAAAGAAGAACGCACAAGGGACGCAAGAUUUAUACUAGUUUAGGCCACCAUUGUGGCGUAAUACCCUACUCCAGUGUGUGGUGUGGUGGAUUGCCUCAGGGGCUGAUGAUGAACAGUACAAAGGGAGAACAGCCUCGCGAGGGUCUGUUCUUGAGCUGGUGCGAUGAACUGCUAGGGUGAGUUCAGUCGCCUCUCUUUAGUCUAUGCGUCUUCUUGAGAUAGAUGCUCGAUGCGAUCCCUAGAUGCCUCUACCCUGUGGGUGGCUAGUCCUAUUUAUAGAUGGAGGCCCUGGGCCUCUUCCCAAAUAAUGAGCAGGAAGGGUGCCAACACUUGGUCAUUUUGAAGGGGAACAUCUAGUACACUUAUCCUGACUAAAGAUGGUCUUCGGCUGCCAAAGGCUCUGACGAUGACACCGUCCUGGGCUCCACGAUGACCUCCAUCCUGUUGUUCUGCUGGUCUUGGUCUUGUUGCACCGAAACGAUAACCUUUGCCUGAUGCCUCGGUCUGUGCUUGCCCCCUUUGCACCGAAAGGGAAACAAGGACACUACGUAGGCCGGCGCCCGCCUGGUCUCGAUCAUCAUGGCUUGCGUCACAGGAUCCUUGGGAGGUAACCUGCCUUGAUCUCUCCGCCUCCUUGUGAGCCUGCCUGAGGAGGCUGCUCCCGAGGAAGCUUCCUGUCGUCCGCCCCGCGAGGCUUGGCCCCUUGCGAGGGUCUUGAGCUUGAGCUGAUGAAGCUGGGCUGCGCUGGGCCCCCACUUGAGCCACGCCACAGGCCGCAAGCAGGCAAGUCUGGGGACCCCCGUUCCCAGAACGCCGACACUCGUAGCGGAGGAGCCGGCCGCUAGAGGAAGGGGGAGGGGGCGAGGUCGAGGCCGCUGUGGUGCUCGAGGUAGAGGAGGACGGGGCGGCAGAUCGGCCUCGCCUCCGCCAGCAGCCCCUCCUCUGAUGGAGGGCCAUGCCGGGGACAACUCUUGCGUAUUCUUUGUCAGGCUGCGCCAGCCAUCGCGCUGUCGCCUUCGCCUCCCAACUCCAUUUGCGCGGGAGAUGGAGCUAGAUCCUCCGCAGGCGUUGCAGCUGCACAUGAGGGGUUGCGGGAAUAGUGGCACAUGGGCCCAUGUCGAGUUCCCCGCCCCUCCCAUCAUGUAUCUCCACCGAGGGUGGAAGACCUUCGCUCGCCUCCAUAGCCUGACGGAGGGGCUCACUCUCCAUUUCAAACUAAUGGAGAAUGGCCUCCUCUCCGUCAAGAUCUUCGGGCACUUCGGGACUCGCGUAAGGUGUUGCGUGGAGAGCUCUUCUGAUGAUGAAGAUUCCUCCUCGACCGAGAGUGGCGAGGAGGACAACGGCAUCGACGACGAGGCUAGCGGGCGGCACGAUGACGGGUCCGACUAGGCGUCGGGUGCCGCUCCGAGCGGCACCGGCGACCCCAUCAUCCAUGUUGCCGGCACCUUGAACUUCUCGGGGUCGUCUCCUUGGCUGGCUGGUGUUGGCAGGCUGCAGAAGAGGAAGAGGGCGAGUGGCAAGGCCAUCAAGUCGGAGUACGCGGGCACCGACGCCUUUGUCGCGUAUUGACGUCUUGCCGCCUCAUCUUCGAGCUCUGCCUCCGUUGCCGCCAUCACCAUCCAGCCCUUGGACGGCCACCGAGAUGUUCUCUUGGUGUCUUCUGCCACUCGUAGCUCGCCUAGGCACCCCUUUUGCCCUUCUGCUUUCUUGUGCCAUUUCCUGAGGAGAGGGACAAGAAAGGGAUUACGGACAUCUUAUCCUUUUUUGUCUUGUAAGACUUAGGGCCUUUGUUAACAUUAGAACUUGUAAUCCCCCUAUUCAUGUUUUUCAUUUCGUAUGAACUGUACCUGUAUGGGAUGCUUUUUAAUGAAAAAGGGAUGUUUGCCGGGUUUUCCGUUCGCAGGUGGAACCCACGACAAGGAGUGAAUCCUUGUUACCUUUAAGAUAAACGUUUUUCACUCGGCAACAGGCCUGGCCGUACCCCACUGCACUCGACCUUUCUCACGCCCUUGGCGGAGGCAGGGAUGAGGUGGGCUUAGGCUCCUCAUUUCAUUUCCUUGUUGCCGCGACUACGACCAAACUCGGUCCCAGGGGAUGAGUCCUAGGGUCCGGGAUGAGGGGAGCACGGUAGCCCAAGGAUAAAACAUGGUUUCACAUACCUCGGUCCAUAACGAAACGCAUGAUAGAGGAUAGGAAACUUUUCUGGAUCUGCAGCCCCCGACAACUUUGGCUUGCCGGGGCCCGGACGCCGGUCCGUCCCCUUUCUUCCAAAAUAGCUCGGCAAGGAUAUUUAUGUGCCCUGCGAACCAAAGAAGACAGAGAAGAACAGAGAGACGCGCACUCGACCUCUAAGCUAGGGGUUAGCCGCCGCUAAGCACUAUCAACCCUAACCAAGGAAGAGACUCAACCUAGCAUGCAUGCUAUAACUUAGGGCGCCAGCGCUUCGUUUAUUUAUGCUGAGGGUCUGCGCCUAGCUUUGUACAAAGGGUUACAUGCCUUGCCGGCAAGGCUUGUACAAAAGGGUGGCUUGCCGGGAGGCCCAGCAGCCGCGCCUUAUGGGUAAAACUUGCGGAGAUGCUCGAUGUUCCAGGAGUUGCUCACUGGAACGGCAUCUUCGGUCUCCAGCCGGACUGCGCCGGGCCUGGUGACUCGUGUCACCUGAUAAGGGCCUUCUCACUUCAGCGUCAACUUGUUGGAAUUCUUGGCCGACUGAACGUGCCGAAGAACAAGGUCGCCUUCCUCAAAGCUCCGGGCAUGAACCUUGCGGCUAUGGUAGCGGCGCAAGGCUUGCUGGUAGCGUGCUUCUCUCACAGCCUCCCGGAGACAAUCUUCCUCAAGGAGCGUCGCGUCAUAUUGCCGCAAUCGCUCUUGCUCAAGCUCAUCAUAAGCGAGCACUCGAGGUGACCUGUAUAUGAGUUCUGUGGGGAGAACUGCUUCUGCCCUGUAAAUCAGGGCAAGGGGUGUCUGGCCGGUGGCUUGAUUUGGUGUCGUUCUGAUCGACCAAAGAACCGCCAGCAACUCAUCAAUCCAGCGCCUUCCACUCUUGCGCAGCCUAUCAAUAGUCUUCGUUCUUAAGCCUCGCAGGACUUCAGCAUUUGCUCUCUCCGCUUGGUCGUUGCUUCGUGGAUGUGCCACGGAAGCAAAAUAGACCCUGCUGCCGAGAUCCUCAAUGUACUACAUGAAGGCAUGGCCUGUGAACUGUGUGCCGUUGUCAGUGAUGAUCCUAUUGGGCACCCCAAAACGACACAGUAGUCCCUUGAAGAACUUGAUGGCUGACUGCGCUGUCACCUUCCUCACUGCUUCCACCUCUGGCCACUUUGUGAACUUGUCGAUCGCGACGUACAAGUACUCAAAGCCCCCGACAGCACGGGAGAAAUGGCCCAAUAUGUCGAGCCCCCACCGAGAAGGGCCAGGAGAGAGGGAUAUUUUGAAGGGCUUGAGCGGGUUGAUGGAGCUUCUUCGAAUGGAACUGGCACGCUUCACACUUGGUUACUAGUGCUGUCGCAUCCUGGAGGGCGGUGGGCUAGAACCUUGCCGGAAAGCCUUGGCAGCAAGGGCCCUCGACCCUAUGUGGGAGCCACAUAUGCCUCCAUGUAUCUCUGCCAACAGCUCUAAUCCUUUGUCCCGGGAGAUGCACUUCAAUUUCACCCCAUUCAGUCUUUUUCUGUACAAUAUGUUAUGAACGAAUUGGUAUAGAGCAGACCGACGGGCUACUCUUUAUGCCUCUUCCUGCUCCUCAUAAAGCUCUCCUUUUUGAAGGAAUCGGACGGUGUGUUGCGCCCAUGCCGGAGCCUGUGGCUCAACGACAAGGACCAAAGGCAUCUCUUCUGCCACGGGAGCGGCCGCCUCCACGGCCAUGACCUAAAGUCCUGCCGGAGUCGGUUGCCCCGCGGUAGGAUCGGCAUCCACGGCAACAUCUUCGCCGGCGGCUCCGGCGAGCUCGGUGGGGAAGUACUUGCUGGGGCCUAGCUUCCUCCGCUUGUUCUGCCAGGCUGACGGCUCAAUGGAUGGUUGAGUUAACUGAAGUACAAAAGUACCUGGUUCCAUAGGUAGCUUGAGGGCAGCGCGCUUUGAAAGGUAGUCGGCGAUGUCGUUCUCCGCCCGAGGGACAUGCUCCGCUUGUAUACCGUCAAAGUGCUCCACCAGUUUCCUCACCUCAUGUACGUAAGCUUCCAUCAACGGGCUUUGAUAAUCUUUGUUGAUCUGCCUGGCGACGAGCUGUGAGUCACCCCUGACGAUGAGCUUUUUAACUCCGAGGUCUGCCGCGAUCCUGAGACCAGCAAGCAAACCCUCGUACUCGGCAGUGUUGUUGGUUGACAUCUCCCAGGGGAAGUGCAUCUGCAUGACAUACUUGAGGUGCUCUCCGGUGGGUGCGACAAGAAGCACACCAGCACCAGCGCCUUGCAGCGAGAAGGCACAAUCAAAGUACAUGAUCCAGUUGCAGCUCGUUUCCUUGCCGGGGAGAGUGGUCUCCUAUAACUCUUCGUCGGGCGUCGAGGUCCAUUCUGCAACAAACUCCGCCAAGACUCUGCUCUGAAUCGUCGAGGUACUCUCGAACUUCAAACCGAAACUUGACAGCUCUAGGGCCCAUUCCACGAUCCUCCCCGUUGCAUCUGGGUUAUGCAGUAUCCGUUGCAAUGGGAGGCAGGUGAUCACCGUGAUCUCGUGCGCUUGGAUGUAAUGGUGCAGCUUCCUCAAAGCCAUAAGGAGGCUGAAGAGCAGCUUUUGCACACUUGAGUACCUCGACCUAGCCCCCUGCAAGAGGGAGCUGACGAAGUAGACUAGGCGUUGUACCAUUUUCUUCUUCUGCGCCUCUUCACCCGGUCGUGCGGGUCCUGUCAUACUAGUGCUAGUCUUGCCGGGACCGAGCCCUGCCGGGGACUCACUCUUGCCGGGACCGAGCCCUACCAGGGAGGGUUCUGGCCCACCAACCAUUGACUCUGCCGCUGCUGCUGUCUCCUCAUCGACCUCUCUCUGCGCCACUAGUGCGGCGCUAACCACCUGAUUUGUUGCCGCUAGAUUAAGCAGCAACGGUUCUUGUGGUUUGGGCGCAACCAGCACUGGGGUAGAGGAGAGGUAUUUCUUCAAAUCUUGCAGCACUACCGAGGGAGUCCUGGAUUAGGGGGUAUCCGGAUAGCCAAACUGUAUACAUUGUCCGGACUAUUGGAGCAUGAAGAUACAAGACUCAAGACUCCAUCCCGUGUCCGGAUGGAACUCUCCUUUGCGUGGAAGGCAAGCUUGGCGAUCCGGAUAUUGUAUUUCCUUCCUUGUAACCGACUCCAUGUAAACCCUAGCCCUCUCCUGUGUCUAUAUAAACUGGAGAGGUUGGUCCUUAGAAGGUGAUCACAAUUACAAUCAUAAUCAUCAUAGGCUAGCUUCUAGGGUUUAGCCUCUACGAUCUCGUGGUAGAUCUACUCUUGUACUACCCAUAUCUUCAAUAUUAAUCAAGCACGAAGUAGGGUUUUACCUCCAUCGAGAGGGCCCGAACCUGGGUAAACAUUGUGUCCCUUGCUUCCUGUUACCAUCAGCCUAAGACGCACACAUCGGGACCCCCUACCCAAGAUCCGCCGGUUUUGACACCGACAUUGGUGCUUUCAUUGAGAGUUCCUCUUUGUCGUCGCCACAAGGCUCGAUGGCUCGUCUUGUUGUCAGGGACAACAUUACCUCUGGGGGAGCUCUGGCUGUAGGCCAAACUCUCCGACUAGGCGGCUUCAUCAUGGCCACCCCAUCGGGUGUCGCACCGACGAUGGCCUCUCGAGUCAUCUCGCAUAACCUUCGCAUCAAUUCGGAACUCGCCGAAUAGAUGGAUCCGAUAGAGCUCUCCUCCCUUAAUGAGCUCUUGGAUCGCAUCGCCGCUUUGGGAGUCGCUACGGACUAUGACUGUAUCGGGCUUAAACCCAACCAAAGGGACAUUAAAUCCUCGCCGGCCACCCAUGAGAUAGCGGUAGUGGAGGAACCACACAAGGAUUAUCCCUCUAUUUUGAGGACGAAUUAUGUCCGGAUCACCGAGCUCCUUGAGCCGGACACCCGCUCAAGGGAAGACAUGACCCGGGUCCCGGACUUAGAAUCGGGCAUUGGGCCAGAGAAAUUGGGCAGCACCCUGGAUCCCCAGCUGUCAAACUCAGAAACUCCCAUGCCCCCGGGUGCUAGGUCGGAUCAGAAUCCGGAUUCAGCUAUUCUCAGCCACACGGACUUAAAUCGUCUCUCCCAUAUCAGGCAAGAGCCCCAGGAGAUAGUGCAUCGUUACUGGGCCAGAUUCCUCCUUGUGCUAAACAAGGUCAAGGACUGCAGCGAGGAGGAUGUAGUCUCACUUUUCUGCAAAAACUGCACGAACAAAGGAAUCCUUAAUGCCAUAAGUCGCCGUGACAUAGUACACUUUGCGGACUUGGCAACCAUAGUACAGAAGUACUGUGCGAUGGAAAGCGCCUGGAAAACCCAAACAGAAUUUUGGGAUAGUCCGGCUUUCACCAAAACCUUUAUCCGAACUAAACGGGCGAACUCUCGUAUGUCGGCCGAUCCAAACCCCAAGAAACCAAAGCCCACCCUAGGGUGGGGAACCGUAUUGGAAGAAUGGCCCAAUGGGCCAUGUGAACUCCACAGCACUCCGGACACAACACCAACUCAUAGCCUUAGGGCAUGUUGGAUACUCCGUCAGGUUGCAAAAAGUGGCGAGGAUCUUCUUGUAAGCCAUAAAGCAGAACAACAUCCUGCCAACAAACACAAUACGGUACAAACAGUCUUCGAGACUUUUGCCUCAAACAAUAGGCGCAAGCGAGCUCAUCGAAGCUCCGCUGAAAUUUGCCAUGUGGCAAAAAUAAACCCCUGGAAUGACCCUACUAUAACUUUCAAUGCCAGUGAUGAACCUCAAUUCCAGACUGUCCAGGCACCAGCCGCUCUGGUCCUUAACCCAAUCGUGGACGGCUUUCGGCUCACUAAAGUACUCAUGGACAGCCAAAGCGGAUUAAACUUGAUCUAUGAAGAAACACUCAACAAGAUGGAAAUUGAUAGAAGCCGCAUUGAACAAAGCGGCACAACCUUCAGGGGAAUUAUCCCUAGUCGGGAAGUGCGGUGUGCGGGAAAAACCACACUCGAUGUGGUAUUCGGCACCCCGGAGAAUUAUAGGUCUGAAGAAAUCACAUUCCAAGUGGCUCCUUUUAGCAGCGGAUACCACGCCCUUCUAUCGCGGGACGUGUUAACAAGCUUUCAAGAUAUACCCCAUUACAGGUACAUGAAGCUUAAAAUGCCCGGACCCAAUGGAAUCAUCACUCUAGCUAGUGAUCCGGACAUCGCACUUCGCGCCGAAAACAAAACCGCAUCACUAGCCCUGGAAGAAUUAUCCGAAGCCCUAGUAGCCGAAGAGUUAACAACACUGCGGUCCACCGUGGACAGGGACGACGUGAUACUCAACAAGCGACCCAAGUCCACCUCAUUUAAACCCGCAGACGAGAUAGUGAAAUUCCAUGUCCAUCCAACGGACCCCACGAAGAUAGCUUCCAUCGGGACACAGUUGAGCCCCGGAAUGGAUGUCGCACUGCGAGAUUUCUUACGCGAGAAUUGGGACAUUUUCUCCUGGCACCCAUCGGACAUGCCGGGCAUCCCACGCAGAUUGGCCGAACACAGCCUCAAUACACUAAAAGGAUACAAACCAGUCAAGCAGACUCUAAGGCGGUUUAUAGGGCCCAAACGGCAAGCCAUGGGGGAAGAGCUAGCCAAACUACUCGAGGCCGGAUUCAUCAGAGAUAUCAAGCGUCCGGAUUGGCUGGCAAAUAUGGUAAUGGUACCAAAGAAGGACAAAUCCUGGCGCCUAUGUGUCGACUUUAAAGACCUCAACAAGGCUUGCCCCAAGGAUCCUUUUCCCCUCCCUCGCAUCGAUCAAAUCAUCGAUGCCACAGCAGGACACAACUCGCUGUGUUUCCUCGACGCAUACUCCUGAUACCAUCAAAUAAAGAUUGUAGAGUCCAACCAAGCCGCAACAGCUUUCAUAACGCCAUAUGGCCCUUUUUGCUUCAACACUAUGCCUUUCGGGAUGAAGAACGCCGGCGCAACCUACCAACGCAUGAUUCAAACAUGCCUGGAAAAGCAAAUCGGCAAAACAGUGGAGGCAUAUGUGGACGACGUGGUCAUAAAAACAAGACACGUCGAAACCCUAAUAGAUGACUUGAGGCUUACAUUCAAUAACCUCCGGACAUACGACAUCAAGCUGUACCCGGAAAAAUGCGUUUUCGGCGUCCCCUCGGGGAAACUACUCGGCUUCAUUGUUUCCAACAGAGGAAUUGAAGUGAAUCCAGCAAAAAUCCGAGCUCUGUCAUAGUUGGCUAUACCAACAGACCUCAAGCACAUCCAGAAACUAGCCGGAUGUGUGGCUUCUUUAAGCCGCUUCAUCUCCAAGUUAGGAGAAAAGGCAUUACCUCUUUAUCGCCUUCUUCGGCGCACUGAACACUUCGUGUGGACGGAUGCAGCCGCGGCCGUACUGGAUGAAAUAAAGACCUUAUUGGCCAGUAAUCCAGUCCCAACAGCGCCAAAUAUUGGUGAACCUAUGCUGCUGUACAUAGCUGCAACACAUCAAGUUGUAAGUGCUACGUCUCGAGCUUGCGUUGGUUUUCCCCGAAGAGGAGAGGAUGAUGAAGCACAGUAGCAUAAAUAUUUCCCUUAGUUUUUGAGAACCAAGGUAUCAAUCCAGUAGGAGGUCACACGCAAGUCCCUCGUACCUGCACAAAACAAUAGCUACUCGCAACCAACGCGAUUAGGUGUUGUCAAUCCCUUCACGGUCACUUACGAGAGUGAGAUCUGAUAGAGAUAAUAUUUUUGGUAUUUUUGGUAUGAAGAUGCAAAGUUAAAAGUAAAAGUAAAGCAAGUAAAUAAAGUUAUGGAGAUUGAUAUGAUGAGAAUAGACCCGGGGGCCAUAGGUUUCACUAGUGGCUUCUCUCAAGAGCAUAGAUAUUCUAUGGUGGGUGAACAAAUUACUGUUGAGCAAUUGAUAGAAUUGAGCAUAGUUAUGAGGUUAUCUAGGUAUGAUCAUGUAUAUAGGCAUCACGUCCGAGACAAGUAGACCGAAACGAUUCUGCAUCUACUACUAUUACUCCACUCAUUGAUCGCUAUCCAGCAUGCAUCUAGAGUAUUAAGUUAAAAACAGAGUAACGCCUUAAGCAAGAUGACAUGAUGUAGAGGAAUAAAUUCAUGCAAUAUGAUAAAUACCCCAUCUUGUUAUCCUCGAUGGCAACAAUACAAUACGUGCCUUGCAACCCUUUAUGUCACUGGGUAAGGACACCGUAAGAUUGGACCCAAAGCCAUGCACUUCUCCCAUUGCAAGAACUACCAAUCUAGUUGGCCAAACCAAAUGGAUAAUUCAAAGAGACUUGCAAAGAUAACUCAAUCAUACAUAAAAGAAUUCAGAGAAGAUUCAAAUAUUAUUCAUAGAUAAGCUGGAUCAUAAACCCACAAUUCAUCGGUCUCAACAAACACACCGCAAAAAGAAGAUUACAUGAAUAGAUUUCCACGAGUGAGGGGGAGAACAUUGUGUUGAGAUCCAAAAAGAGAGAAGAAGCCAUCUAGAUACUAGCUAUGGACCCUAAGGUCUGAAGUAUACUAAUCACACUUCAUCGGAGGGGCUAUGGUGUUGAUGUAGAAGCCCUCCGUGGUGGAUGCCCCCUCCGGCGGAGCUCCGGAACAGGCCCCAAGAUGGGAUCUCGUGGAUACAGAAGCUUGCAGCGGUGGAAUUAGGUGUUUGGCUCCUGUUCUGGUCGUUCGGGGAUACGUAGGUAUAUAUAGGAGGAAGGAGUACAUCGGUGGAGCUCCGAGGGGCCCACGUGGUAGGGGGGCGCGCCCAGGGGCGCCCUCCACCCUCGUGACCGCCUAUGGCGCUUCUUGGAGUAGGGUCCAAGUCUCCUGGGUCACGUUCGGUUGGAAAAUCACGAUCCCGAAGGUUUCAUUCCGUUUGGACUCCGUUUGAUAUUCUGUUUCUUCGAAAUACUCAAAAAGGUAAAAAACAGCAAUUUGGGCUGGGCCUCCGGUUAAUAGGUUAGUCCCAAAAGUAAUAUAAAAGUGAAAAAUAAAGCCCAUUAUAGUCCAAAACAAUAGAUAAAGUAGCAUGGAGCAACCGAAAAUUAUAGAUCGUUGGAGACGUAUCAGGCAUCCCCAAGCUUAAUUCCUACUCGUCCUCGAGUAGGUAAAUGAUAAAAAGAGAAUUUUUGAUGCGGAGUGAUACUUUGGCAUAAUUUCAAUGUAAAUCUUCUUAAUCAUGGUAUGAAUAUUCAGAUCCGAAAGAUUGAAGACAAAAGUUCAUAUUAACAUAAAAAUAAUAAUACUUCAAGCAUACUAACAAAGCAAUUAUGUCUUCUCAAAAUAACAUGGCCAAAGAAAGUUAUCCCUACAAAAUCAUAUAGUCUGGCUAUGCUCCAUCUUCCCCACACAAAGUAUUUAAAUCAUGCACAACCCCGAUGACAAGCCAAGCAAUUGUUUCAUACUUUAACAUUUUCAAACCUUUUUCAAUCUUCACGCAAUACAUGAGCGUGAGCCAUGGAUAUAGCACUAUAUGUGGAAUAGAACGGUGGUUGUGGAGAAGACAAAAAGAGGGAAGAUAGUCUCACAUCAACUAGGCGUAUCAACGGGCUAUGGAGAUGCCCAUCAAUAGAUAUCAAUGUGAGUGAGUAGGGAUUGCCAUGCAACGGAUGCACUAGAGCUAUAAGUAUAUGAAAGCUCAACAAAAGAAACUAAGUGGGUGUGCAUCCAAUUUGCUUGCUCACGAAGACCUAGGGCAUUUUGAGGAAGCCCAUUGUCGGUGUCCAAACCGGCGGAUCUCAGGUAGGGGGUCCCGAACUGUGCGUCUAGGCGGAUGGUAACAGGAGACAAGGGACACGAUGUUUUUAUCCAGGUUCGGGCCCUCUCGGUGGAGGUAAAACCCUACUCCUGCUUGAUUAAUAUUGAUGAUAUGGGUAGUACAAGAGUAGAUCUACCGCGAGAUCAAGGAGGCUAAACCCUAUAAGCUAGCCUAUGGUAUGAUUGUUGUUCGUCCUACGGACUAAAACCCUCCAGUUUAUAUAGACACCGGAGAGGGCUAGGGUUACACAGAGUCGGUUACAAUGGUAGGAGAUUUACAUAUCCGUAUCGCCAAGCUUGCCUUCCACGCCAAGGAAAGUCCCAUCUGGACACGGGACGAAGUCUUCAAUCUUGUAUCUUCAUAAUCUUGGAGUCUGGCCGACGGUGAUAGUUCGGCUAUCCGGACACCCCCUAGUCCAGGACUCCCUCAGUAGCCCCCGAACCAGGCUUCUAUGACGAUGAGUCCGGUGCGCAUAUUUUCUUUGGCAUUGCAAGGCGGGUUCUUCUCCAAAUUCAAUGUACUCGCGGAAUGGUGUCCGACUUCUUAUAAAUGCUACGCUCCUUGGCUUCCACGUCCAAUAAUAGCCAUCUUCCACGUGUCGUACGAAUGCGAAAAGCCAGGGUAUUUUUACAUUCUACCCCCUAGCUGCACGAAUGAGCUGCCCAUAAAGAGAGGCGAGGAUCUAGAUCCAAAUCACACCCUCCUCCUUCCGCGAGUAUUCAUCGGAGCUCCUCUGACCAAAAAUCCAUUCCAUCAUGGACAGUCGACGCGGCUCCUCCUCUCGCGUUCCCAGCCCUCAGCCAGGAGAUUGGGGGAGAUGCUCGGUCCCGCAUAGUGAGCUUAGUGACGCUCCAAGCUGAGGGAUUUCUUCCCCCAGCCUUUAUGGUUCCGGUUCGAGCCAGACUUGCCACCUACAAGGGCGGAAAGCAGGCGGAGACCAUCCCCAAUCCCUCCAAAGGAGAGCGGGUAUGCUUCGUCCCUUAUCUAAUAAGAGGACUCGGAUUUCCCAUACAUCCGUUUCUCCGGGGGAUCCUGGAGUUCUAUGGGCUCCAGCUUCACCACCUUACGCCUGCCUCCAUCCUGCACAUAGCGGGCUUCGUGGCCCUUUGCGAGCUGUUCUUGGGCGUCGAGGCCCAUUUUGCGCUGUGCAAGAUAUUAUUCUGCCUCAUACCCCGUUCUCAUGAGGGGUCGAUAUAUAAAGUGGGCGGAGCCGAACUAUGGCGCAUCACCGGGACCGGAUAUCUAUCCGGAACCCCGAAGAAGGCGUCCGAAGACUGGCCUUCAGAAUGGUUUUAUAUGGAAGACGCCCCGCUACCGGACCCAGUUCGGAUCGGCCUCCCGGAGUUCAGCAACGCUCCUCUGAAGAAACGCCUGAGUUGGCGCCCGCGGAGCCAUCAACGGGAGAAUGAUAGGGACGUCCAAUAUCUGAUGGGCCGAAUAAGGUUAUUGGCUCAUUCCGGAUUGACCAUGAUUGGGGUCAUGGCCACAUGCAUUAUGCGAGGGGUGCAGCCGCUCCAGUAUAGGGGCCACCCCAUGUGGGAUUUCAACGGGGAGGAUGAUGCCACCCGUCAUGGCCGCAAGGGGCCGGGAUCAGUCGCCGAUCUGGUGAAGAUCCUGUCCAGCCUGUACAAAGGGGAGAAGGAGGACUUCCUCCGUGCUAGUCCAUUGAAUGGAUUUUCCGUGAACAACCCUCGGAGCUGGGUAAGCGGACAUUCGUCUAUCCGAUCCAUAUUCCCAAAGUUAAGUGCCUCACUCUGUGAUUUCGACGCAGGAACUGCGCCGGGCCGUAGAGGAUAUAAAUAGCCUGGCUCCACAACAAGAGGAUCCAGGACGAUCCCUCGAUCCGGCCUCCGAAGAGGAUCCGGACAUAAAGGUGGAGCUGAUCGAUGGGGUGUUCCACCAACUUAGCAUCGACAAUGCUUUGGUCGCCAUUACGACCGACUACUCCGGAAUAUCUCCGGCUUCCUAGGUAACUGUGACCGGAGUCCUGAUACCAUUAAUCAUCCACGCUUAUCUCUGACCACCGUAUACCAAUGGUGUUCCGCGGGAGGUGCCUUCGAGGCGGGAAGCCGAACCCGCGGCGGCUGGCCAACAAGGGGCAGCUCGGCCCAGCAGGCGGAAAAGAAGUGCGGCGCGGAUCGAGACGUCGCCGCAAUGGUAUGGCGCGUCACCAUGUUGCCAGGAAAGAUUCCUGGAAGGCAUAUAAACGCUUGAGAUUUUUUCAGGAGAAAGAGCGCUCGUCGGACUGUGUCCGGAGAGAUUGCCAAUCAAGCCUCCGCCAGCCAGGCUCCAACGCCAGGUCCGGAGGGGGAGGCGAACGCAAGGCGCGCGUCGGGUGUUCCUCCAACGGAGGAUGCCGACAGGUUGUCCGCCACCAGAUCUGAGGUGGAGAGCGCCAUGAAUCACAGGUACCGUCGGACAGUUCUUCAUGACGCAUGCUUCUCCCCGGAGGCGUUAAAUGCCUUUAAUUCGGGAGAUGCGCACCUCCAUGCCGCUCAAGAUGGUCUAGCCAGAGCCACGGAGCAGUAUGUGAAAGACAUACGGGUGAGGACUUUUGACAGUUAUAUAUGCCAGUAGCCCCCGAGACUUAAAGUAGUUAGAAUAACUGAGUUAAGGAUCAUUUGUUAUGCAGGAUCUUACGGAGAAGAAUACCCACUUGUCCCAGGAGCUUCAAGAGUGCAAGGCCCAACUUGAGGCCGCACUAGCCGCCACAGGGGGAGCCACAGAGACCCCCUCCGGUAAUAUAUAUUUUUGAAAGAUAAGUAGUUUGUGAAGUGCGGCGUGUGCAUGGGUCUGACAAUAAUAUUGAAGAUGGUGCCGGACUAGAUCCGGACAGGCCGCAACUACUACGCCAGCUAAAGGCCGGCUAGAAGGUUCUUACAAGGGUGCGGCUGAAAGUGCUAGUAUCGACUAGAGGGCGGUGAAUAGGCGAUUUUUAUGAAAGUCUUCAAAACCUGGAAGUUUCGAAGACAAACAGUCGAAAUAACCUAAUUGAUAUGCAGCGGAAGAUUAACUACAAUAAGCAAACCAUAGUCAAGUAUGCAAUGAUGUGAAAGUACAAGACUAAUAGCAGCUAAGUAGUAAGGAUCAAGAUGGAAGAUAGUAUGAAGCCAAUCAACGAUAGUAGUCAAGCAAUGAAGUCAAACAGGUACAACAGAUAGGCAAUGACUUCAUGAAGACAAACUCUAAGUAAAGGAUGGGAAGGGAUAGAACCAGUCACUUGUUGAAGACACAAGAUUUGUUGGACCAGUUCCGGUUGCUGUGACAACUGUACGUCUGGUUAGGGAGGCUGAGCUCCAACUCAGAAGACCGUGUCUUCACCUUAUUCCCCUUGAGCUAAGGACACCCAGUCCUCGCUCAAUCACUCUAGUAAGUCUUCAAGGCAGACUUCUGAACCUUCACAGACUUCGUUCACCGGCGAUCCACAAUGACUCUUGGAUUCUCAGAACGCGACGCCUAACCGGCUGGAGGAUUCACAGUCCUCAAGUGUAAUAAGUCUUCAGGUCACACAGACAGAAAGACUUCAGUGAUGCCUAACACUCUUUGCCUCUCGGUGUGUGGGCUUUGUCCUCGCAAGGAUUUCUCUCUCUCAAAGGCUUCGAGGUGGGUUGCUCUCAAACGACAAAAGCCAUGCACUAACUCUGAGCAGCCACCAAUUUAUGGUGUAGGGGUGGGCUAUUUUUAGCCACUGGGCAACCCGACCUGAUAUGUCCGAAAUGACCCUGGGUCACUAAGGAACUGACACGUGUUCCAACGGUCAGAUUUCAAACACACACGGCAACUUUACUUGGGCUACAAGCAAAGCUGACUCAUCCAGCUCUGGAUAAGAUUUGCUCUCAUUGUCUUCGCUUGAAGACAUAGGAUUUGGGUUGAGCAUCACUUCAGUCAUUCUGACUUAGUUCACUUGGACCCCACUUAAUAGUACGGUGGUUCCUAUGACUCAACAAAGAAGAAAAAGGAAACAUCGAAACACACAGUCUUCGCGCUCCGUAGUCUUCCCUCAAUGUCUUCUCAUGUCAUAGUCUUCAAUAUGAAUAUCUUCACAUUCCACCAUUGUCUUCAAUGUCUUCAUACAUUUUUAGGGGUCAUCUCCGGUAGGUAAACCAAAUCAAUUAGGGACACUACAUGCGUUAUCCUGCAAUUCUCACAAACGCAUUAGUCCCUCAACCAACUUUGUCAUCAAUACUCCAAAACCAACUAGGGGUGGCACUGGAUGCACUUACAAUCUCCCCCUUUUUGGUGAUUGAUGACAAACUCGUUGAAGUUUUCAAUGGGGAUAAAGUAUGUGAAAUUGUAAAGGAUAGGGUAUUGUCUCAAUAAGUAGCAAGGGCUCCCCCUGAAGAUGUGCAUAUAAGUAAUUUGCUUUUGGAUGCAAAUGCACAAGGCAGGUUGUACUUGUGGAGAUCCACUUCAACUUAUGAAGAUAAUUCAUAAUGCAUGAAAUGAUAUAGCAAAUAGAAUGACAUGCAUAAUGAAAAAUGGACGUCUGCAGAAUGAUCUAAGUGCGGAAGUUAUCAUCGCACAUGCGGAAUUUAUCAUCGCAUCACAGUAAAACAAAUAAGUAGCAGGCGACCAUCGAGUUUAAGUGUUACAACUCAAAGAACCAAAUGUAUAAAAAGCGAGAGUUGUAAGCACGAGGCAAAAUAUAAAGCAACCGCCCAUAUGAACCCGCUUGAAGACUAUCAAACUCAUAUGCUUCUCCCCCUUUUGUUAGUAAGGACCAAAAAGGUUUGAAGACAUAGAGCAUCUACUCGUCCUCAUGAGUAGGUGAAGCAGUAGGGUUGUCGUUGUUGUUUGGCGGUGCAGACGUACUUGGUGCAGUGUCGAUGCAUGCAGAAGUAGGGGGCGGUGAAGUAGCAUCAUCUUCAUCAUCGAUCACUCUGGCAUUCACAGUUGCCGCGGAGGAAGAAUAGUCAGAGUCUUCAAGGGAUGGAGUUCGACGGAGGACAGCAGUCCGUGGAGGACUGGAGUCAAACUUGAAUCUUUUAGUGAAGCCAUCGUCUUGAAGAUCUGCUUCAGCACUAAGGAGCGUCAAACUCUUCCAUGAUCGCCGACACGUCUCGUGUGCGACAAAUGCAUUCUUGGUGGCAAGAUUUCGAAUGCGAUUGACGUCCACCAAGAGGCUUUGCAUCUAUCUCUUGAGCCAAUAGUGAUGCUUAUCUUGUUUCUGAUGAAGGUCCAAAAGAAGUUCUCGGUCAUUGAGAACGUGAGAGCGCUUCUGAGGCCUUUGGGCAAUGGUGCUUUCAGUAGGUUCAGUUUGUGCACGAUGAGGCAGACAAGUGUUCCCAGCCAUUGGAUAGAUGCGUGUUACUGCUUGGACGCCUUCAAUGGGUUGAGUGAAGCUCUGGUGCUCAACAUUUUGAAGACAAAGAGGCUUCUUGGCAGGCUCAGAGUAUAUGGCUUCAACUGACAUAUGAACCUCUGGUAGAAAGAUCAGAUGAUUGCGAGCAGAGGGCUGAUAGUUGACAGAGGAGUGUUGCUUGAUGAGGCGCAUGACCCAUGGAGCAUAGAAUUUCAUGCCAAAAAGGUCAAAUCCAGAUGCAGCAAGUUGUCAGAUGAAGAAUUACUGGGAAUUGAAGCUGAUGCCAUUGAGGAUGUAAAAGACCAAAGUCUUCAUGGCUCCUUCAACUUUGGCCACUGAUGAAUGCCCUUUGAUAGGCCAUAGAGUUCGCCUGAUGAUGUGAUAUAUUGUGUGAGGCAGAUAGUCAAGGUCAUCAACAAAGAACUCCGUUGGGUAUUCAGCGUUAGAUGGCAAAGGCUUCAUCAUGCUCAACAUCUGGCUCAUGUUGGGUUCUGGCUUAUGGAAGAUGCUCUCCAGUGCAUUGCGGUGUAGUUGACAAUCAGGUUUAUAUAGCUCUCCGGGAGUGGGUAGGCCUGUAAGCUCAAUGACAUCAAGAGCUUUGGCUUCAUGAUGAACAUUUCCUGUCAUCCACUCGAGAACCCUUGUCUUGAUAUCCCUGUUGUAGCCACGAAUGUGGAGGGUAGCAUAGAAUUGAAGCAAGAGUUCCUCAUUCCAAUGUUCUUUGUCUAUCACAAAGCUGAGCAGACCGGCAUCACGAAAACAGUCAAGUGCUUCUUCUAAGCAUGGCAGUCCAACAAUGGCUUCAGUGUCGAGGCGCAUAUGAGGGAAAAUGCGCCCUUGAUCAUACAGAACGCAUGAGUAAUAGCUUCUCUGCUGAUAGCUCCAGAACCGAUCAUAUGAUAUUCUUGGCUUUGUGUAGGGGUUCUUUGCACUAUCAAAGAAGGUGUUGUGGCUUUUGAAGCCAUUUGCAUUGAAGGACCCUGUAGAGUUUGCAGUGCCUGGGAUCCUUGGCAGUCUUGGCUUUGGUUUCCGGACCUGAGGCCUAUGCUCAACAUGAUAAUCAAACUGAGGACCAGAGGCAGUAGGCGGAGGGACCAGAAUGGGCCAUCGGACAGUGGUUAGCUGACCAUGACUGUAUGCUUGCUCAAUUGUAUAGGGCCUUGGUGGCAGAAUUGGAGAAGUGGCAACAGCUGAGGCUUCAGGCUGCACAACAGGUGCUUCGGGAGCAGUUGCCUCAUUGGCUUCUGGCACACUGGUUGGUGCAAGCUCCACAUUAGCUUCAGCCAUGACUACGUCAUUGGCUUCAUUUUCGUUGGUGGUGGCAGCUUCAAGAUUUUCAACCUCCACUUGACGAGCUGGAGGGUCGGGCACUGGCACGUUCACAUCAGGAACAGCUUCUGCAAUACUGGGGGGAGUAGGGACACAUACAUCUUCUUGAUUGUCAUCGGCUGAUGCAGCCGGAUUGUCUUCAGCAGCUUGGGCUUCAGACACAGAGACGUUGACAGUUGGAGUGGCUUCAGGAAACACUUGACGUGCAACAGGUUGCUGAUGCACUUCUCCUUCUAGAACGCUCGAGAGAGGGACUUGAGGCCUUUGUCCUUUGCGAUGCCUGCGGAAUGCUGGCAACGCCUUUGGGGAUGGAGUUGGCUGGGCCUCAAAGUCUUCUUCUUCUUCUUGCAUAGGUGGUAUGACUUGUGGUUGUUGUUGGGGAGUACUUGGGGAGUCUUGUUGCUGUGGAUGAUCAGCCCACGAUGCAUCCUGAGCAAUUGGCGUUAGAGGACGACCAAUGCUGACGAGUUUGUUGUUCGUAAGAACAGGCGAUGAUACCAGGUUGUGUUCGAUUUGAGGAAGAACUUCAUCAUCUUCAACAUUGUCAUGGUGACCAAUGUCUUCAGCAGCGGUGGGUUCAACUGCUAGAAUGUCUUCAGCUUCAUGAGCCUCUGUGGCUCAUGAACUAUCAUCUGUCAUUCUUGGUGUUUAGAUGCAGGGCGAACCACUGAGAUAGGUUCAACAACUAAGGGCUCUGUGGGAGCAGCCUUCUUGGUUUUGCGCUUCUUCUUGGAGGGAGAAGCAUCAGAUGCUUCAGUAUUCUUCCUUUUUCUGGCUUCAGCCUCGGCAGCCCUUGUCUUCUUCUAUUCUGAAGCGGUUGACAUGACCUUUGGCUUUGAGCCAGUCAUGCUGCUUGGGAAGAUAAUGCGAGGUGCUUCCUGACCUGAAGGUGCAGAUUGAGCAGUUGAGAGCUUCUUCUCCUUUGCAGCCAUUCUGGGGUCAAUGCCAGGACGACCAAGAGAUUUGCGCUUCUCAGCCUCAUUGUAGGCCAGCACACAUUUCUCAGCCAAACUCUUCAUGCACUCACAAGAGCCUUGAGCUUCUUCGCGCUUCUUGAGAAAGGCUUCUUUAAGCUCGUGCAGCAUGACCUUGAAGUUUCUGACAUCUUGCACGCUGAGCUUUGCCACAUGCUUCUUAAACUGAGCUUUCUCAUAAUCAAUCUUGUUCUUCAGCUCAACGAUGCACUGAGUGAGAGCUAGCUCUGAAGCAAUGGCGCCUGAAGGAGACGCUGAGGCAAAUGGGAAGUUGCAGAUCUUCAAAGCUGAGAUUUGGGGUGUCAAACCACUUAUCAAUGAAGUUAUGGAUGAUUGCCACAUCAAAGAGAGGCAAAUUAUUGAAGAUCUCUGCUUCUUCCUUUCUCUUGAUCAGUUGCUCAAGGGCAUCAUCUGCAAGAUCUUCAUCGCUGGACAGAUCAAUGGGUUCUUCACGCAGAAUGGCAGCAGGAGUCAAGGUUUGAUCAGUAUGCUUGACGAUUUGCUUUUUCUUCUCCGUCCUCUUGGAGAUACGCGAUUGAUCUUCAGACUGCACACUGUCUUCAGGAGGUGCAGUGGCCAGAGGCUUCGCACGUGAAGCUUUUGGAGGAGCAGCUGAUCUUGAAGCCUUAGGCUUAUUUAGCUUCUGCGGCUUCGAAGGAGGAGCUGGGGCUUCAUCAGAGUCAGCAUCAUUAUCAGAAUGAUCUACUUUGGCACCUUGGACCAAGAUGUAGGUGAUGAGGCCAUCAAGGUUGGAGAAGGGGCCGAUGACAUUGGGUCUGCAUCACGUGAGCCGUUAGCACGGGGAGCAGAGGGACCAGGGUUGAAGUCUAAUCCCAAUGACUUCUUGUUUUCCUUGGCCGAUGCCUUUGCGUGCUGGAAGUUGCGCUUGAAAAGAGUAUCGUCACGACACCAGAGCAAUGAUGAUGGGUCGGCAUUCUCAGGCUGAGGUCCACGGACCAUACAAGGAUAGAAACCCUGUGCAAUAGCUUCAGCUCUGUUCUUGGGUUGAAGGCCUCGAUAGAUAAUAUCACCCCAAGGACCCUUGAUAGCAUUCUUCUCUGCAUAUUCCUGGGUCACGAACUUGUAAUUGAACCAUUCUUCAGCCCAAUAGCGUCGAAUCCAUUGGAUUCGUGUCUUGCGCUGAUGAUAAUUCUCCUCAGGAUCUGUCUUGUAAAGUUCUGCGAGGUCAUCAGGCAAAUCUUUUGAUGUACCCCCAUGCCGUUGUCUGCCACCCUUCCUUACUGAUUUUUCUGUAGCCAUGAACUUCAAACUGAAUGGCUUCAAUAUGUUCAAAGGCUUCAAAGACUUUCGCUUGCUGGUCAAAGAGGAACUGGCUUCGGGAGAAUUAAUGUGAUGCUGUAAGAAUUCUGCAAACGAAUGCAGACUAUGAGAACCAAGGGAUUCUCCCACGGACAUGUACCUAUGACAGCAUUAGAGAUGCGAGGGAAGGGGAGGAGGUCAUAUGCAUUCUAAGCAGAUUUUGAAGAUAAAUCAGUUUGAAGACAUUGACCUCAUGAUGCGAAGACAUUCACUUAUAUGUUGAGAGUUGGUUCCAGAUUUGUACGAAUCCGUGAAUAAGUACAAGUGAGGAAUCAACUAGAUAUGAAGUUUAAGUGAAUACACUAGGCAGUAUGAGAUGCAGACAGAAUAGAUCUAACAUUGUGUAGGCAGAAACCACUUUUGAUAGAUAGGAUGAAUCUUUGAAGAUCAAAAAGGCAGUAAAAAUAGAGUUAUAUUUACCACACGAAGAACUGCUAGAUGGGAUGAAUAGGAGACCGAGCAGUUCAGUCCACCGUGCCCUAACUUGGCGACGGAGGAUACCUUCGGAGACGGCGGAGAGGACGAUUUCCGCGGCCGGCGUGAGGACGACGUCGAAGAAGUUGCGGCAGCUAAGCACUUCGUUGUCGGCGACGUCGAGAGCUAGCAGUGGUGCUAGGGUUUUGAUGAGGCGGAGAGGUGGAAGAAGGUUUUCUUUACCGCAGGGGACAUGUAUUUAUAAGGAAGUGUGCGGCACAACGCAAUUACGCAGGUGCCCCUGGCGGUUCACAUCUGAGGGGCACGUGGCAAGCAUGCAACAUACUUAGAGUUUUCCCACGUUCCCACACCCGCCAGGCAUGUCGGAUGGUUGUUCCGGCUUCUUCGGAUAUAGAAAAUAAAGAUGAGUCACUUAAAACUGACUUAAUGUUUGUCACUGUGUCUUCUGCUGACUAGGACGUAGAGAAGACAUUCGACAGUUUCAAUAGCAUGCAUAUGAUUUGGACAGAUAGAGUUUGAGAUAGAAAGCAUAGAGAGAUUAGGGUCCGAUCACAUUCACUUAGUUCAAAAGAUUCAAAUAGGAAGACAUAGCUAUAAGUGAAUGCUGUAGAGGACAGAACACUAGUGUGUGUGUGUGUCUCUAUAUAUAUAUAUAUAUAUAUAUAUAUAUAUCAGAACGCAAUCAAGUCAUCAUAAUGAAGAAAAUCAUGAAGAUAAAUCGAAACUGAAGACAAACCAAAUGCGAAGUUAUUGCAAAAAUAACUCCAUUAGUGAAACACUUCAAACAGAGAAAUUUGGUGGUGGCGUUACCCACCGUAUAGGAAGUAUUAGACCCAUACACGGCGCACAAUUAUUGUGGCGCUCCGAAGUCAUAUUCCACGUUAAUGUAUUCACACUCAGAGCGUAAGUCUUCAUUGAUUGAAGAUAUACAUUACUUCGUGUGUUGCACAUCUAAGUCAUCAACAUGCAUAAGUGUUAGGAUGUGUGCCUGAUCACAUGACAUUUGAGGAUUCCAUGAUAUUUAGCUCACACCGUAACUUGCAAAACCUUUUCUCAUCCAAGGGCUUUGUGAAGAUAUCUGCUAGUUGCUCUUCAGUGUUGACGUGAAUGAUGUCAAUAUAUUUCUUCAUGACAUGAUUUCUGAGAAAGUGAUGACGAAUUUCAAUGUGCUUUGUCUUCGAGUGCUGGACUAGAUUGUUGGCUAUCUUGAUGGCACUUUCGUUGUCGCAGAAGAGAGGUACUUGUUUCAGAUUGAUGCCAUAGUCCUUGAGAGUUUGCUUCAUCCAUAGAAGCUGAGCGCAACAAGAUUCAGCAGCAAUGUAUUCAGAUUCAGCAGUUGAGAGUGACACAUAGUUCUGCUUCUUUGAAGACCAACAGACAAGUGAUUGACCCAGAAAGUGACAUGUGCCUGAUGUUGACUUGUGAUCCACCUUGUCACCAGCAUAAUCAGCAUCCGAGAAUCCAACCAAAUCAAAUUCUGAGCCCUUUGGAUACCAUAAUCCGAGUGUUGGGGUGUAAGCCAAAGAUCGAAGAAUUCGCUUCACUGCUAAGUGAUGCGAGUCCUUUGGUGCCGCUUGGAAUCGAGCACACAUGCAAACACUAAGCAUAAUAUCUGGCCUAGAUGCACAUAGAUAAAGUAAAGAACCAAUCAUGGAGCGGUAUACCUUUUGAUCGAACUCUUUGCCAUUGUCGUCGGGACCAAGAUGGUGUUUGGCUGGCAUUGGCAUCGUGUAACCUUUGCAGUCUUCCAUUCCAAACUUCUUCAGACAAUCUUUGAGGUAUUUUUCUUGUGAUAUGAAGAUGCCAUUCCUUUGCUGAUGAAUUUGAAGACCAAGGAAGAACUUCAGCUCACCCAUCAUGGACAUCUGCUAUUGUUCUUGCAUCAUGUAUCCAAACUCAUCACUAUACUUUUGGUUGGUGCAGUCGAAGAUAAUGUCAUCCACAUAUAUUUGGCACACAAACAGUUCACCAUCAUAUGUCUUUGUGAAGAGUGUGGGAUCGAGGGAUCCAGGUUUGAAGCCUUUCCUCUUCAAGAAGUUUUUGAUCGUAUCAUACCAAGCGCGGGGUGCUUGUUUGAGGCCAUAUAGUGCUCUGUUUAGCUUGUACACCAUAUCAGGAUGUUUUGGAUCUUCAAAGCCAGGUGGUUGAGCGACAUAUACUUCUUCAAUCUUGCCGUUGAGAAAUGCACUCUUCACAUCCAUUUGAUAUAGCAAGAUGUUGUGGUGCUUAGCAUAGGCUAGCAGUAUGCGAAUAGCUUCAAGCCUAGCAACAGGAGCAAAUGUUUCAUCGAAGUCAAUUCCUUCAACUUGAGUAUAUCCUUGAGCCACAAGACGUGCUUUGUUUCUGAUGACUUGACCAUGCUCAUCUUGCUUGUUUCGAUAUAUCCAUUUUGUACCAAUAAUGUUAUGCUUGCGAGGGUCAGGUCGCUUGACAAGUUCCCAAACAUUGUUCAGCUUGAACUGUUGAAGUUCUUCUUGCAUAGCUUGAAUCCAUUCAGGUUCCAUAAAGGCUUCAGCAACUUUCUUGGGUUCUGAUAUUGACACGAAUGAAAAAUGCCCACAGAAAUUUGCUAACUGUGUUGUUUUUGAGUGAGUGAGUGGACCAGGUGCAUUGAUGCUGUCAAUUAUCUUCUCAAUUUAUACUUCUUGCAACACGAGGAUGAACUGGACGAAGACUUUGCUCUUGCUGAUCAUUGUCAUCAUUGGGAGGAUUGUCGUCGGUCUGAGCAUUGUCUUCAGGUUGGUUAGGUGCAGAAAUGAUAAGUUCCUCUUCAGGCUGUGCUUCAGAAGGCAUGAUUUCACCAGUUCCCAUCAGCUUGAUUGAUUCGCUGGGUGAAGCUUCGUCUAGUGUACUUGGAAGGAGUUCUCUUUGUGAACCAUUUGUUUCGACGAUUUUUUAGUGAUAGAGGUUGAAGACUCUGUAGGAGUGCGAGUCCUUUCCAUAGCCAACCAUGAAGCCUUUGUGAGCUUUAGGUGCAAAUUUUGACUUGUGAUGGGGAUCCUUGAUCCAGCACCUAGCUCCAAAUACUCUGAAGUAACAGACAUUUGGCUUCUUGCCAGUAAGGAGCUCAUACGAUGUUUUGUUCAGAAGCUUAUGGAUGUAGACAUGGUUAAUGAUGUGACAUGCUGUAUCAAUAGCUUCAGGCUAGAACUUUCUUGGUGUCUUGCAUUCGUCGAGCAUUGUUCGAGCCAUCUCAAUGAGGGUUCUGUUCUUGCGCUCAACGAUGCCAUUUAGCUGAGGUGUGUAUGGAGCAGAGAACUCAUGAGUGAUUCCCAUUGUAUCCAGAUAAAGAUCAAGUCCGGUGUUUUUGAAUUCAGUGCCAUUGUCACUUCUGAUAUGCUUCAUCUUCACACCAUAAUUGUUCAUUGCUCGAUUGGCGAAGCGUCUGAAGACAUCUUGCACUUCAGUCUUGUAGAGAAUUAUGUGCACCCAUGUGUAUCUUGAGUAGUCAUCAACAAUGACGAAGCCAUAGAGACAUGCAGUUGUUGUGAGGGUGGACUAGUGAGUAGGUCCAAAUAAGUCCAUGUGUAACAGCUCGAAGGGUUGAGAUGUUGUCAUGAUUGUCUUCGAGGGGUGCUUUGCCCUAGUCAUCUUUCCAGCUUCGCAGGCACCACACAGAUGAUCCUUCUCAAACUUGACACCCUCGAUGCCUAUGACAUGCUUCUUCUUGACGAGUGUGUGUAAGUUCCUCAUGCCAGCAUGCCCCAGCCUCUGAUGCCAGAGCUAGCAUUCUGAAGCUUUUGCGAGAAGACACACGGCAAGCUGUGGACCUGCUGAGAAAUCUACCAUGUAUAGAUCAUCUUUUCGAUACCCUUCAAAGACUAGAGACUUGUCAGAUUCCAUUAGUACAAGGAAACGAUAUUUUCCGAAUAGCACAAUCAUGUUCAAGUCACAAAGCAUAUAGACAGACAUUAAGUUGAAACCAAGGGAUUCAACAAGCAUCACUUUAUCCAUGUGUUGAUCCUUUGAGAUUGCAACUCUACCUAGACCCAAUACCUUGCUUUUACCAGUGUCAGCAAAUGUGAUGUGACUCUUGUCGAAUGGACGUAAGGUUGAGUCCAUGAGAAGACUUCGAUCAGCAGUCAUAUGAUUGGUGCAUCCGCUGUCCAUAAUCCAUUCUGAAGCUUUUGGUGACAUACCCUACAGUGCAGUUAGGAGGAUAGGCUUCACAAAGAGUGUUGUGAAGCAUAAGCAUUUGACACACACAAGGAUUAUCACAGCUUAGAUCAAGGUUAGGACUCAUAGCAUGACUGGUAAGCAUUUCAGAUGUCAAAUACAUAAUAAGAAAUUUUAUCAUGCGCCCUUAAUGUGUUUUAGGUCCCUAGCAAUAGCAUCGGACGCCUUUGAUUGCAGGCUAGAGACCUUUCUCUGCAAAAGAAAGUUAAUUCUUCUUCGCCACCCACAUUUUCAGGGGUGGCUUAGAAGCAAUGAGUCUAAGUGCAGCAUCUGAGAAUUUUGGCUUUGGAGCCCUAGCAAAUAGCCUUGUAGGAGAUGAAUGAUACUCAUAUGAAUAAGCAGAAAAGUUCUUAGUUCUAUGAACAUAGCGGUUCGAAGACACACGCUCAUAUUCAUAAGUCUGAGUAUGAUUUCCCUGCAAAACAUUGGCGUUAGGGUGACUCAGGUGAGUCCUAUAUCUGUAUGAAGCCUUUGGGCCAUAUGAAGCCAUAGGUCUGGGGUUUGUCUUCUUCCUUGGUGGUGUCAUGAUGACAUUAACAGGAAGAUCCUCAAUACGCCAUUUAGGUACCCAGAUCUUCUUCAUAGGUGGUCCAUUCCUUUAGUUAGUACCAAUAUACCUGGCAAACACUUCAUCAUUCUGAUUCUUGAAUAGCUUAUAGUUUGCAUCAAAGGAUUCAUCAAUGAUAAUAGGAUUAGCACAGGUAAAGCCAGAUAAGGUGGAUGGGUCCACUGAAGGUUCCUUUGCAGCAACCCAUGUGGUUUUGGGAUACUACUCAGGCUUCCAGUAGGAGCCAUCAACAUUCAUUUUCCUCUCGAACCCAACACCCUCUUUCCUAGGGUCUCGGUUCAGAAUCUGCUUUUUGAGGACAUCGCAAAGAGUCUGAUGCCCUUUUAGACUUUUAUACAUCCCUGUUUCAAGCAAUGUCUUCAACCUAGCAUUUUCAUCAGCAAUAGUAGUGGUAUCUUCCGCAGAGGGGUUAGUUACCACAUCAGUAGUUGAAGACAAUGAAAGAGUAGCAGCAGUGGAACAUUCAGCAACAGAUGUAGCGUUAUCACGCUCAAUGCAUUUUAGACAUGGUGGUUCAAAUUCUUUCCAUGUAACGCUGAUUUGUUGAGCAAGUAAUGAAUCGCGCUCCUUCUGAAGAUCUUCAUAAUCCACUCUUAUCUUUUCAAGGUCUUGCUUUCUUUGAAGACAUUCAGAAGAAACACUACUAGUAAAAGGGCUAUAGAUAGGACUGAUUCUAAUGGCGCACCAGGUAGACAAUGCGCCACUACUAUAUACUAAUGGCGCACUGGCUUUCGGUGUGCCAUUAGUGUGGAAGACACUAAUGGCGCACCAGUCUCACGGUGCGCCACUACUAUUGAUUUUUUUCCCAUUUUUCCAUACAAACUAAUGGCGCAUGAUGACAAAGUGCGCCAUUACUAGUUAGAACUAGUAAUGGCGCACGGCCAAGAUAGUGCGCCAUUAGUAUAUAUAUAUAUUUUUACUUUUUUGCAAACCUACUAAUGGCGCACCAUAUCACAAUGCGCCAUUAGUAGUUUAAACUACUAAUGGCGCACUGUGAUACCGUGCGCCAUUAGUAUACAUAUGUUUUUUUUACUUUUCUGCAAAAAGUACUAAUGGCGCACCACCUGCAGGUGCGCCAUUAGUAACUAGGGUUACUAAUGGCACAGUAUGUGGUGGUGCGCCAUUAGUAACCUGGGACCAACAAGAUAUUUUGGACAGCCCACCUACCCACUCACUUUCCCAACUUCAUUCUCUCCACCUCCUCCUCCAAGCUUGUCUCGGCUGCCUCCUCCUCCUCACCUCAUUUCCACAAUAAAUUCAUCAAAAUUAAGUGGUGAAAUUACCUUUUUUUGAUAGGUAAGUAAGGGGAAAGCUAUCUUCAUGAUGUAGAUCUACAUUUUUUCUCCCUAGCUCGCUCCAACAACGUGCACAUGCACUUUUUGUGGCCUAGCUAGAUCUAUGUAUGUUUGUGGUGUUGCAUGUGUUUGUGGUGUUGCAUAUAUGAUUGUGUUUGAAGGUACCGGUAUUUGAAAUGCGAUAGUUGCCAAUAUUUUGCCCGAAUGUUUUGAUUCAUUUCCGUUUCGGCAAGAAUUUUGGCACUAUGCAUUCUUUUUCGUCCUAUUUUUAGGGAAGAACAUGCCAAAAAAUUUCUUGGUUCUAAAAUAUCGUUUUGCUCUACCCCGCAGGCGACCAUGGUCCAUGAUGACUGAAGGCAUCGUGAAUAGGUUUUUGAGCUCCGCGAAGGCCGAGAUGCUUCAAAAGAACAAGACGGAGAUAAGAUGUCCAUGUCGAAGAUGCAAGCUGAAGAGCCUUAUUGCGGACCCGGAUUCCGGGCAGGUGCGGGACCACCUGCUCUUGUGUGGUUUCAUAGAUGGCUAUCGGUGGCAAGGUGAUGAAGAUGACUAUGAAGUCGUCCAUGGGGGCCGGGCAAGAAAUGAGGAAGGGCAACAAGACAAGUACCACCGCGGUGAGGGCGGGCGAGAAGACGAAGAAUCUCCAGGACAUGAUCACGACGGUGAUGCUAUACACAGUCAUCAUGUAGAAGAUGUCGUAAAUGAUGAUGGAGAAGAUCAAGACGAAGGGCAUGAUCAUGAAGAUGAAGAUGCCGGAGCAGACGACGAUGGAGGCUGGGUGCAGGACCCUCAUAUUCAAGAGCUACUUCUCAAGCAGACGGAUAACGCAAGAGCUGCCGCCUGAGAGAAAGCCGAGCUGGAUCAACUGAGAUAGACGCGGUUACUCCAUUGUAUGAAGGAUGCAGGCUCGAGGAUACCUGCCUGAAAGUAACGCUCACGGCUCUGGAGAUGAAGGUAAAACACAAAAUGACCGACGCAUGCUUCGACGAGAACAUGUCAUUCUGGCACGAACGUCUUCCCAAGGGGAACAAGUGCCCGGCCAGUUUUUAGGAGGCGAAGAAAAUCGUGUGUCCUCUGGAUUUACCGCACGUGAAAUACCAUGUGUGCAUGAACAAUUGUAUCAUUUAUCGGGACGAGCACGCGGAGUCUACCAUAUGUCCGCUGUGCGGCGUCACUUGAUACAAGAAGAGGAAGAAAGCUCCUCAAAAAUCGGUGUGGUACUUUCCGAUCACUCCUCGUCUGCAGCGGUAUUUCGUGGACCCUAAGGUAGCAAAGCUCCUGCGUUGGCACGCAGAUAGGGAGGAGAAGAAGCGGGAAGAUGACGAAAAUGAUCUGGAGAUAAAUAAAAAAGACAAGAUGCUGAGUCACCCUAAGGAUGCGAGCUAGUGGCAAGCGUUGAACUUCGAAUACCCAGAAUUUGGGAAGGAUCCAAGGAACAUCGUGCUGGGCACGAGCACCGAUGGAGUCAAUCCGUUUGGCAGCCAGAGAAGCACACAUAGCACCUGGCCUAUGUUUGUGUGGAUGUACAACCUUUCCCCUUGGUUGUGCAUGAAGAGCAAGUAUAUUCACAUGAGUAUGCUAAUUGAAGGGCCAAAACAACCAGGGAACGACAUCAAUCUGUAUCUAGGGCUGCUGAAAGAGGAGCUAGACACGCUGUGGAAAACGCCAGCCAAUACGUGGGACGCCACAGACAGAGAAUAUUUCCCUAUGAGAGCCGCACUGCUCAUGACGGUGCACGACUAUCUCGGUUACGGAUAUCUCGCGGGCAGGUAGUCCACGGAUUUUCUGGAUGCGUAAGGUGCAUGGAUGACAUAACGUAUCGCCAGCUAGAUAGAGAUCCUAGGUCUUCGAAAACCGUGUUCAUGGGACAUCGAAGGUGGCUUCGCGACGAUGACUCGUGGAGGAAACGCAAGGAUCUGUUCGAUGGUGAAACUGAACCCCGAAAACGCCCGUGUACGAGGAGCGGCGAGGAAAUAGACGAGCUGUUGAAAAAUUGGAAAGACUGCCCACUGCCGGGAAAGAAGCAAAAGGCGCCAGAGCCGGGAAAGAAGCGAAAGGCGCCAGAGCCGCUGCUGAAGGUAUGGAAAACGAGGUCUGUUUUCUGGGACUUGCCGUACUGGAAGAUCCACCGUGUGCCUCACAGCCUUGAUGUCAUGCAUAUCACGAAGAACGUGUGCGAGAGUCUACUUGGUACCCUGCUCAACAUGCCAGAGAGGACUAAAGAUGGGACGAAAGAAAGGGCAGACUUGAAAUCAAUGGGCAUCAGGCAGGAGCUUCACGCUAAUGAUGAUGAUGAUGAUGAUGAUGAUGAUGAUGAUGAUGAGGCGAAGCAGGACACAGAAAGUCGUCGCAAAGGCAAAAAGGCCAAGAAGACCGGAAAUGACUACCCUCCCGCAUGCUUCACUCUAAGUCAGGAGGAGAUCGAGCAGUUUUUCACCUGCCUCCUAGUAGUAAAACUUCCUUACGGUUACGCAGGGAAGAUAAGCAGAUACCUAGACCCAGUGAAGCAGAAGUUCAGCGGGAUGAAGUCUCACGACUGUCACGUGCUAAUGACGCAGAUACUUCCAGUUGCAAUCCGUGGGAUCAUGGACAUGCACGUCCGUGAAAUGCUAUUUGGCCUAUGCAACUUUUUUGACGUCAUCUCUCGGAAGUCGAUUGGCGCGAGGCAACACAGAAGACUACAGGAAGAGAUCGUGGUGAUACUAUGCGAGCUUGAGAUGUACUUCCCGCCCGCAUUCUUCGACGUUAUGGUGCAUCUGCUGGUCCAUAUCAUGGAGGAUAUCAUCCAACUCGGGCCGACGUUCCUACACAGCAUGAUGCCGUUCGAAAGGAUGAAUGGUGUCAUCAAAGGAUACGUUCGCAACAUGUCAUGUCCAGUGGGAAGUAUAGCCAGGGGAUUUCUGACCGAAGAGUGCAUCUCCUACUGCACGAAUUAUCUAGGCAUCGAGAACCCCGUUGGUCUGCCCGUCAAUAGGCACCUCGACAGGCUCGCUGGAUGGGGUCACCGUGAGGGUCACCGCGAAAUGCAUGUCGACUUCGAGGGUCGACUCGCCGACUUUGAAAGAGCAAACCUAAUCGCGCUACAACACAUAGACGUGGUCGAUCCUUGGGUGGUAGAGCACAAAACCUUUAUUGAGAAGACGUACAAUGACCGAGGCCAACAGAGGACGGACGGAGAUAUACUCAAAGAGCACAACUCAUGUUUCACACGUUGGUUCAAGCAGAAGCUUCUGUCGUACCCUUUACAUGAAGAUUCUUCCGCGGAAGAACAACUCAUAUUCGCCUUGUCACAGGGCACCGAGCACAACCUGAUGGCCUAUGAGGCGUACGAUAUCAACGGCUACACAUUCUACACCGAGGACAAGGACAUGAAGAGCGAUGGUUAUCAGAACUCCGGGGUAACGAUGGAAUCCUACACCGGUAAGGACAAGGACAGAUACUACGGAAGGAUCGAGGAGAUCUGGGAGCUGAGCUACGCUGGAGAGAAGGUGCCGAUGUUCCGUGUCAGAUGGGCCAAGAGCGUCCUAAAAGAAGACCGAUAUUUCACCACCAUGGUUAUACCCGAAGCCAAAACCAAGACCGCAGGCAUAAACAUCACCGCGAAAAAUGAGCCAUGUGUAUUGGCUUCCCAAGUGGACCAAUGCUUCUUCAUUACCGACCCGUCAAAGCCCAGUCAUGUUGUCGUGAGGAGAGGCAAAAGGAAGAUCAUCGGAAUGGAUGGAGUAGCCAAUGAGCAAGACUUCGACAAGUACGAUGACCCGAAGAUCGAACAUGACGACGACCAUGAAGUAGCAGCACACACCACAAGAAGAAGCAGGACCACCCUACCUAAAGGACGUCCGUUCCACAGAAGAACUCCAUUUGUGAAAAAGAAGGGCAAGAAAAUUGUGAACAGAUAGCUAGCUAAGAUCGAUUGUAUUUAAAUUGUAGUCUUCAUUUCUCGAUUGUAUUUCAUGGGCACUUCUUGAUAUCAUGAAUUUUUUAAAUUUCAUGGGCACUUUUUGAAUUCAUGAGGACACUUGAUCUCGAUCCCCCUCCAUCUCGAUCUCGAUUCCCCCUCCAUCUCGAUCUCGAUCCCCGCACCCUCCCCCGCUCCACUGCUGCCGCCGAUGAUAUUUUCAAGUAACAAAUUUGAACAUAUUUUUCAAAAAAUUAUUACUGUUUUUAUAAAAAUAUAUUACUAUUAUGAUUUAAACAAGUUUGAACAUAUUUAAACACAAAUAAAUAUAAAAAAUAGCAUUUAAAAUGCAUAAAAAAAUAUUGGGGAGCCUGGGGAUUGAACCCAGGACCUCCUGGUGUGUGUGCUGCGUGCUGACCAGUCGGGCUAGUGUGUGGGUUCUGUUGUAGAUAGGGUUAGGUGGUAGAUAGGGCUAGUGGGCUAGAUUAGAACAAAAUUCUAAUGGCGCACCGAGAGCUGGUGCGCCAUUAGAAUAGUCGUACUUAUGGCGCACGAGAUGGUGGUGCGCCAUUAGAAAGUUUCCCCCUACACUAAAUCCCUAAUCUCUCCUGCUNNNNNNNNNNNNNNNNNNNNNNNNNNNNNNNNNNNNNNNNNNNNNNNNNNNNNNNNNNNNNNNNNNNNNNNNNNNNNNNNNNNNNNNNNNNNNNNNNNNNNNNNNNNNNNNNNNNNNNNNNNNNNNNNNNNNNNNNNNNNNNNNNNNNNNNNNNNNNNNNNNNNNNNNNNNNNNNNNNNNNNNNNNNNNNNNNNNNNNNNNNNNNNNNNNNNNNNNNNNNNNNNNNNNNNNNNNNNNNNNNNNNNNNNNNNNNNNNNNNNNNNNNNNNNNNNNNNNNNNNNNNNNNNNNNNNNNNNNNNNNNNNNNNNNNNNNNNNNNNNNNNNNNNNNNNNNNCGUCAACCUCCCUCCCGAGCGCGACAGCUAGGGUUCCUAGCCGCCGCCACCGCUGCUGGCCCUCCGCCGCGGUGCGCCCAGCCGGCCGAACCCUCCGCUGCCCCGUCUCCACCGCCUCCUCCUCGACGCGCCGCCUCCUCGACGCGCCACCUCCUCGACGCGUCUCUUCCUCCUCGACGCGCCACCUCCUCGACGCGCCUCCUCCUCCUCGACGCGCCGCCUCCUCGACGCGCCACCGCCCGCUGCCUCCUCGACACCGGCGUCCUCCUACGGCAGCCUGCCAUUAUCCCACAGGUGAUUCCUCACCUCUCCCCCCUUGCCCUCCUUCCCCCUAUGGCAGCCUGAAUAAAAUGUACCACUCCCUCGUAUCUGAGAAGUAGGUGAUGAAGCUUUUUGCUUAGGCAUGCUAGUGGGUUCAGUGUUCUUCAGUGUUCUUGCUAAAGUUAACUGAAAAUGUUCAGUGUUCCAAUACUGUAGAGAAACUAUAGUGCCUGUUAUUCAGUUAUGACUCCUUCACUGAAACUGUAGUGUUUGCUAAAACUGAGAUGUAAACUAAAGGAGUUCGUGAUUUGCAGAAGUUGUAGCAUACUCCAACAAGUGAUAAAUGCACUCAAAAGUUCACUAAGAAAAUGCAGAUGCUUCUCACUUGUUACUGAAAGUUUUCUGGAGUGAUAAAUGCAUGCAAAAGAAGUUUAGUUAACUAUUACUGUUGAUGUAUGAAUUCCAACCAGGUCAAUUUGCACAAGCACAUGGGCUAGUAUCAUUAGCAGUGCUGCUGUAAGCAUAUACAGAUUUCUUGAACAGUGCUAUUAAUUACAAAUAGAGCAAUGUUGAAAAUGAAACAAAAGGAAUUGGAAAACCAGAAAGAUAGGAAUUCUGUUGUAAGUAAGCUAAGAUAAAAAAGUGUUUACUUUAAGUAAUUAUUUACAACAAGCAUUGUGUAGGAAAAUGUCAUGCAGGCUGUAACUUGAACUUGAAGAACUCCUUAGAUAGUUUUUUAGUCUCCUUAUACAAAACAAGCUGAAGUUUGAAACCUAUUUCUCCUAAGCAGACACAGAAAAAUUGCAGAUAAGUAGACACUGAAAAUUGCAGCCAUGUCAAAGUGUCAUUUCAUUUGGGAGCAGUAACUAUAAGAAAAGGAAGUGAGUUGAAUUGCAAAAAAAAUGGAAGGUGAAAUGAAAAGAACAUUGCUCUAUGUGAAAACUGUAUGUGCAAUCUACAAAUGUGAAAAACUGUAUGUGCUGUCAUAGGUGUUGUGCUGUCAAAACUAUAUGUGCAAUCUCCAGAACAAUUACGCUUAUGUGAAAACUAUAUGUGCAAUCUCCAAAUGUAUCAUCAUAAUGUAGGUGCUGUGUUGUGUGAUUCUUCAUGCUGAGAACUUCAUCUUUUUCAACUUGCUGGACUAUAUGUUCAUUGGUACUACUUGUGAUGUUGCUGCUGUACUACUUGGGAAUUUUGUCAACUUGAUUAACUUCCGUUCCGGCCCUUGAGUUUGCCGGAAUGCUGAUUAACUUCCGUUCCGGCAAAUUCGGGUACUCCAUAUGUCCUAUUUUCAGCAAAGGUCAUGCUGAAAUUUUCCGUGAAUUUUAAUUAGCAUGACUUUGCUAAAAAUAGGACAUAUGGGGUACUUGCGACUAAUGCAUGGGCCGGGGUAUCUUAGUACUUAAUUAAGUAGGAUCAACUGCCCCUUUAUUCUUGCUGCAUUAAACCAUGGGUGGCAAUAGAGCCAAGUGAUUAGGCCCAACUUAGAAUUCUCCUUAGCAUCGAUAAACCCUAGAUGAUAAACCCAACAUAGGUGGCAAUAGAGCCAAGUGAUUAGUGCCAAGUGAUUAGGCCCAACCUAGGGUGCCUCGGCAUCGAUAAACCCUAAAUGAUGAAAACUUAACUUGGCUGCCCCGGAUGCCUCGGUGUCGAUGAGAACCUAAAUGAUGUACGCUUAGGCUUUUAGGGUGCCUCGGCGUCGACAAACCCUAAAUGAUGGAAGCUUAGGCUUUUAGGGUGCCUCGGUGUCGACAAACCCUAAAUGAUGAGACCAUGAUCUUGUUCCGUGACAAUAACCAACUUUUUGACCAAACUUUUUUCCUAUUUAGAGCGAAACAUGGCCCACAACAAUGAGGCCGGUGGUUCGGGUGGCAAGCAAUUCUAGGAGCUGUCCCAGGAGAUGGAGGAACAGCCUCAUCGCUAUGAGGACGCCGCGGAAGACACCGAUCCUGAUUACACAACCCCUAGUGGCGUCGGGGAUGACACCACUGAUGGUGCCGCCGAGGAUGCCACCACUGAUGAUGGCGGCGCACACACAGAUGGCAGCCAAUCGAAGAAGCAAAGGAAGGACCGGCGUCCAAAUGCGCUCCACACUAUCAAGGAGGAAUUCACUCAAGUGGACUCCGACGGGAAUCCAACGGAGCCCAAACAUAUAGUCAAGGGGUACUCGGUUCAGCUCGGGUGCAUUCUCCGGAGCACCAUCUCGAUCAACACCGAGAACCUUAGGCAUAAGGACCGAGGGAAUUUGCGCAACCUCCUCUUCACGAAGCUGCACGAACGAUACAAGUUCCCCGCCGAAUUUGAAAACACACGUCUCUCAGGGGAUAAAGUGAACAGUGCCACCCUCAUGAAGAUGAGCACGGCCCUGUCUACUUGGAGAAGCGCGGUGAAGAAAAUGAUUGAUAAAGGUGAUAGUUAUGAGAAGAUCAAGGCGAAAUAUCCUUUGAUGAGCGAAGAUGAGUACAAGGAGUUCGAGAUCAAGUGCUCGAGCAGUGCAACCUCCAAAUCAAGUCAGUGGGGGAAAGAAAUGCGGGAGUUGAACUUAGGGGAACACAAACUCGGUCCCGGCGGUUACAGAGUGGCGGAGCCUAUAUGGGACAAGGAGGACGCGGAGCGUGCCGAGCAAGGCCUACCGCCCCGCUUCGAGAAAUACAGCGGUAACAAGCAGAACAGGAACUAUGUCAGGGCCCGGUACAAGGAGGACCCGCUAACAAAGGAGCUUACCACAAAUCCAAAGACCAGGGUGCUUGAGCUUGGUCUGGUAAGGAAUACACCCCCGCGUAAUUAGCUCCAUAUGGUUGCACUCUAUUUCUAAAUGGUUCACGUUCCUUUCACAGGACACUGAAAGCAGUAGCGCGGGGUCGUCUCACAACUCCCCUUUCGACACCCCUUUAAAUAGGGCGUUGCACAUAAUGAAAAACAAGGAUAAGCUCACUAAGCCGACGUCAGCUGGUCGUGUGGCCGGCAAAGGCUUGUCCACAAAAUGGGGGUCAUACUAUACCACUGGUGUGUGGAAGGAGAAAAAGGCCAGCUCGGAAAGCCAGACGCGCGAGGUUGAAGCACUCAAGGCAGAAGUGGCGCGGAUUCCGGAGCUUGUCCAAGAGCAAGUGGAACAACAACUGGGAAGGAAGCUCAACGCCAUGGUGCCUACGUUGAUUCAUGGGCUGACGACUUGGAUUGCAGGCGGCCAACAGGGGCCUCCCCCGGUUCCCAGCUUCACGGCCAGCAACUCGCACAGCGCGCAGGCGGCGCCAUUGGUGUCUCCGGCGGUGGCGCCAUUGGUGUCUCCGGCGGAGGCGGUAUUCGUGUCUCCGGCGCCGGCACGGGCAUUGGAGCUUAAUGCACCCGGGUGUACGCCGACCGGCACCUCGCCAGCAAGCGCCCCCUCCGUCAGUUGCAUGCUCGCCGUUGGCGGUGCCUCGACAUUAGCCGAGCUCGAUGGCAUCACGGUAACUAAGCCUCUCGGUCAAUGACUUCAUCUCCUUGCCUUUGACUGGGCAUCCCUGACGCCCUGUACAUGUUUUCGCAGGGCACCGCCAACGUUCCUUGCACUCUUCUGCACUUCAUGGGCGCCGAGCUGGUCGAUGUCGCCAAGGGCAGAAUCGUUCAACCGGGCAACCGCAUGUUCCACGGUAAUCCGAUGCCACCCACAAUGUAUAGGUUGAAGUGGUUCGGGUGCUGUCAGGCUCCGACGAGCUGUUACCUCCGGUUCGACCCGCUAGGGCCGACGAAGAAGAUGAGAUGACCCUCAGCGCCUGCGUAAACUGGCCGCUGCUUUGGCCGAAGAGCCAGAUUCGUUUGGGGGCGGGGGACACCACCCCACAGACAAGACCGCCAGUCGUGCCGGCGCCAAGCCAUGGCAAGAACGCCACAACGCUACCGGACCUGCCAGACAUCCCUAUGUCGGACAUACCUAUGGCACAGGAUCCGGACAGCCCUAUGGCACAGGAUCCAGACGACGACGACAACGAUGAAGGUACAUUUACCAAAGUCGAUAAGUACUUUGCCGAACAUGGGUACGCUGACGAGUUCUGCGGGCCUCUUUCUCAAGAACCCAACCAAAACGACCGCAAUCUAGCUGGUACAACGGAGAAAUCCAAUUGCAAUAGGCGUCGUUUGGCAUUCAUUUCUCAGGAGACGCCUCCAGCUCCCGCCUUCACCGAGCCUCAGAUAGCUGAGGUGCGAAAUAUUAUCAGCCCCAACACGCUCAAGAAGGCGGUCUGUGAGCAGAACUCGGUCCCAUUACUGGAGAUCAAGAAGAAGGGACAAAAAUGAAAGACUAACAAGGGCGCCGGUGCGAGCCAGCCAGCACCGAGUAUGAUCCGUGCUCACGACGAGCCACCUUCACCUAAGGAUAUCUCGAGGAGGGUGCAUGUGGCGGGUAGGGCGAUGCUACGGCCAAAUAUGCUGAAUGCUGCAACUGGUGCUAUGCGGAGUCUGCAUGACAGUGUUCUUUCUUUGGAGAAGUGGCGUCUCAGAGAGAAGGAUGUGGCAUACCCGGUUUUCGUGGCCAAGAUGCCAGAGGGCAAGGGCUUUGUCGAUGGCAACAUCGGGGGUUCGAUCGUCCUGCAGUUUGAUGACAUCUUUGCUAUGUUUAACCUUCAUUCGCUGCACUACACCUUCGUUCGGCUGUUUUCGCUAAGUAUGGAGAUGCGGAUCAUUAGAGACAAGACCCCGGACAUCGUGAUAGUCGACCCUUUCUACAUGCAUCCCAAGCACUUGAGCAGCGUUGGGGACCGCCAAGUUGCGAGUUCACACCUCAAAGGCAUCAUUCUGGCAAACCCAGAUAAGGAUAACUUCCUUGUGGCUUACUUUCCCGAGUAAGUCAUCCCUUAACCGCCCCGUAACAUAUGAUUUCUUAGAUUUCGAUCGUUCUAUUUUUUCUAACAUUCCGUGUUCUGUGUAGUGACACACAUUGCACACUCAUCCUCUUAAGCCCGAAAUAUUCCAUGGGCAUGUAUUUCGACCCGAACCGUAACUCCAAGAUAGACUACACAAAUGUCAAGAAAGUUCUUGAUGAUGUUCUCCCCGGCUACGCCAAAUCUGGAGGCACCUUCACCAGGACUGUUCGUAAGUACGGCAAGCACAUGUUCUCACACAAUAUGAAGUUCUGCUACAUCAAGCAGCCGCCUGGCGGUCAGAAGGAUGCCUACUACGCCCUCCAUCACAUGCGGGCGAUCUUAAGGGACCAUCAUCAACUUCUGCUACCAGAUAAUCUCAAAGAUUGGGCCGCGAACUUGUCGGCAAUCCAGGACGCGGACCUCAGACAAGAAUUCUUUCGCAUCCAUUCGGACUUUGCAGACAUCAUCCAUCAAGAUGUCCUUCAUACGUCGGGGCAGUUCUUCCUCAGCUAUCAACCAUCCAACAAUGGGAUAGAUGGAAUGCUACAAAUGCAGGGUGACAACGACCGCUAUUUCAUGACCAUCGCGACAGACGGCGGCUUCAUCCACGCUCCUGUCCGAUGAGUCGAGUCGAAAGUAGUGAUGUGUAGUUCUGAAACAUUGAUUGGCUCAUGUUGUAAUUAAACUUUAAUGAAUUCGUAUGUCUCUUUGGUUUGGACAGUCGUUCAACUUAGAUGUAAUCGAUGCUAUUUAUUAGUAGGACCAUGAAUCGUGCUAUUAAUGUCUUGCUUUUCUCUUCCGAUCCUUUUGUUGCAUACUUACAUAUUGCUUAUGUAUUGUCUGUUGUUUGGCUUGUGCAUAGAGAUGCCGUCGUAUGUCGUGUACAAGGGUAAGGUUCCCGGAGUCUACGACGACUGGGAGGAGUGUCGGAGACAGGUUCAUCAUUUCAGCGGUAACAGUUACAAAGGGUACACCACUAGGGCGGAGGCCGAAUCUAGAUAUGCCCGCUAUCUAGCGGGAGAGAGGAGGGAGCGUUGGAGGAACCGGAUGAAGACCAGUUUGAUCGCAAUGAUGCUCAUCGUGAUGACCACAACUCUCUUCUAUGUGAUGGUAGUUUAGAUGGUCGAUAUCGACUUGUAAUGUGAAGACAAACUAGCUACUCGCGGUCUCGAGACUUGUAAUGUUCUAUCUUUGUUCAGUCUUUUGAAUUCAGAGACUAAUAUGAUGAUUUGUAUUCGGAGACUAAUCUUCUAUUGUAUUCGAUGAAUCUACUGUUGCUGUGUGGUGUUGUCUAAAUUCUGUCCAAUAAUAUAUUUUGUAACCUGUGAAAAUAUCAGAAAAGAAAAAAAAUAAUCCCUAACAUUCAUACUAGUUGCGCACCAUGCAAGACACUAAUGGCGCACUGUGAUAAUCACACUAAUGGCGCAUCAGCCACUGGUGCGCUAUUAGUAUGCCAAAGCACAUGGGUACAUAUGGCCCCCUGGAAAGAAUUCUAAUGGCGCACUAUGGGAAAUACUAAUGGUGCACUACGUGGUGCGCCAUUAGAACACCAGAUACUAAUGGCGCACCAGUGGUGCGCCAUUAGAAUUUAAUUCUAAUGGCGUGAUGCUAGUGGCGCACCAGUAGUGCGCCAUUAGAAGGCAAAACUGGUGCGCCACUAGCAUGCCUUUUCCUAGUAGUGAAAGCUUCUCAUGAUCAGACAAGAGAGCAUUAUGUUGAUCUUGAAGGGCGUCAAACUUGGAACGAAGUCUCUGAAGACUCUCAGCCAAUGCUUUUGACUGAUCCAUUUCUUCACCCAACAUAUCAUCGCUCUUACUAAGCAUGUCUUGAACCCUUUCCAAGACUCUUUGUUGUUUAGUGGAAAGGGAAGCAAGCUUGACAUAACUGGGGCCAAAUUCAUCACCUGAUUCAUCAUCACUAGUUUCAGAGAGGUAGCUUUCAGUUACCUUAUCAACCCUUGCCAUAAGGCAUGGUGAAGAUGAUGGCGAUUCAGGUGCAAAGGUCAUCUCUUUAAGACACUCCUUGUAGUCCUCAAACCAAGGAUCAUGACGGGUACGAUAACCUUCAUAGACCUCAGAAAGAUGGUCCCAGAUUAGCUUCGCAUGAUUGAGGUGCAUGACGUUCCUGAACUGAUUUCGGGACAGACAGGAGCAGAUAACAUCCUUCACCGUGAGGUUCAGUAGAGUGUACUUGCGAAUGUCAUCAGCCUCCGCCAUCUUGCAUAGAUUGGUAAGACCAAUCUCAGUGACGGUCCAUAGUUUGCUGUCCAUAGCCAUGAGUCGCUUCUUCAUCAUGGCCUUCCACCGAGGAUACUCAUGACCGUCAAAGGUGGGGCAUGAUAUGUUCCUCAAUCCUGCAGUCGACAUAGCUAAAAGUCCAGGUAGUUAAACCGAAUCACAUAGAACAAGGGAGUACCUUACUCUGAUACCAAUUGAAAGUGCUAGUAUCGACUAGAGGGGGGUGAAUAGGCGAUUUUUAUGAAAGUCUUCAAAACUUGGAAGUUUCAAAGACAAAUAGUCGAAAUAACAUAAUUGAUAUGCAGCGGAAGAUAAACUACAAUAAGAAAACCAUAGUCAAGUAUGCAAUGAUGUGAAAGUACAGGACUAAUAGCAGCUAAGUAGUAAGGAUCAGGAUGGAAGAUAGUAUGAAGCCAAUCAAUGAUAGUAGUCCAGCAAUGAAGUCAAACAGGUACAACAGAUAGGAAAUGACUUCACGAAGACAAACUCUAAGUAAAGGAUGGGAAGGGAUAGAACCAGUCACUUGUUGAAGACACGGGAUUUGUUGGACCAGUUCCAGUUGCUGUGACAACUGUACGUCUGGUCAAGGGAGGCUGAGAUCCAACUCAGAAGAUCGUGUCUUCACCUUAUUCCCCUUGAGCUAAGGACACCCAGUCCUCGCUCAAUCACUUUGGUAAGUCUUCAAGGUAGACUUCCGAACCUUCACAGACUUCGUUCACUAGCGAUCCACAAUGACUCUUGGAUGCUCAGAACGCGACACCUAACCGGCUGGAGAUUCACAGUCCUCAAGUGUAAUAAGUCUACAGGUCACACAGACAGAAAGACUUCAGCGAUGCCCAACACUCUUUGGCUCUGGGUGUUUGGGCUUUGUCCUCGCAAGGAUUUCUUUCUCUCAAAGGCUUCGAGGUGGGUUGCUCUCAAACGACAAAAGCCGUGCACUAACUCUGAGCAGCCACCAAUUUAUGGUGUAGCGGGUGGGCUAUUUAUAGCCACUGGGCAACCCGACCUGAUAUGUCUGAAAUGACCCUGGGUCACUAAGGAACUAACACGUGUUCCAACAGUCAGAUUUCAAACACACAUGACAACUUUCCUUGGGCUACAAGAAAAGCUGACUCAUCCAGCUCUGGAUAAGAUUUGCUCUCAUUGUCUUCGCUUGAAGACAUAGGAUUUGGGUUAAGCAUCACUUCAGUCAUUCUGACUUAGUUCACUUGGACCCCACUUAACAGUACGGUGGUUCCUAUGACUCAACAAAGAAGAAAAAGGAAACAGCGAAACACACAGUCUUCGCGCUCCAUAGUCUUCACUCAAUGUCUUCUCAUGUCAUAGUCUUCAAUAUGAAUAUCUUCACAUUCCACCAUUGUCUUCAAUGUCUUCAUACAUUUUUAGGGGUCAUCUCUGGUAGGUAAACCAAAUCAAUGAGGGACACUACCUGUGUUAUCCUGCAAUUCUCACAAACGCAUUAGUCCCUCAACCAACUUUGUCGUCAAUACUCCAAAACAAACUAGGGGUGGCACUAGAUGCACUUACAGCGGCAGGAGAAAAAUAACCUCCAAGAUGCCAAGAUCCAGCUGGGCGAGGAACUAAAAGAUGUUCGGGCCCAGCUGUCUGACUCCAUGAAGGAGAAUCGGUGGCUUUGGCGCGUCAUUUAUAGUAAGUGCUUGAACGAACUUUUGAAAAUAAGAGUUCGGCGAGGAAGUCGAUUAACAGGAAUAUGUCUCUAGGUAUGCUCACAGGUCGUCCUGCAGAGGAAAUGCCCGGUUCAACGGGUGACCUACUUCCCAAGCUGCUGCAACUGCACAAACGAGUUCGGCAGGUGCGCCCAGGCCUUGUGGCCGUCCGUCUCCCUGCCCGAAGGUCUUGGAGAGCUUGCAAAGAAGCUUCAGGGAGCACGGCUGCGCUUCUAUCUGUGGAAGAUAUCGGCCUGCCAUCAAGGUGCCAGGGAGGCCUGGGCCAUGGUGAAGACACGGUACACGAAGGCUGACCCGAACCACAUGGCCGAGGUCGGACCUGUGGGGCCCGAUGGGAAGGAGAUCCCUGCGAGCUUAAUGUACGGCCAAGCAGAGUUGGCCGCAAAGUAUUCCCAACGGGACUGUAAACUAGACAGCCUGUUAGAUGGUAUUGAAGAGGAAUACGAUCAGUCAAUUUGACUAUAUAAUUUAAAAUGACAUGUAAAAUACCUUCUAGCCGGAUUGUAGAUCGUUUGUCAUUGCGGACCUUUUCGCUUCAACCUCGGGACCCGGCAGUCCGGAGUGUGUCCGAAUACCUUCGCGGUUAUAAAAAACCGGGGCAUGCAUGGAGACCAGGCGUAGGGGUCAUUAGUGCUUUAUCAAACAAGUGCCCAACUAGUUAUGUUAUAUUACAUGGUUAGUAAGAAACAUCUUCCAGGGAGAAUAGUUCCGUUAGGGGUUCCUUUCCCUAGGAGGCAUGCCCUAAAGUGCAUGUCUGGACUGCAAAAAAAGCAGGAAAGCAUCUGGGGGUAGAUAAAUAAAUAAGUAAAAACUCAUCUUUCAAUUCACCGACCGAAUAUUCCCUUAAGAACGCUAGCUUUUGGCUUCACCCAGUCUGAGGGACACAUCCGGCUGACCCGGCAGUAACAAUCGCAGAGGUGCUCCCUUUACCUCCUAGCCGAACAAUCGGGAACGUAGGGGUAAGCACAGGAGCCAGGCAACCCAGCUUGGCCAAAACUUAAGUCAUAUCGAUGCAUAUAAUGGUGAAUAAAAGGUACAUACGGAAGUGUGACACAUGUGUUGGGUAUAAAGCCGGUAUAAAUAAGCUUCUGUUAAAGAAGCACGCAGGUAUAAUUAGUGCGAGUAGCAUGUCAAGUGUGUGCGAACAAUGCGCAGGCGAGCCACCGAAGGCCCAUGAGAAAGGGGGGGGAAUAAAAGACAGUUAAAGUGUAAAAGAUAGACGGGGGAAGGACACGAACUCAGAGUCCGGCGCUAGGCGUAUAAUCUUUGGAAACGGGCUGCGUUCAAUGGAUUUGGCUCGAGUCGGUUAUUCGAUGCGUUUCGCAGACAGUACACUCUGCCGGUCAGGACUUGGUCGAUGAUGAAGGGACCUUCCCAUUUGGGCUUAAGUUUGUCCUUUUUCUUGUCCGGCAGGCGUAGAACUAGUUCGCCAACAUUGUAAGUUUUGGCUCGUACUUCUCUGCUUUGAUAUCUUCGGGCCUGCUAUUGAUAGAAUGCGGAACGAGCUUUUGCCACGUCACGCUCCUCCUCUAAGGCGUCAAAACUAUCCUGCCGAUCUAGCUCGGCUUCUCUUUCUUCGUACAUGCGUACGCGAGUUGAGUCAUGAAUUAUGUCGUAGGGCAAAACUGCCUCUGCGCCGUAUACCAUAAAAAUGGUGUGAAUCCGGUAGUGCGAUUCGGCGUGGUCCGCAGCCCCCAGAGUACGGAGUCGAGAUCCUCUACCCAGUGCGUGUUAGAUUCCUUAAGGGACCGCACUAGUCUGGGUGUGAUGCCGCUCAUGAUUAGACCAUUUGCUUGUUCGACUUGACCGUUAGUUUGAGGGUGAUAGACUGAAGCGUAGUCGAGCUUGAUGCCCAUGUUUUUGCACCAGAGUUUAACCUCGUCGGCCGUGAAGUUCAUGCCGUUAUCAGUGAUGAUGCUGUGGGGGACGCUGUAACGGUGUACUACCCCUAUUAUGAAGUCUACCACGGGUCCGGAUUCGGCCGUCUUAACUGGCUUGGCCUCUAUCCAUUUGGUGAAUUUAUCCACCAUGACCAAUAGGUAUUUUUUUCUUGUGGGUUCCUCCUUUAAGGGGUCCAACCAUGUCAAGCCCCCAGACUGCGAACAGCCAGGUGACGGGUAUAGUUUUCAGGGCGGUGGGUGGCAUGUGGCUUUGAUUAGCAAAGAGCUGGCAACCGACGCAUCGUUGGACUAAAUCUUGAGCGUCUGCCCGGGCCGUUGGCCAAUAAAAUCCUGUACGGAAGGCCUUGCUUACAAGGGCCCAGCCUAUAGCGUGGUGCCCACCGAGUCCGGCAUGAAUUUCAGCCAGAAGAUUUCGCCCUUCCUCUUCGGAGAUACACCUUUGAAGGACUCUGGUUGUGCUUUUCUUAUAGAGCUCUCCCUCAUGGACCUUAUAGGCUUUAGAUCACCGUACUAUGCGGCGGGCCUCAUUUUGGUCCUCAGGAAGUUCCUGCCUAGUUAAGUAAGCUAGGAAUGGCUCGGUCCACGGGGCAAUGACUGCCAUUAUUUCGUGGGCUGAAGGUGUUAUUUCAUUGGCAGAACCACCGAUUGUGUCAGAAUGUGCGGUGUCGGGCGGUGCAGUUGGGUCCGGAUAGUUGUUUCCGGACUCCCCUUCCCAUAGUACGGAUGGCUUGAAAAGCCGUUCCAGGAGGAUGUUGGGAGGGACGGCAUCGCGCUUUGCGCCGAUGUGUGCCAUUACGUCCGCCGCUUGAUUAUUAUCCCGGGCUAUAUGGUGAAAUUCGAGCCCUUCAAACCGAGCUGACAUUUUCAGAACGGUGUUAUGGUAAGCUGCCAUUUUCGGAUCCUUGGCGUCGAAGUCUCCAUUUAUUUGGGAUAUCGCGAGGUUCGAAUCCCCUCACACCUCUAGGCGUUUAAUGUCCAUGGAGACCGCCAUCCGGAGGCCAUGUAGAAGGGCCUCGUAUUUGGCUGCGUUGUUGGAGUCCGUGUACAUUAUCUGAAGUACAUAUUGGACUGUGUCUCUGGUUGGGGACGUCAGGACGAUGCCAGCCCCCAGGCCGGCCAACAUUUUGGAGGCGUCGAAGUGCAUGAUCCAAUUAGAGUAUGCGCCGCACUCUUUAGGGAGUUCAGCUUCAGUCCAUUCGGCAAUGAAGUCGGCCAGAACCUGCGACUUGAUAGCUCGCCGUGGUUUAUAGGUUAUGUCGAAUGGUAGGAGCUCGAUGGCCCAUUUUGCAAUCCUGCCAGUCGCGUCGCGAUUGUUUAUAAUGUCAUUAAGAGGUACUUCGGAGGCUACUGUUAUCGAACACUCUUGAAAGUAGUGUCGCAGCUUCCGGGAUGCCAUGAACAGUGCGUAUGCUAUCUUUUGAUAAUGUGGAUACCGGGAUUUGCAUGGAGUUAGGACAGUGGAUACGUAGUACACUGGUUUUUGGAGAGGGAACUUGUGUCCGUCCGUUUCUCGUUUGACGACGAGCACCGCGCUUACAACUUGAUGUGUUGCCGCGAUAUAUAAUAACAUUGGUUCGCCCAAGUUGGGCGCGGCCAGGACCGGAUUUGUUGCCAAUAUGGCCUUUAUUUCUUCGAGUCCGGCCGUGGCGGCAUCCGUCCACUCGAAGUGUUUGGUGCGCUGAAGGAGGCGAUAAGGGGUAAUGCCUUUUCUCCUAAGCGGCAGAUGAAGCGGCUUAGAGCCGCUACGCAUCCAGUCAAUUUUGUAUUUGCUUGAGGUCUUUUGGGAUAUCCAAUUGUGAUAGAGCUCGGAUCUUGGCUGGGUUUGCUUCAAUUCCUCUACCGGAUACAAUGAAGCCCAAGAGCUUUCCGGCUGGUACGCCGAAAACACAUUUUUCCGGGUUGAGCUUAAUGUCAUAUGCAAAGAGAUUGUCGAAUUUGAGCCUCAAGUCGUCUACUAGAGUUUCGACGUGUUUGGAUUUGAUUACCACAUCGUCUACGUAUGCCUCCACUGUUUUGCCAAUCUGGUUUGCCAGACAUGUCUGAAUCAUGCACUGAUAUGUUGCGCCGGCGUUUUUGAGCCCGAAGGGCAUUGUGUUGAAGCAGAAUGGUCCGUAUGGAGUAAUAAAUGUCGUUGUGGCUUGGUCUGGCUCUGCCAUCUUGAUUUAAUAGUAGCCGAAGUAAGCGUCGAGGAAGCACAAUGAAUUGUGCCCUGCGGUAGUGUCGAUAAUUUGAUCGAUGCGGGGAAGGGGGAAGGGAUCCUUUGGGUAAGCCUUGUUAAGGUCCUUGAAAUCGACACACAGGCGCCAGGAUUUGUCCUUCUUUGGUACCAUUACCAGGUUUUCUAGCGAGUCCAGAUGCUUUAUAUCUCUGAUGAAUCCGGCUUCUAAUAGUUUGGCUAGCUCAUCUCCCACUGCCUGUCUUAUGGGUUCAGAAAAUCACCGAAGAUCUUGUUUGACUGGCUUGAAUCCUUUUAGGAUAUUUAGGCUGUGCUCUGCCAGCUGGCGUGGGAUUCCUGGCAUUUCUAAAGGGUGCCAGGCAAAAAUAUCCCAAUUUUCCCAUAGGAAUUCUCGUAGCGCGGCGUCUACAUCAGGGUUUAAUUGUGCCCCAGUGGAGGCCAUAUUUGUAGGGUCCGUUGGAUGGACUUGGAACUGGACUAUUUCGUCCGCUAGCUUAAAAGAGGUGGACUUGGAUCUUUUGUCCAGUAUCACGUCGUCCCUGUUCACCGUGGAGCGCAGCGCCAUGUGUUCUUUGGCCGCUAGGGCUUCGGAUAGCGCCUCCAGGGCUAGUGCGGCUGUCUUAUUUUCGGCGUAGAGCACUACGUCCGGAUCACGGGCAAGGGUGAUGAUUCCGUUGGGUUCGGGCAUUUUGAGCUUCAUGUACCCGUAAUGGGGUAUAGCUUAAAAAGUUGUGAAUGCCUCUCGUCCUAAUAAAGCAUGAUAUCCGCUGCUGAACGGGGCCACAUGGAACGUGAUCUCCUCGGACAUGUAGUUGUCCGGCGAGCCGAACACCACAUCCAGUGUGAUUUUUCCUGUGUAGCAUGCUUCUCGACUAGGGAUUAUUCCUCUGAUGGUUGUGUUGCUUCUCUCAAUGCGGCUCUAGUUACUUCCAUUUUUUGAAGGGUUUCCUCGUAGAUGAGGUUUAAUCCGUUGCCGCCAUCCAUGAGUACCUUGGUAAGGUGAAAGCCGUCCACUAUUGGACUGAGGACCAAUGCGGCUGGUGCUCGGGCUGUUCGGAAUUUAGGUUCGUCACUGGCGUUGAAGGUAAUAGCCGUGUCACUCCAUGGAUUUAUUAUUGCUACUUGGUAGACUUCGGCGAGGCUGUGGAGUGUUCGUUUCCGCAUAUUAUUUGAUGCGAAAGUCUCGAAGACUGUUAAUACCGUACUGGUACUGCUGGGCUGGUCCUCUAGGGCUAGAAGCUCUUCACCACUUUUGGCCACCUGCCGUAGUAUCCAACAUGCUUGAAGGCUAUGUGUUGAUUUUGCAGGGUCCGCUGAGCCAUCCCUCCAGUACGGUUCCGUGCCCUUUAGGGGGUUUUGCUUUUCGGUUUUUAACCCAGGUGCCUGAAUAUGAUGCACCCUUUUAUUUCGGACUAGGGUUGUGUUCGGAGCCGGAUUGUCCCAGAAUUUGGUUUCGGUUUUCCAGGCACUCUCCAUCGCACAAUACUUUCGUCCUAUGGACGCCAGGUCGGCGAAGCAUGUAUUUUCACGGCGACCUAUGGCGUUCAUGAUUCCCUUGUCCGUGCAAUUAUUGCAGAAAAUUGAGAUUGCGGUUUCCUCACGGCAGUCCUUUAUCAUGUCCAUAACCAGGAGGAAUGUGGCCCAGUAAUGAUGUACUGUUACAGCGGGCUCUUGCCGGAUUCGGGAUAAAAUCAGUUGUGUUUGGGUGGGUGGGUGGAAUUAAAUUCGGAACCCCGUCCAAUCUAAGACUCAAGGCCGAAAAGUUUCCGAACUUGGAAGCAUGGGUUGUUGGAUGUUGUCCAACGAAUCCGGCCCGCUGCCUGACUUUAGGUUCAGGGCUUGAUCGACGUCUGUCCCUCCGCGGGAACCCGUCAUGGAGGGGUCGGGAAUUCGGACAUAGCUUGUCCUUAAUGUAGAAGAAGAGUCGCCGUGCUGUUCCUCCACCACAGCAACUUGGUGGGUAGUGUCGGUGUCAAAACCGGCGGAUCUCGGGUAGGGGGUCCCGAACUGUGCAUCUAGGCGGAUGGUAACAGGAGACAAGGGGCACGAUGUUUUUACCCAGGUUCGGUCCCUCUCGAUGGAGGUAAAACCCUACUCCUGCUUGAUUGAUAUUGAUGAUAUGGGUAGUACAAGAGUGGAUCUACCACAAGAUCAGGGAGGCUAAACCCUAGAAGCUAGCCUAUGGUAUGAUUGUUGUAAUGGUUGUUGUCCUACGGACUAAAGCCCUUCGGUUUAUAUAGACACCGGAGAGGGCUAGGGUUACACAGAGUCGGUUACAAUGGUAGGAGAUCUACAUAUCCGUAUCGCCAAGCUUGCCUUCCACGCCAAGGAAAGUCCCAUCCGGACACGGGACGAAGUCUUCAAUCUUGUAUCUUCAUAGUCUUGGUGUCCGGCGGACGAUGAUAGUCCGGCUGUCCGGACACCCCCUAGUCCAGGUCUCCCUCAGUAGCCCCUGAACCUGGCUUCAAUGACGAUGAGUCCGGCGCGCAUAAUGUUCGGCAUUGCAAGGCGGGUUCCUCCUCCGAAUAAUCCAUAGAAGAUUGUGAACACCAGGAUAGUGUCCGGCUCUGCAAAAUAAUUUCCACAUUCCACCGUAGAGAGAAUAUUAUGUACACAAGUUCAAUCUGCUGACGUAUCUUGUAGCAUGACGUCACGCCACUACCAAGCCUUUACUUGAAUCGUUUUUUAUUAUACCACCUCAGCGCGUUUAGCGAAGCGGUUUCCUUGGCACGUCUUGUCGAAGCAGAGAUCGUGUUCCCCUUAUUCCGGGAUUCUCAUCAAUACGGAUGUGGGUAACCCAACCGCGCCAUUGAUGGUGGCGCUUGGGAGAUAAGCGAGUUUUACCAGGCCGGUGGGGACGCAUAGUCUUCAUCCACCUAUAUAUAAGGGAUAAGGAUCCACCCUUUUUACCUACGCCUUCUUCCUCCUUUGCUUAUCCAUCUCCACGCACUCUCGAGCUCCAGUGCCCAAGUCCGCGCAUCUCGCCUCGACCUUCUCCGACCAUGUUCGGAGCGGGAGACAAAUGGCUGGCCUCCUCCAUGAUGGAGGAGAACAUCACAAAACUGCCCAGUGCUGGAUACCUUUCCGGCGACAUUGCGCACUGGCUGCCCGACAAAGGGCAGCUCAUCCCCACCACCAGACCCCAUGAGAGGGUUGUGUUUCUCCCCCACUUCCUCCACGGACUGGGCUUCCUGUUGCAUCCCUUUGUCCGGGGGCUCAUGUUCUAUUACGGCCUAGAUUUCCACGAUCUGUGCGAGGCCUUCCUCUGCAUCCAGCCCCACUUCGGCUUGUGGCUCAAGACCUUCAAUGUCAAGCCGAAGGUAAUGAAGGGCACUCAAGCGGAGUGCGGAGGCGCCAUGUUGGGCAAUAUGCCCAACGUCAUCUGGUUCGAAGGGGCCUUCGCGGAAUCCAUCAAGGGGUGGCAAUCGGGGUGGUUCUACAUCACCGAGCCGCGCGACCCUAAGUGGGCGGCGGCCCCCGAGUUCAGAUCUGGCAUCCCUAUGCAGCUCACCUCCUGGAAAGAGAAGGGCUUGCUAUGGGGUAGUUCGGAGGAGCUGACGGGACUUCAAGCCUGUAUCCAGAAGCUGGUGAACAAGAAGCUCAGGCUUGUCAAUGUGGUCCAAGUCAUGGUCAUCCGCCGGAUUCUCCCUGCCAACAACGGGCAUUUAAAUUAUGGGAGUUCAAUCCGGCACAGCACCAGGCAUUGAGCGGGCUCUUUGAUACAAUGUACGAAGGCGCCUGGAGGGUGCUGUUCAAGGGUGCCGAGGCUCCCGCAUCCGCCACUGAAGAUCGCGGAUUUCGCUCGCAGCGUCCAGCUGACGACGUAAGUGAUUCUACCCCUUUACGGGACACUUGUUUUUAAUAGUUUGACUCUACGCGGGUUUCAAUCUCCCUUUUCCUUUGACAGGACUGGAUGAGGAAGGCCGAGCAGAUCAUCUGCCUAGCUCCCAUGCCAGAAAACCCAGUAGACGCCCGUCUAGCGGGGCUGCUGGUUCCGGCACCGCAUGUGGUGCCAGAGAAGAAGGCCAAGAAGGAGGCCACUGGUACUCGAAAGAGUUCCCGUUUUCAGGUGUCCGACGAUUCCGGGGCGGACUCCUCCCCCGAAGGCGAGGAGGAGGAAGAAGACCCUCUCCCAGAGGAAGGAGAGAGGAAGAGGAAGGCUUCCCCGACAGGGGAGGCCGAAGGGUCCAAGAGGGGAAGGACUAUUCCCGCGGACAGCUCCGCCAACACCAACGUUGGCGGCGAAGAGUGGCCCUCAAGGGCCAGGCCUCCGGCAAGAUCGUAAGUAUCUGGAUUCCUGAAUGAUUUACGGUUUAUUUUGUGUCACAUAGUGUCCUUCUAAUGCCGCAUACUGCCUGCAGUCCGGCCGAUGAUGAUCUCCCCGCUUCGUCAAGCGGGUCGUUGGCUCCGUCGGAUGUAGAUUCCAUCUCGAAUGCCUCUACCCCUCGCGCCGCUGAGGACGCCGAGGUGGGAUCUCGGGAAGGGACCCAUGAGGAUGAGGCUCCGGAGGCGCCGCAAGGCAGCCUCCCGGACUUUGCGCCGGACUCCACACCGGAACCUGUAGUGGUUCCGGAGUCCGGCAGGCGGCCCCUUCGCAAGAAGGGCAAGACCGUGACAACGGCGGCCUCCGUCCAACCGGAGGCACCGCACAACUUGUUGGAGGCACUCAAAGGCGCUUCCAUCGAGGAAGAACACCGCACUAUCAUGAGUGCGGUGAUUCAAAAGGUUCAGCUCGCCAAGAGCGGGCUGACCGAAGCCUGCAGUAGCCUUCUAACAGGCUUUGAGGUAAGAAGUUAAAAAUAUGUAAUGUAAUACCGCAUAGAUAGUAGCCCCUGAUGAUCGGUUCGGUGUUCGGAAAGAAAAGCCGGACUGAGGAUCUAAAAAAGAUAUACGCAGGGUUGCUAAAAAAUUAUGUCAAUAUGGGUUUGCAGGCUAUGAUGCUGACCUCUGCCGCACUAACUGCGGAGGUCGGUGCCAAGAAGUAGCUCGAGGACAAAGAAGCUGAGUAACACCUCUUUGAAUAGUUACCUUACAGAAAAGGAUUUAGGUUGCAACAAAAAAUAACAAGGAUAACGUGGGUAUUGCAAGGGCCACGAACGAGGUGGCAACCCUGAAGGAGGUUGUGUCCACGACCGAACGCAAUGCGGCCGCGGAACGGGCAGAGCGAGAGAAGCAGGAGGCGCGGGUGGCAGAGGUGCGGCAAGAGCUCCAGGCUCUCAUGGAAAAGCAUGAGAGUUUGGAGCGUGACUCGAAGACUCGAGAGUCCGAGCUUGCCUCGGCUCUCGAAAGUGCCAAAGCCGCCAAGGCAGAGGCCCAUAAGGCCCUUCAGGAGGUUGAGGAUGUGAAGAAAAUAGCGGUGGGUAAGGCAUUUUUCAUGCAAAGCAAGCAUGUUAAUGUAAACUACCUGACACUUACCCGAAUUCAGAGCUCUCUAGGGGCGUUUGCAGAUCUGCCUCGCAGUGUAUCCGAUGCCGCCGCAUUCUACCGUGGCGAGGAGGGGAGCUCAAUGGAGAAGGUCUUCUGGUCUCAGUAUGCUGAGGCCGGCCAUCCGGUGCCCCCUAGCGACCAGCUGAAGCAGCUGGUCGAGCUCCACAAGGUAGCUGAGGAGGCCAUGAAGGGCCUCAUAGUCUGGCUGUGGCCUGGAGAGGCCAUGUCUGGGAGCUACUUCGGCCUCAUGCGGCGGCUGGUGGAUGCGUGCCCCUGGGUGGAGGUCAUCAAGCGCUCCGCCUGUAUUGAAGGUGCUCGUCGGGCCCUUGCCCGCGCAAAGGUGCACUAGGGCAGGCUGGAUGCGGAGAGGCUUAUCACUGACGCGCCGCCAGCGGGCAAGGAGUAUCGUACGCCCAAGAUGUACUAUAAGACUGUCCUGAAGGGUGCCCGCAAGAUUGCGGAUGAGUGCCCCAGAGAUGUAAUUAUUGAGUAAACUCGCUAUGUAUUAUCCUGUGCGCUGAAAACUUUGUUCAUAUGCGCUAAGCAAGGCUUGUUUAAUUAAAAAUAUUACCUUCUGUGCGGCCGUUUAUAAAAUCUGAGAGAUGGCAAGUCGUUGGCUUCAGCCCCCAUGCCACUAGUGCUGGGGUGUUCGGGACAAACUUGAGCACUCUUGUUCCCAUUUUUGGGUCCAUCUAGGGAGGCGCUCAACACAACGAACAAGGCAACCGGACUUAUAAUGCUUGAACACUCUCACUUAGCCAUAGAAUUCUAUAAUUUUAAAUUUCAGCGAAGCCCCUAGUAUUCGGAAGACCGAGUUCGGGGCGCUAUCCAUGCCUUGGUCGAACAUGAUCUGGUUCUUCGCUCGAAGCGGCAUAAGUCUUUAGGGACUCGAAAACACCUCUCGAACAGCGACGAGUCUCUCGCCUUAUCAUGCCAGUCAGUUUAAGCUUUCUCCACUGAGGCGCUCGCCCAGCUCAACUGGGACGCAAUCACAGUGGUUCUCCCAGUGCUACCUUAGCCGACGGAACGGAACGUAAGGUACCAAAACAUGGGAGCCGGGUGUCGGUGUCAAAACCGGCGGAUCUCGGGUAGGGGGUCCCGAACUGUGCGUUUAGGCGGAUGGUAACAGGAGACGAGGGACACGAUGUUUUACCCAGAUUCGGGCCCUCUCGAUGGAGGUAAAACCCUACGUCCUGCUUGAUUAAUAUUGAUGAUAUGGGUUGUACAAGAGUGGAUCUACCACGAGAUCAAGGAGGCUAAACCCUAAAGCUAGCCUAUGGUAUGAUUUUUGUAAUGUAUGUUGUGUCCUACGGACUAAAGCCCUCCGGUUUAUAUAGACACCGGAGGAGGCUAGGGUUACACAGAGUCGGUUACAAUGGUAGGAGAUCUACAUAUCCGUAUUGCCAAGCUUACCUUCCACGCCAAGGAAAGUCCCAUCCGGACACGGGACGGAGUCUUCAGUCUUGUAUCUUCAUAGUCUUGGAGUCCGGCGGACGAUGAUAGUCUGGCUGUCCGGACACCCCCUAGUCCAAGACUCCCUCAGUAGCCCCCGAACCAGGCUUCAAUGACGAUGAGUCCAGCGCGUAUAUGGUCUUCGGCGUUGCAAGACGGGUUCUCCUUUCAAGUUCCAUGUACCUGCCGAACAGUGUCCGGCUUCAUCAUAAAUACUGUGUUCCUCGGCUUCUACGUCCAAUAAUAGCCAUUUUCCACGCGUCACACGAAUGCGAAAAGCUAGGGUGUAUUUUACGUUUCACCCCCUAGUUGUGCGAGUCGUCCGCCUACAAAAGAGGCAAAAAUCCAGAUCCAAACCACACCAUCUUCCUCCCGCGAACACUUCAUCGGAGCGCCUUUGACCUAAAAAUCCAUUCCAUCAUGGACCGUCGACGCGGCUCCUCUUCUCGCGCUCCCAGCCCACCGCCAGGGGAUUGGAGGAGGUGCUCUGUUCCGCACAACGAGCUAGUGAAGCUCCAAGCGGCGGGAGAUCUCCCUCCGGCCUUCAUGGUCCCGGUUCGAGCCGGGCUGGUCACUUAUCAAGGUGGGAGGCAAGAGGAGGCUACCCCAAGCCCCAAUAAGGGGGAGCGGGUAUGCUUCGUCCCUUAUCUGAUAAGAGGACUCGGAUUCCCAAUACAUCCGUUCCUCCGCGGGCUCCUGGAGUUCUACGGACUCCAGCUCCACCACCUCACACCCGCCUCUGUCCUGCACAUCGCGGGCUACGUAGCUCUUUGCGAGCUAUUCCUGGGCAUUGAGCCCCAUUUUGCAUUGUGGAAGAGGCUGUUCUGCCUUGUACCCCGUUCUUACGAGGGGUCCAUAUAUCAAGUGGGCGGCCCCGAAAUAUUGCGCAUCGCCGGGACCGGAUACCCAUCCGGCACUCCCAAGAAGGCGUCGGAAGACUGGCCUUCAGAGUGGUUUUACAUAGGAGACGCUCCGCAGCCGGACCCAGUCCGGAUUGGCCUCUCGGAGUUUAGUGAUGCUCCCCUGAAGAAACGCCUCAGCUGGCGCCCACGGAGCCACCAAUUGGCGGAAGACAGGAGCGUCCAUUACUUGAUGGGCCGAAUAAGAUUACUGGCCCAUUCCGGGUUGACCAUGAUUGGAGUCAUGGCGACAUGCAUCAUGCGGGGGGUACAGCCAUUGCAAUACAGAGGCCACCCUAUGUGGGAUUUCAACAGGGAAGACGAUGCCACCCGUCAUGGCCGCGAAGGGCCGGAUUCGACCGAGGAUCUGGUGGAGAUCCUGUCCAGCCUGUACAAAGGGGAGAAGGUGGAUUUUCUUCGAACGAACCCUUUGAAUGGGUUUUCCAUGAACAACCCUAGAGGAUGGGUAAGCGAACACUUGUAAGGGCUCAACCCAUGCUUUCGAAGUUUAGGCUUCUUACAUUAUGUCUUCGACGCAGGAUCUACGCCGGACUGUGAAGGACAUGGUAAGUCCCGCUUUGCAACCCGAGGAUCCAGAAAGAUCCCUGGAUCCGGCCUCCGAAGAAGAUCCGGUCAUCAAGGUGGAGCUGAUCGACGGGGUAUUUCACUAGCUCAGCAUGGAUAAUGCUUUGGUCGCCAUUACGGCGGACUACCCCGGACUGUAUCCGGCUUCCCAGGUGACUGUGACCGAGGUCCAGACACCAUUAUCUCUUCCUUGCCCAUUUCUAACAUUCGCGAACGAUGGCAUUUUACAGGAAGCGCCUUCAUGGCGGGAAGCCGAGCCCGCGGCGGCUGACCAAUAGAGGUCAGUCCGGACCAGCAGGCGAAAAAGGAGCGCGGUACGGACUGAAACGUCGCCGCAGAGGUAUAACUUGUAUUUGAAUUUUCAGAGCAACGCUCCUAGGAAGCGUCUGAGUGCUCAUGAUCUUUAUAGGAGAAAAAGCGCUCACCAGACUACGGGCGCGGAAGUUGCCGAUCCAACCUACACCGGCCAGGCUCCAGCGCCCGGCCUGGAGGGGAGGCAAGCGCAAGACGCGGGCCGGAUCCUUCUCCAACGGAGGACACCGACAGAAUGUCUGCCACCAAGUCUGAGGUGGAGAGCGCCAUGAACCAUAGGCUCCGCCGGACAGUAUUUCGUGAAGCGUGCUUCUCCCCAGAGGCGUUGGACGCCUUUAACGCAGGGACGUGCACCUCCGUGCCGCUCAAGAUGGUUUUACCAGAGCCACGGAGCAGUAUGUGAAAGACAUACGGGUAAGGGAAUUUUAAUGGUUAUAUAUACCAGUAGCCCCCGAGACUUAAAGUAGUUAUGUUAACUGAUUUAAGGAUCAUUUGAAACGUAGGCUCUUACCGAGAAGAAUGCCCAGCUGUCUCAGGAGCUUCAAGAAUGCAAGGCCCAACUUGAGGCCGCACUUGCUGCCGCAGGAGGAGACGCAGAGACCCCUCCUGGUAACACAUUUUUAUUAAUAAAUAUAAGCGCUGUGCGGCGUGCGCGCAAGUCUAAUAGAGACAUUGCAGGUGCCGCCGGACAAGAUCCGGACAGGCAAGAAUUACUGCGCCAGCUAAAGGCCGGCGAGAGAGUGUUGAAUAGGGUGCAGCAAGAAAGGAACCAGCUCCAAGAUGCCAACGCCAAGCUCGGAGAAGAGCUGAAAGGCGCUCAAGCCGGGCUGUCCAGCUCCGUUAAGGAGAAUCAGCGGCUUCGUCGCGGCAUUUAUAGUAAGUGCUUGAGUGGACUCUUUUGAAAAGAAGAGUUUGGCGAGGAAGUAAAUUGACAUUUUAUGUCUUGUAGGUAUACUCAUAGGUCGCUCUGCGGAGGAGAUGCCGAUAUCAACGGGUGAUCAACUUCCCGAGCUGUCGCAACUGCUCGAACGAGUUCGGCAGGCAAUGAGCGGCGUCGUCCAGACUUUAUGGCCGGCCCUCUCCCUACCCGAGGGCCUUGGGGAGCUUGCGGAGAAGCUUCAGGGAGUGCGGUAGCGCUUCCGUUUGUGGAAGAUUUCGGCUUGCCGUCAAGGUGCCAGGGAGGCUUGGGCCAUGGUGAAGACGCGCUACAAGAAGGCGGAUCCCAACCACAUGGUCGAAGUUGGACCGGUGGGGCCCAAUGGGAAGGAGAUCCCUGUGAGUUUAGUAUACAGCCAAGUAGAGUUGGCUGCUAAAUUUUCCCAACGGGACUGUAAGUUAGACAGCCUGUUAGACGGGAUUGAGGAGGAAUACAAUCGGGAAAUUUGACAAUGUAUGUUUUCCAUUAAAGUGACAUAUGAAAUGCCUUCUAGCCGGAUUGUAGAUCGUUUGUCUUUGCCGACCUUUUCGCUUCAACCUCGGGACCCUAGAGUCCGGAGUGUGUCCGAAUACCUUUUUGGUUAAAAACAACCGGGGUAUGCAUGGAGAUCAGGCGUAGGGGUCAUUAGUGCUUUAUCAGACAAGUGCCCAACUAGUUAUGUUAUAUUACAUGGUUAGUAAAAAACAUCUUCCAGAGAGAAUAGUUCCGUUAAGGGUUCCUUUCCCUGGGAGGCAUGCCCUAAAGUGCAUGUCCGGACUGCAAAGAAAGCAGAAAAACAUCUGGGGGCGGAUAAAUAAGUAGGUAAAAAAGUCAUCUUUUAAGUCACCGACCGAAUAUUCCCUUAAGAACGCUAGCUUUCGGCUUCACCCAGUCUGAGGUACACAUCCGGCUGACCCGGCAGUAACAAUCGCAGAGGUGCUCCCUUUACCUCCUAGCCGAACAAUCGGGAACGUAGGGGUAAGCACAGGAGCCAGGCAACCCAGCUUGGCCAAAACUUAAGUCAUAUCGAUGCAUAUAAUGGUGAGUAAAAGGUACAUGUGGAAGCUUGACACAUGUGCUGGGCAUGAAACCCUUAUAAUUGAGCUUCUGUAAAAUAAGCCCCCAGGAAUAAUGAGUGCGGAUGGCGCAUCAAAUAUAUGCGAAAAAUGCGAGAGUAGGCCCUUAGGGGCUUUUUAGUAAAAAGGUUAUGAAAAGAGAAACAAAAGACAGCCGAAGUGUAAAAAUUUGGACGGAGGAAGGGGACGAACUCUUAGUCUGGCGCUAGGCAUAGAAUCUUCGGAGGCGGGCUGCGUUCCAUGGGUUCGGCUCGAGUCGGUUAUCCGACACAUUUCGUAGACGGUAUGCUCCGCCGGUCAGGACUUGAUCGAUGAUAAAGGGGCCCUCCCAUUUGGGCUUGAGCUUGUCCUUUUUCUUGUCCGGCAGGCGUAGAACUAGUUCACCAACGUUGUAAGUCUUGGCCCGUACUACUCUGCUUUGAUAUCUUCGGGCCUGCUGCUGAUAGAAUGCGGAACGAGCCUUGGCAACGUCGCGUUCUUCCUCCAAUGUGUCCAAGCUAUCCUGCCGAUCCAGCUCGGCCUCUCUUUCUUCGUACAUGCGCACUCGAGGUGAGUCAUGAAUAAUGUCACAGGGCAAGACUGCCUUUGCGCCGUAGACCAUAAGGAAUGGUGUGAAUGCGGUAGUGCGGUUAGGCGUUGUCCGCAGCCCCCAUAGUACGGAGUCAAGCUCCUCUACCCAGUGCGUGUCAGAUUUAGUAAGUGACCGCACUAGUCUGGGUUUAAUGCCGCUCAUUAUUAGACCAUUUGCUCGUUCCACUUGACCGUUGGUUUGAGGGUGAUAGACAGAAGCGUAGUCGAGCUUGAUGCACAUAUUUUUGCACCAUGACUUAACCUCAUCGGCUGUGAAGUUCGUGCCGUUGUCGGUGAUGAUGCUAUGGGGGGACUCCGUAGCGGUGUACUACCCGAGAUAUAAAGUCUAUCACUGGUCCGGACUCUAACGUUUUGACCGGUUUGGCCUCUAUCCAUUUGGUGAAUGAGGGAGUCCUGGACUAGGGGGUGUCCGGGUAGCCGGACUAUCAAUAUCCGCCGGACUCCCAGACUACGAAGAUAGAAGAUUGAAGACUCCGGCUCGUGUCCGGAAGGUACUUUCCUUGGCGUGGAAGGCAAGGUUGGCGAUACGGAUAUGUAGAUCUCCUACCAUUGUAACCGACUCUGUGUAACCCUAGCCUCUCCAGUGUCUAUAUAAACCGGAGGGCUUUAGUCCGUAGGACACAACAUUACAUCUCAACAAUCAUACCAUAGGCUAGCUUCUAGGGUUUAGCCUCCUUGAUCUCGUGGUAGAUCUACUCUUGUACUACCCAUAUCAUCAAUAUUAAUCAAGCAGGACGUAGGGUAUUACCUCCAUCGAGAGGGCCUGAACCUGGGUAAAAACAUUGUGUCCCUCGUCUCCUGUUACCAUCCGCCUAGACGCACAAUUCGGGACGCCCUACCCGAGAUCCGCCGGUUUUGACACCGACAUUGGUGCUUUCAUUGAGAGUUCCUCUGUGUCGUCACCGAUAGGCCGGAUGCCUUUACCCGUCUUCAAGGACGGUGUUCUCGCCGGAGGGGCCUUGGCCGCCGGUCAAACAAUCCGGCUUGGCGGUUUCCUUAUGACCGCCUCUCCGGUCGUCGCUUCGGCACUGACUUCUCAAGUCGUCGAAAGCAGUCUUCGCGUCAGCCCUAAAGCUGCCGAACAGUUAGAUCCAAUCGAGCUCUCGUCUGUCAACGAGCUCUUGGAUCGCAUCGGCGCCCCGGGAGUCGCAACAGACUACAAUCAGAUUGGGCAUAAAACCGAUCUGAGAGAGAUUAACUCUCCCCAGGUUACCCACCACAUCGAAGUGGUAGAAGAACAACUCGGCAACUCGUUGCCAUUGUUGAAAACAAUCUGUGUUCGGAUUCCCGAACCCUCCAUGCCGGAUUCCCGCGGAGGGGCGGACUCUGAUCGAGCAUUGAACCUAAAAUCAUGCAUCGCUCCGGACCCGCUGGGCUGUUUCCAGCAAAUCAAGCUUCCGAAUUCGGAAGUCCCUCGGCCAUUGAGCCCAAAGAUGGGCAGGGAUCCGGAUGUAAUUCCACCCACCCGCCCAGACAUAUGCUACCUAUCUCUAAUUCGGCAAGAGCCCUCAGAAACAGUACAUCAUUACUCGGCCCGAUUCCUCCUGGUUAUGGACAGGAUAAAGGACUGCCGAGAGGAGAACGCAAUCUCAAUAUUCUGCAAUAACUGCACGGACAAGGGAAUCCUGAACGCCAUUGAUCGUCGCAAGAUUAAGCGUUUUACCGAUCUGGCGUCCAUAGUGCGAAAGUACUGUGCGACGGAAAGUUUCCGGAAAACUGAAAAUCAAUUUUGGGAUAAUCCGGCCCCAAACCCAGUCCGCGGUAAAAGGGCGCCUCGCAAUCAGGCCCCAGAUGCAAAAACCAAAAAGCAAAAACCCAGCAAGGGAAACGGAACCGUACUGGAGGGAUGGCUCAAUGGACCCUGUAAACUUCAUAAUACUGGGGGAGCUGUCCCAACGCAUAGCCUUCGAGCAUGUUGGAUAUUACGGCAGGUGGCCAAAAGUGGCGAAGAGCUUCUAGCUCCGGGAAACCACUCCAACAACACCAGCACGUUAUCAACAGUCUUCGAGACUUUCGCAUCAAAUAAUAUGCGAAAACGAACAAUCCGCGAACUCGCCGAAGUCUACCAAGUAGCAACAGCAAAUCCAUGGAGCCACACAACUAUCACCUUCAGCGCCAGCGACGAGCCCACAUCUCGAACUACCAGAGCCCCAGGCGCACUGGUACUUAGUCCCAUAGUGGACAGCUUUCGACUGACAAAAGUCCUCAUGGACGGCGGCAGCGGACUAAACCUCAUUUAUGAGGAAACCCUGCGGAAAAUGGAAAUCGAUUGGAGCCGUAUUGAGCGAAGCAGCACAACCUUCAGAGGAAUAAUACCUAGCCGGGAAGCGCGCUGCACCGGAAAAAUCACACUUGAUGUGGUGUUCGGCUCUCCGGACAAUUACAGAUCCAAAGAAGUCACGUUCCAGGUGGCCCCGUUCAGCAGCGGCUAUCACGCCAUAUUAGGACGAGAGGCAUUCACAAUUUUUCAAGCAAUACCUCAUUACGGGUACAUGAAGCUCAAAAUGCCUGGGCCCAGCGAAAUAAUCACUCUCGUCAGUGAUCCAGACACAGCACUCCGCGCCGAAAACAAGACAGCCGCACUAGCCCUCGAGGCGCUAUCCGAAGCCUUAGCAGCAGAGGAACUUACCGCGCUACGCUCUACGGUAAAUAGGGACGACGUGAUACUUGAUAAAAGAUCCAAGUCCACCUCCUUCAAACCAGCAGAUGAGAUAGUUAAUUUCAGGUCCACCCAACGGACCCAACAAAGACUGCCUCUAUCGGGGCACAGUUGAACCCCGAAGUGGACGCCGCACUGCGCGAAUUCCUUCGGGAAAAUUGGCACAUUUUCGCCUGGCACCCUUCAGACAUGCCCGGAAUCCCUCGCAGGUUGGCAGAACACAGCCUAAACAUCCUAAAAGGAUUCAAGCCAGUCAAACAGGCUCUUCGACGAUAUUCCGAGCCCAAAAGACAGGCAAUGGGAGAAGAUCUAGCCAAGUUAUUGGAAGCCGGAUUCAUCAGAGACAUCAAACAUCCGGACUGGCUAGCAAAUUUGGUGAUGGUACCAAAGAAAGACAAAUCCUGGCGCCUCUGCGUCGACUUCAAAGACCUCAAUAAGGCUUGCCCAAAGGAUCCUUUCCCCCUCCCCCGCAUUGAUCAAAUUAUCGACGCCACAGCAGGACACGACUCGUUGUGCUUCCUGGACGCAUACUCUGGCUACCAUCAAAUCAAGAUGGCUGAAGCGGAUCAAGCCGCAACGGCAUUCAUUACUCCAUACGGACCAUUCUGCUUCAACACGAUGCCCUUCGGACUUCAAAACGCCAGCGCAACAUAUCAGCGCAUGAUUCAAACAUGUCUGGCUACCCAGAUCGGCAAAACAGUCGAGGCAUACGUAGACGACGUAGUCGUCAAAACAAAACACGUCGAAACCUUAGUAGACGAUUUGAGGCUCGCAUUCGACAACCUCAGAGCAUAUGACAUCAAGCUGAAUCCAGAAAAAUGUGUUUUCGGCGUACCAGCCGGGAAGCUGCUGGGCUUCAUUGUAUCCGGUAGAGGAAUCGAAGCAAAUCCGGCCAAAAUCCUGGCUCUGUCACAGUUGGACAUUCAAAAGGACCUCAAGCAAAUACAAAAAUUAACAGGAUGCGUGGCAGCCUUAAGCCGUUUGAUCUCCCGUUUAGGAGAGAAGGCGCUGCCUCUUUAUCGCCUCCUAAGGCGCACCGAACACUUCGAGUGAAUGGAUGCCGCCACGGCCGGACAUGAAGAAAUAAAGGCCAUACCGGCAACAAAUCUGGUCCUGGCUGCGCCCACUCAGGGCGAACCAAUGUUGUUAUACAUCGUUGCAACACAUCAAGUUGUGAGCGAUGUCCUCGUCGUCGAACGAGCAACAGAAGGGCAUAAAUUCCCUCUUCAAAAACCAGUGUAUUAUGUAUCCACUGUGUUAACCCCCUGCAAAUCCCGUUACCCGCACUAUCAAAAGAUAGCAUAUGCAGUGUUCAUGGCAUCUCGGAAGCUUCGGCACUACUUUCAAGAGUGUUCGAUAACAGUGGCUUCUGAAGUACCACUCAAUGACAUUAUAAAUAACCGCGACGCAAUGGGCAGGAUUGCAAAAUGGGCCAUUGAGCUCUUGCCAUUCGACAUAACUUACAAACCUCGACGAGCCAUAAAGUCACAAGUUUUGGCUGACUUUGUCGCCGAAUGGACUGAAGCCGAACUACCUAAAGAGUACGGCGCAUACUCCAAUUGGACUAUGCACUUCGACGGCUCCAAAAUGUUGGCCGGACUGGGGGCUGGCGUCGUACCGACGUCCCCCACUGGAGAUACAGUCCAGUAUGUACUUCAAAUAAUGUACACGGACUCCAACAAUGCAGCCGAAUACGAGGCCUUGUUACAUGGUCUCCGGAUGGCAGUCUCCAUGGGCAUUCAACGCCUAGAGGUGCGCGGGGAUUCAAACCUUGCAAUAUCCCAAAUAAAUGGAGACUUUGACGCCAAGGAUCCGAAAAUGGCAGCAUAUCGUAACGCUGUCCUGAAAAUGUCAGCUCGGUUUGAAGGACUCGAAUUCCAUAACAUAGCCCGAGAUAACAACCAAGCGGCCGACAUCCUGGCACGCAUCGAUGCGAAACGUGACGCUGUCCCUCCAAAUAUCUUCCUGGAACGGCUCUUCAAGCCAUCCGUACUAUGGGAAGAGGAGUCCGGUAGUGACAAACCAGAGAAAGCCGCACCAACUGGUGAUUCAGCAGACGACAUAACACAAUCCACCCACGAUAUAAUGGCAGUAAUCGCCGCAUGGACAGAACCUUUCCUGGCCUACUUACUUAGGCAGGAACUUCCCGAAGACCAAAAUGAGGCCCGCUGCAUAGUCCGGCGAUCGAAGGCCUACAAGGUUCAUGAGGGAGAACUUUAUAAGAAAAGUACUACCGGAGUCCUUCAAAGGUGUAUCUCUGAAGAAGAAGGGCGAAACCUCCUGGCUGAAAUCCACGCCGGACUAGGUGGGCACCACGCAGCAGCCCGGGCCCUGGUAGGAAAGGCAUUCCGUACAGGAUUUUAUUGGCCGACGGCUCGGGCAGAUGCACAGGACUUGGUCCAGCGAUGCGUUGGUUGCCAGCUCUUCGCUAAUCAGAGCCAUAUGCCACCCACCGCCCUCAAAACAAUACCCAUUACAUGGCCGUUCGCGGUCUGGGGGCUUGACAUGGUCGGACCCCUCAAAGGGGGAACCCAUAAGAAAAGGUACCUGUUGGUCAUGGUGGAUAAGUUCACUAAAUGGAUAGAGGCCAAACCGGUCAAAACGGCAGAGUCCGGACCAGUGAUAGACUUUAUAUCAGAGGUGGUACACCGAUACGGAGUCCCCCACAGCAUCAUCACCGAUAACGGCACAAACUUCACAGCCGAUGAAGUCAAGUCAUGGUGCAAAAAUAUGGGCAUUAAGCUUGACUAUGCGUCAGUCUAUCACCCUCAAACCAACGGUCAAGUGGAAAGAGCAAAUGGUCUAAUAAUGAGCGGCAUUAAACCCAGAUUGGUGAGGUCACUCACCAAAUCCGAUACCCAAUGGGUCGAGGAGCUCGACUCCGUACUUUGGGGGCUGCGGACGACGCCUAACCGUACUACCGGAUUCACACCAUUCUUUAUGGUAUAUGGCGUAGAGGCAGUCUUGCCCUGCGACAUUAUUCAUGACUCACCUCGAGUGCGCAUGUAUGAGGAAAGAGAAGCCGAGCUAGAUCGGCAGGACAGCUUGGACACAUUGGAGGAAGAACGGGACGUUGCGAAGGCUCGUUCCGCAUUCUAUCAGCAACAGGCCCGAAGAUAUCAAAGCAGAGAAGUACGGGCCAAAACUUACAACGUCGGCGAACUAGUUCUAUGCCUGCCGGACAAGAAAAAGGACAAGCUCAAGCCCAGUUGGGAAGGCCCCUUCAUUAUUGAUCAAGUACUGACCGGCGGAGCAUACCGUCUGCGAAACGCGUCGGACAACCGACUCGAGCCAAACCCAUGGAACGCAGCCCGACUCCGACGAUUCUAUGCCUAGCGCCGGACUAAGAGUUCGUCCCCUUCCCCCGUCCAACCUUAUAUAUAUUUCGGCUGUCUUCUUUUUUCUCUGUUUAUCCUUUUAUAAAUUAACAAAUCCCUUCGGGGCCUAUCUUCGCAUUUUUUGCAUACAUACGAUGUGCCAUCCGCACUCAUUAUUCCUGGGGGCUUCUUUUACAGAAGCUCAACUAUACGGGUUUUAUACCCAACACAUGUGUCAUGCUUCCACAUGUACCUUUUACUUGCCAUUAUAUGCAUCGAUAUGACUUAAGUUUUGGCCAAGCUGGGUUGCCUGGCUCCUGUGCUUACCCCUACAUUCCCGAUUGUUCGGCUAGGUGGUAAAGGGAGCACCUCUGCGAUUGUUACUGCCGAGUCAGCCGGAUGUGUACCUCAGACUGGGUGAAGCCGAAAGCUAGCGUUCUUAAGGGAAUAUUCGGUCGGUGAUUUAAAAGAUGACUUUUUACCUAACUUUCUUUUCCAUCUGCCACCAGAUGUUUUACUGCUCCAUUGGCAGUCCGGACAUGCACUUGAGGGCAUGCCACCCCAGCGAAAGGAACCCUUAACGGAACUAUUCUCCCUGGAAGAUGUUUCUUACUAACCAUGUAAUAUAACAUAACUAGUUGGGCACUUGUCUGAUAAAGCACUAAUGACCCCUACGCCUAGUCUCCAUGCAUACCACGAUUAUUUAUUAACCAAAAAGGUAUUCGGACACACUCCGGACCCUAGGGUCCCGAGGUCGAAGCGAAAAGGUCGGCAACGACAAACGAUCUACAAUCCGGCUAGAAGGCAUUUCACAUGUCAUUUUUAAAAGGAUAACAUACACUGUCAAGUUUAUUGAUUGUAUUCCUCCUCAAUCCCGUCUAACAGGCUGUCUAGCUUACAGCCCCGUUGGGAAAUUUAGCAGCCAGUUCUACCUGGCUGUACACUAAACUCACAGGGAUCUCCUUCCCGUCGGGCCCCACCGGUCCAACUUCGGCCAUAUGGUUGGGAUCCGCCUUCUUGUACCGCGUCUUCACCAUGGCCCAAGCCUCCCUGGCACCUUGACGGCAGGCCGAAACCUUCCACAAACGGAAGCGCUGCCGCACUCCCUGUAGCUUCUCUGCAAGCUCCCCGAGGCCCUCGGGCGGGACGAGGGAUGGCCAUAAAGCCUGUAUGACGCCACUCAUUGCCUGUCGAACUAGUUCGAACAGCUGCAACAGUUCGGGAAGUUGAUCACCCAUUGAUACAGACAUCUCCUCCACAGGAUGGCCCGUGAGUAUAUCUACAAGACAUAUUAUGUCAAAUCGCUUCCUUGCAGAACUCCUCUUCCUAAGAGAGUUCGCUCAAGCACUUACUAUAGAUGCUGCGACGAAGCCGUUGAUUCUCCUUAAUGGAGCCGGACAGCUCGGCCUGUGCACCUUUCAGCUCUUCUCCGAGCUUGGCGUUGGCAUCUUGAAGCUUGUUCCUUUCCUGCUGAACUCUGUUCAGCACAUUUUCGCCGGCUUUUAGCUGGCGUAGUAGCGCUUGCCUGUCCAGAUCUUGUUCGGCAGCACCUACAGUGUCGUUAUCAGACUCGUGUGCACGCCACACAGCGCUUAUAUUAAUUUAUACAAACGUGUUACCAGGUGGGGUCUUCCCGUCUCCUCCUGCGGCAGCAAGUGCAGCCCCAAGUUGGGCCUUGCAAUCUUGCAGCUCCCGGGACAGCUGGGCAUUCUUCUCGUUAAGAGCCUGAAAGUUCAUAUGAUCCUUAAAUCAGUUAACAUAACUAAUUUAAGUCUCGGGGGCUACUGGUGUAUACAACCAUUAAAAUUCCCUUACCCGUAUGUCUUUAACAUACUGCUCCAUGGCCCAGGUAAAACCAUUUUGAGCAGCCCAGAGAUGCGCGUCCCCUGCGUUAAAGGCAUCCAAUGCCUCAGGGGAAAAGCAUGCCUCUUGAAAAACUGUCCGGCGAUGUCUAUGAUUCAUAGCGCUCUCCACCUCUGACUUUGUGGCGGACAGUCUGUCGGUAUCCUCCGUUUGAGUAGGAUCCGGUUCGCGUCUUGCGCUUGCCUCCCCCUCCAGUCCGGGCGCUGGAGCCUAGCUGGUGUUGAUUGGGUUGGCAAUUCCUGUGCUCGCAGUCCGGCGAGCGCUUUUUCUUCUAUGAAGAUCAUGAGCACUUAGAAGUUUCCUCGGAACAUUGCUCAGAAAGAUCAAACACGAGCUAUACCUCUGCGGCGACGUUUUAGCCUGCACGGCGCUCCUUUUCCUCCUGCUGGUUCGGCCUGACCUCUGUACGUCGGCCGCCGCAGGCUCGGCUCCCGGCCGGAUUGGCGCUUCCUGCAAGACACCAUCGUUCGCGAAGGUCAGAAUAGGCAAGGAUAAGAUAACCGUGUCCGGACUUCGGUCUUGGUCACCUGGGAUGCCGAACUUAGCCCGGGGUAGUCCGCCGUAAUGGCGACCAACGCAUCAUCAACGCUUAGCUGGUGAUACACCCCGUCGAUUAGCUCCACCCCGAGGUCCGGAUCCUCUUCGGAGGCUGGACCCAGGGAUCCUUCCGGGUCCUCGGGUUGUGGAGCAGGACUCACCAUGUCCUCCACGGUCCGGUGUAGACUCUGCGCCGAAGACGUAAUAUAAGAGGCUUAAACUUCGAAAAUACGGGUAAAGACCCUUUUGAGGUGUUCGCUUACCCAUCCUCUGGGAUUGACCAUGGAAAACCCAUCCACAGGGUUCGGACGAAGGAAGUCCUCCUUCUCCCCCUUGUACAGGCCGGACAGGAUCUUCACCAGAUCCUCGGUCGAAUCCGGGCCUUUGCGGCCGUGCCGGGUGGCAUCGUCCUCCCCAUUGAAAUCCCACAUGGGGUGGCCUCUGUAUUGCAGCGGCUGCACCCCCCGCUUGAUGCACGUCGCCAUGACUCCAAUCAUGGUCAAGCCGGAAUGAGCCAUUAGUCUUAUUCGGCCCAUCAAGUAAUGGACGCUCUUGUCCUCCUCCAAACGAGGGCUCCACGGGCGCCAGCUGAGGCGUUUCUUCAAGGGAGCAGCAUCAAACUCCAGGAGGCCAAUCCGGACUGGGUCGGGCAGCGGAGCGUCUACAAUAUAAAACCACUCCGAGGGCCAGUCUUCGGACGCCCUCUUGGGGGUGCCGGAUAGGUAUCCGGUCCCAGCAAUGCGCCAUAUUUCGGCGCUGCCCACUUGAUAUAUGGACCCCUGGUGAGAACGGGGUACGAGGCAGAACAGCCUCUUCCACAAUGCGAAAUGGGGCUCGAUGCCCAGGAAUAGCUCGCAAAGAGCUACAUAGCCCGCGAUGUGCAACACAGAAGCGGGCGUGAGGUGGUGGAGCUGAAGUCCGUAGAACUUCAGGAGCCCGCGGAGGAACGGAUGUAUUGGAAACCCGAGCCCCCUUAUUAGAUAAGGGACGAAACACACCCGCUCCCCCCUGUUGGGGCUUGGGGUGUCCUCCGCCUGGCUCCCUCCUCGAUAAGUAACCAGUCCGGCUCGGACCGGAACCAUGAAGGCCGGAGGGAGCCAUCCCUCCGUUUGGAGCUUUACUAGCUCGUUGUGCGAAAUAGAGCACCUCCUCCAAUCCCCCGGCGUGUGGCUGGGAGCGCGUGAAGAAGAGCCGCGUUGAUAAUCCAUGGUGGAAUGGAUUUCAGGGUCAGAGGCGCUUCGAUGGAGUAUACGCGGGAGGAGGAUGGUGCGGUUUGGAUCUGGAUCCCUGCCCCUUUAAUAGGCAGGUGACCCGCACAACCAGGGGGUAAAAUGUAAAAGACUCCCUGGCUUUUCGCAUUCGUGCGACGCGUGGAAGAGGGCCAUAAUUUGGCAUAGAAGCCAAAAAGCACAGUAUUAGAGGUAAAGCCGGACGCUGUUCGGCAGGAACAUGGAAUUUGAAGGGAGAACCCGCCUUGCAACGCCGAAGACUACAAGCACGCUGGACUUAUCGUCAUUGAAGCCUGGUUCGGGGGCUACUGAGGGAGUCCUGGACUAGGGGGUGUCCGGAUAGCCGGACUAUCAAUAUCCGCCGGACUCCCAGACUACGAAGAUAGAAGAUUGAAGACUCCGGCUC
rnacentral:lncRNA from 1 species